rnacentral:lncRNA from 1 species
UGUUUUUUUUUUGUGAUCUCUUGAUGUGAUCGAUCCUGUGGGCGAGUUCCAACAACGGUCACCACUGACUCCGAUCUACCACCGUCCAGUGCAGCACUAAAAUCUCAUCACUGGGUUCAUGAUCAGUGAGGGACGUGGGCAUUAUUUUGGUCUUCUGCCAUUCGAUGGCGCAUUUUAGUAUCUGCACUGCAGAGGUGAGAGUACAAAAUAACAGUUGUGAGGAACACAUGGAUCAGUGUGGCUCUAUUGGUUUAUUAAGAUUUGUAAUUUUGGUGUGUGUUUUGUAUACGAAGUUGUUGUGGAUCAAGUAAUUUAAUCAAGUCCAUUUGAGUCAAUGGAAUUACCGAACGUGUUGUCUUCUUUUUGGCUUGAUCUUGUUCUACUGUGUGUGCUCUGGAUUGACCUUCUUAGGCUUGUUUCUGUGGUGUAGAGAGCCAGGUUUGUCUAUUACUUGUGCUGGUGGCUUUGGCUAUAGGUUGGUGAGUUUAAAGACUGAUGUUUGCUCUUUAGGCCUGGUUUGGCUAUGGUCUGGUUGCCUGCGUGUAGUUCAUGUUUUUCCUAAUGUUUUAGGGUUGCUUUUACUUUCAGUGUUAUUUUCUCUAGUUCAUGUAAUAAGCAGCAGGCAUGUUGCAUGCCAGCGCCACGAGGCAAUGCCAGAAGCGCUAUUCGGCUACAGCAUCACAGCCAAAGGGCGUCCAUCGUGAAGGCAACAAUUAUAUGAAGCAUCACUUCCUGUAGGUCAGGUAGCAUAAUAUUUCAAACAAUGGAAGUAAAUGCAUACAAACUACUCCCUCCGUCCCAUACUGUGUAAAAAACGCUCUUAUAUUACGAGACGGAGGGAGUACAUUAUAUCCCUAACAAAUAAGAGGCAAAAUAGACAGGUGUGGUAAUGUGCGCCAUCAAUGAUGUAGUACACUCUAGAACAGUUGGACAAUUACUAAGUUUAACAAUCAUAUUUUCUGAACCUAUAUUAGGAUAUUUGUUUAACUAAUGAAGUAGAAUCCAUUAUGAAGAUAUUUAUAUAUGUCGUGCACACACACACACACACACACACACACACACACACACACACACCAUAAUUUAUUACCUUUUUUACAUUUGUUUAUGAUUUGUUAUAAGUUGAAUCAAUUCUACAAUAUGCCUCAAACUAAAAUUUGAACAAAAAGGAGACAAUUGCAUGAUUAAUUUUAUCCCAGAUUUUUAAAAGAUUGACAUGUGAUUUUAUAACAAUAAAUUUUGAUUAUUUUACAUACCUACUCGUUUGUGUGAAUAAUAUUGCUAGAUACAAUUGAAACAAAUAGUGUUGAUCAUUGUAUGGCAUAUGUUAUAUUGAUUCAAAAUAGGGUUGAGAUUCAGUGGCAAUUAGAUACCAAGAAGUACAAGUGUUUAAUAUAAAAUGCGGGAUUUGGUGGUCGCCACCUCUCGUUCGUGGUUGAUUUGCGGUACAAAGUGGUAUAUUUUAUCUCCGCUCUACAAAUAUGUUAUAUACUAACAGAACAAGUAUAAUAUGGAGGACGGCGAUUCAAUGCACGGGCAUGUGGCCGGUAUCGUGUGCGUUUGAUCCGGUGUGGGGAUUUGGAAAAAUGCUGACGUGGGACAGGUUUUAGCAGUUGAAAAAUCGCGUAUACAUGAGGAGUCGUAGGAACAGUGAUGUAUGGCGGGACCAAACCGUAGGUGGCAGGCGAGAUUAAUGGGGUGGGCGGAGAGAGGCGUCGAGUCCGAAGUUAUAGGCCGUGGCUCAGGAAUGUGAGGAAAAUCAUUGGCAUGGGGACGGAAUGUGCACCUGAUAGGGUCGGGGGUUGUCGAACUUAAUCAAAACGUGGUUUUCCCGUGUGUCCCGUGCACACCACUAAAGCUACAUAAGUUGUUCUUCGAAAAAAAACUAUAUAAGUUGUUCGUUUCGGUUCUUCUUAGAUGAGCUGGGUUUAUUUUUUGCAAAAAGAUCAGAUUUAUUAUAAAGAUUCCCCACAAAGCCGCCUGAUUGUGCGACGCUGCCGAUUUCAUUUGCUGCUAGCAAUGGGGGUGAUUAUGGGGGUGUUGCUGAAACACCUACCCACCCGAAGUGCGGAAGGUUCGAUCGUGUGUGUGCGUGUGGAAGGACCAUUCAAAGAUGAUCCGUUAAAUUUAGAUGAGAUGAUUCCAGUAAUACACUACCACGUUGUUCCAUCGGCGUCCUCCUCAGAUGCACCAAACGAUCAUCGACGUCCUCCUCCGAGGAGGAUCGCCUGGAGCAAUUAAACUAAUAAGUUGGAACUGUCGGGGUCUCUUGGGAACCCCGACGGUUCUUUUGCUUCUGGACAUCCAGAGGUGACAUAAUUCAGAUGCGUUUUUUCUGUCUGAAACGCAUUUGGAUGAGGAUAGGGCAGCUUGAGAAGGAAAAUGAGGAUGGAUUACAAAAUCGUUGCGCCAAGCCUUGAUGGAAGGAAAGGUGGUUUGCUUUUAGUCUGGAAGAAGGAGGUGAGGAUCUACUCCGGGACUACCACUUUUAGUGUCAUCAAUGUGAUGGUGGAGGAAUCAAAUGGAAGAGAAUGAAGGCUUUAGGGAUUGUAUGGGGAGCCGAGUUGGGAUCAUACGUACCAGCUAAUACUUGCAUGCUCAAUCUAAUCUCCUGUGGGUGGUCAUUGGUGAAUUUAAUGAGAUUCUAUUCUCGACAGAAAAGGAGGGAGGUGCGCCACGGAGCAAGCGCUAAGAUGUGCUUCGAAAGGCACAUAAUCUUCAUCUCCUACAGAUAUCUGCAACAUCUGCUGAUUUUAAUUCCCUGAUGUGCAGUUUGGUAAAUCCUACUCAUCUUUGCUAUCUAAAGCUCGGAGUCGUUAAGGUGCAUGAGGGUUUGCCUCAAGUUUGGAGCAAGUUUUGCCAUCUUCAAGUAUUAGAUUCUUUGUCUGGACGCUGCUGCAGAACAGACUUUGGACUGCAAAUCGACUGCUUGUGAGAGGCUGGAUCAUCAGGAUACUUGCUCCACUUGUGAUCAGGUGCUUGAGUCUGCCCACCACCUGAUAUUCGCCAAGCAGGUCUAGACUGCAUACCAAAAUACGAGACCACUGGCAAGCCAGGCAGAGCUGCACUCAACCUCUGUUGGGACUUGGGACCUGGUGGGAGACGAUCCUGCCUCUCAGGGAAAAAGGACAGGGCACUGAUGAUUGCACCUUCUCAGCUUACGUGGCAUGCAUGGAACCUCUGGAAUGAGCGAAAUCGAAGAGUUUUCAGAAAUCAGCAAAAGAACCCUGUGUGUGUUCGAAGAUUAACGAUGAGAUCAGCCUCUUUGAUGAGGCAUGGGAGAGCAAUAGUUUUUUUUUCUUUUGAACUGUACAGCCAGGCAGCUGAGGCAGGCCUUGCUUGUACUGGGUCUUUUAUUCUUUUUUCAGCUUUUCCUAGUAGCUUCACUACUACUGUAAAGUAUUUCCCCCUCCUUAAAUGAAAAGGCAGAGCACCUGCCGUUCCGGUCAAAAAAAAAUGUCAACUGUGUUGGUCAGUGGAUCUAGCUAGAGCCUUACUGCAGAACACAUGGCAGCAUAGGUAUAUUUGUCAUAACCGAGGUUAGCAUCUGUGGCUGCGUGCUGUUUUACUGCCUCGGAAAGUGGUGCUUCGCGGCCUUUUAGGCGCAAUUCCACCAUGGAUCAUGUCAUGCCCAGAGUUUACAUGCUGAAGUUCUGUUAUUAGUUUCUUGGAAAGUAUAAAAAGCUGAUCUUGUGACAGUUUCCUGGGCUGGCACGCUGUCACGUGAGCGCCUCGUCCUCAUGUAAUCCGUUUUGCUUGCCAUAUCCACUGAAAGCACCGAAAACAAAGUGAUACGUUAUUUACUGAAUCUUGUGAACUCAAACUGCAAACUUAAUCUUUUCAUCUCCUUGACUUGAGAAGGAACUCUGUGGGGACUUUGGUAAUCCCUAGUAAGAUAUGCAUUGUGCAGUCUGCAGUUCAUUACAAGAUUGCGUGAAGAAACAUUUGCAAAACUCCCUCGAUAUGAUAGGCCGUGCAGAAUUUCUCUGUAGCUACACUGAUGCACUUGGUAGGCCUGAACUCAUAUGUUGCGGUGUCUUGAACUGAUAUGUCAUACCUUGAUCCGUCAGAGUUCAGGACGCAUUCAGCAGCAGACGCCUAAUCGAUCUCUCCUUAAAUUUGAAUGUGCGACCCUACUGGUUGCUCACUACGUGGUUCUUGUUCAUUGUGCACUAUGCUAUCUUGUCAUCUUAUAUGGAGUUCAUUUCCUGGGGGUGCUUUGGGAUAAUUUUGCUCCAGGCAUGCUGUCCUUCUUCCGGUGAGGUUUGCAAAAACUUGUAGUAAUGACUUUGUGUUCCCCCGUUGUAAUCUUAAUCGUUUGUUUGUCAUGUUCAUGACUUGCUGGCCGCGUUUGGAAGCCCUGUAAGUACCAUAUUAUAGCUCUGAUCUCUUUGGUUUAUCUAUAAGAUUCAACCCAAAUAAACUCUAAACCGGCUAAGUUUCAACCCUCAACCAUGAGAACCGGCUAAUUUUUCUUGUCUCAGCUUGAACCUUCUUGUUCAAUUCUGCUUCUUCUUUCUUCUUGGCAGUUCUCUCCAAUGUAGCCAACCUUCUUCUCUCUGCAAGCUCAGCUUUCCUCUGUGCAACCUCAUGUUUCCUUUUUGCUAUCUCUGCAGCUCUCUUCAAUUCCUCUUCUCUUCUAGAUGCAAGUAUUGCCUUCUUCCUCUCCUCUACUUCCCUAUCUUUCUGAUUCUUCAUGGCCUCCAAUUUCUGUACCAACUCACCUGGCCUUAUGGUGCUUGAACUAGCUUGGCUCCCUUGGCUUCCAUUACUCUGGUUGAGCAGCACUUGGGCAGCAGUAAGGAAAGCAGAAGCAGGUACUGGCCUUUGUUCAACAACCCUUGUUGUUGGCAUCUACGAAGAAUGUACAUUUGAUGAGAAUAAUAGGAUAUUCAUGUACAAAGAAUGUACAUUUGAUGAGGAGAUCAGUAGUACCUGGGCAAUCAUGUUGUCAACCAUGAGAUCACCACAUGCAGGAGCCACAUUUGUAGGAGUCACAUUGGCACCAACAACACCUUCAUUUGGAGGAGUGGCAUUGACAGCAGCAGUACCUUCAUUUGGAGGAGGCACAUUGACACCAGCAUUACCUUCAUUUGGAGGAGGCACAUUUGAAGAUGGUUGAUCAUUUGGUGGAGGCACAUUAGGUGGUGGCAGUCCAGCCUUCAAGGUCUUGCACCCCUUCCUGUUGUGAUCUGCAUCACCACAAAGAACAAUGCAUAAUGACACCAUGCCUUGUGAUUUUCUUCCCUCCCCUCCUAUGAUCAACCUCUCCAGGUGCCUGUCUCCUUGUAGUACAUGGCCUUCCAACAUGCUUCUGGUACAAUGGUGGCAUUAUUGGAGGCCCAUGUAAGUCUUCCCAUUCACUCCUAUCUCUACAAGGAUAGAUAAUAUUGCCAUAUGCUUUCUUGAACACAUGUUUUGAGUAGCAAUGAUCAACCAUGUUCAAAGGAUCAACUCUAUCAUUCCUGCAGCAGGCUACCACAUGAGAGCAUGGAAUGCCUGCUUUCUGCAUUCUUCUACAUGUGCAGGUUUUCUUGUGCAUGUCCACUAUGUAAUCCAUUCCUCUAUCACCUGCUAGGAAUAAGCCAUCUCCUGAUCCCUCCACAUAGCAUGUGUUUGCAAAUUCUGUUACCUUUUCAACCUUCUUCCUGAUCUUUGGACAUACAUCUCCUUGCCAUUUAUCUGACUCCAGCUGUUUGUUGUAAUGCCUUGUCAUAAGUUGCAUGUAAAUCCUGUCAACCAUGAUCAGUAUUGGUAGUUCCCUUGCUUCCAGGAUAUACCUGCAUUUAACAGCAAACCAUGGUAAGUAUUGGUAAUUCACUACAUUGAAAAGCAUUUUGGCAAACUUCACAAAUGUACCUGUUGAAAACUUCACAAAUGUUGUUAAGCAGAAUAUCACAUUUUGGCAAGUCACUUUGAAAAGCCUUAACCCAAGUUUGUGGUUCUAGCUCAUGCAGCCAUUUGUAUGCCUUAACAUUAAGAACCUUCAUCUCCUCCAUGCCCUGUUCAUACAACUGCACUGUAUUGCUCCUAGCUAUCUUCCAGAGUUGAUUCUUCAAGAUGUCACCUUUGAAAUGUUGUUGAAAGUUUUGCCACAUGUGCCUAACACAAUAUCUGUGUUCUGACUCAGGGAACAGUCCUUCAACUGCAUUGAUGAGCCCCUACAAUUGCAAAGCAACAUAACCAUUCAGAAGCUAUUCACAACCAUUCACAUAGUAAUUACACAUAAACUUUGAAAAAAAAGAUGGUACUUACCUUUUGUUUGUCUGACAUGAUAGUCCAAGGUUCAGUGUUUAUGAUGCCUAGGUCCCUUUUGAGUGUGUCAAGAAACCAUGACCAGUUAGGGGUGUCCUUAACUUCAACCACAGCAAUGGCAAUUGGAAAUAUGCAGUUAUUUGGAUCUACCCCAACAGCUGCAAGCAGUUGUCCUCUGUAUCUAGUUUUAAUGUGGCAACCAUCUAGGAAGAUGACUGGUCUACAACCCUCCAGAAAUCCUCUCUUGCAAGCAUAUAGACACAUGUACAACUUGCUGAACCUAGCAUUUUCAUCUAAUGAAACAUAGAAGGAUGAGCCAGGGUUGCUUCUCCUUACCUCAUUAGCAUAAUUCCAUAGCAGCUUGUACUGCCCUUCCUCAUCACCAUAAAUAAUUUUUAUAGCCAUUCUCCUUGCUCUUUGAAGUUUCAUCCUAGUGGGUGUCAUAUGCCAUUCUUUCUGAACAACCCUUGAGAAAUUCAUCAAGUUCAUAUCUUGAUCAGCCCUAAAGCUCUCUAGGUAUUUCAUUGCUAGGAAUCUUGGUGUGAAAGCCCUAAUCUUCCACUUCUUGCUGCAUGUGUGCUCAUGCACAUAUCUCUUCACCAUGAAAGCCUUAGUUCUGCUAUCAUAUGAUGCCCACAAGUACCAUGUGCAGUCUUCAUCACAUUUUGCUUUCACUCUUUUCCUAUCAUUCACAGGAAGCUUGAUAUCAGCUCUGUUCUGGCAGGAGUACUCUUUAAUUGCUUUCUUAGAAGCUCCACACUCUCAAAAACCUGCCCUACAUGGAAUUUUGGCCUAUGAAGAUCCUCUGGUCUGAAAGUUUUGAACUUUAAAUGCAUUUCCUCAUCAUCAGAAUCAGGUGCCCACAAAUCUUCACCUUCAGACAAGUCUUCAUCUGAAUUGUACUGCUGCUUGCUUUUGUCUUCAUCUGUAGGUUUCACAUGCUUGACUUUCUCCUUUGAAUUGUUCUUAUGGUUCUGUUCUGGUUCAUCCUCAUCAACAUUAUCUGCAAACAAGUCAUCAUCAUCAUUUCCUAUCUCAUUGUCACUGUCCACAAGUACACCUGGGUCAUAGUCCUCAUCAUCUGUAUCACUUGCAUCAUCCUCUGCUUCCAUAUCAUGACUGCUUUUGAUCCUCCUACUUGAUGUGCUUCCUCCAACAUCCUCAUUUGCAACAGCUUCUGCAUCUUUCCCUGCUUCAACUUCAGGGUAUACAACCUGGAGAGGAGUAGGUGCUGCCUCUGGUUCUGCCUCUGCUUCCCCUGUUUUUGCAGUCAUGCUGCUGCCCACUCUUUUUGCAGGACUAAAUACUGGAGGCAAAGUGGCUCUAGGAUAGUUCACAACAUCAUCCUCACUUAGGUUUGCUUGUAAGCUCUCAUCAUGAUCAAGAUAUAUACUAAAGGAGUGGUGCCCAAUAUCAAUAAACAUCAACAUUCUAUCUGUUUGCUCAUCAUCACUAAGCUGCUUGAGACCAUUAUUACUGAGUGUAAGGAUGGUUGACACAAUAGUAUACCUUCAACCUCCCUGCCAUCUCAUAACCAAUCUCCUCAACAAGGUGUUCAAUCAUAAUUGGUGACCAAGUGACCUUCUCCAGAUUAUCGUACCAAAUGGCACGACCAUUAACAUAAGCACGAUUACUUCCAUGCCCAACAAAAAAUCCACCAUGGUUGAUUUGCACAGAGAAGUUGGUGCUUCGAGGGCCUGAUACACAAGACAGAAACAUCAUGCAUCAUAAUUGACUCUAGCAUCAUUUCAUUCGAGUUUCUAAAACCCUAACCCCCAAAGACCAUCAAAUCCAAUACCGAAACCAUCGAAACUACCAGCUGCAUACCAUCUAUAAUGACAAUGCGGGCCAAAAAGGAGUGUCUUUGAACAUCAAAAUGCAAAAAAAGUCGGAUUUAUGCAAGAUGAAACUUACUGUACACGGGGGGAGGCGCCCCUUCUGCGCGACGAACAGGGGCCAUCGCCACCACCUACCACCGGUGGAAUUGACGCGGCGGCGGCGCCUCUCCAGCCACGGAAGAAAUCAGCACGCGGCGGCGCCUGUAGGCCGAUGAUCGCCGGGGCGGCGACGCCUAUGCAGCGCCUUCCCUGUCUCCAAUCGAAGACGAAGAGGCGUCGUCAGAUAGAGGAGCGGGGCGGACAGCGGUGGUGUGGUGGGGCGAUUUUACACUUAAUCCCUCGCCGCAAGAUUGGCCUAAUCGGAGCUGAGAACGUGGCGGUCAACAGGUGGUCAAAGGAGCGGCUACUCACCGCAUACGACCAACAGUGACCGUACAUUCACGUCACAUCGUAUAUAGUGACCGUAACAGCCGUAUUUCUAAGUUCAGUGACUGUAUCGGGCUCUCGUCGCAACUACAAUGACCGUGAGUGUAAGACAAUAAGUUUUGGGGGAACCAGCACAACCCUCUAGGGGUGGCUUAUCUCAUUAUAUAUAAUGGAUGUGUUACAAUAUGUACAAUAUACGUACAUAAGUACAGAAGCUAUACAUAGUCUAACACCCUCCCUCAAUCUUAGCCACUUUCUAAAGAACUGAGAAGGGUAAGAUUGCGCCUACAAGCCUCAAACUGUGGCAGAGGUAAAGGCUUAGUGAAGAUGUCUGCAAGUUGAUCCUUAGAUGAGAUAAACUUGAUCUGGAGUUGCUUCUGUGAUACACGUUCCCGUACAAAGUGAUAAUCAACUUCAAUGUGUUUCGUUCGGGCAUGAAAUACUGGAUUUGCAGAAAGGUAUGUAGCACCGAUGUUAUCACACCAAAGAAUAGGAGGCUGUGGUUGAGACAAACCCAACUCCUGAAGCAAAGACUGCACCCAAAUAAUCUCUGUAGUAGCAUUAGCCACAACCUUGUACUCAGCUUCAGUACUGCUACGUGACACAGUAGCCUGUUUCCGAGCACUCCAGGCGAUCAAAUUAGGGCCAAAGAAUACUGCAUAACCCCCCGUGGAUCGCCUGUCAUCUGGGCUACCAGCCCAAUCUGCAUCAGAGAAGGCCGAAAGGACCCGAGAGGAAGUCGGCCGAAUAUGCAUACCAAAUGUCAGGGUGAACUGAACAUAACGAAGAAUGCGUUUAACAGCAGCCCAAUGAGUAUCUCUGGGAGCCUGAAGAUACUGACAAACCCUGUUAACAGCAUAAGAGAUAUCCGGUCUCGUGAUCGUCAAGUACUGAAGUCCACCAACAAUGCUCCUGUACUCUGUGGCAUCCGCAGGAGACAAAAGCUCACCAUCAACAGCUGUUAUCUUGUCGGUAGACGACAUGGGUGUGGUGGUCGGUUUGCACUUCAGCAUGCCCGCUCUUUGUAACAACUCCAAGGAGUACUUCUUCUGCGUAAGGACAAGACCAGUAGCACGAGAAGUGACCUCAACUCCAAGAAAGUAGUGAAGCUUCCCAAGAUCUUUGACCGCAAAAUCAGCACCAAGAGAGCAGACAAGAGCAUCAGCAGCAUACUGAGAAGAGCUGACAAGGAUAAUAUCAUCGACAUAUACCAAAAGAUACAUAGUGACUUCUGGCUUCUGUAGAAGAAAUAAUGAAGUGUCAGCAGUGGACGGCACAAACCCAUGAGCACGAAGGGCAGAGGCAAGGCGGGCAUGCCAGGCACGAGGAGCUUGCUUCAAACCAUAUAGUGCUUUGGAGAGACGACAGAUAUAGUCAGGACGAUCAGGAUCAGAGAAACCAGGCGGUUGUUUCAUAUAAACCUCUUCCUCCAAAAAUCCAUGUAGAAAAGCAUUCUGCACAUCAAGUUGACGAAGUGACCAACCACGAGAAACAGCAAUGGAGAGAAGAAGCCGAAUAGUGGUAGGCUUGACGACAGGACUGAAGGUGUCCUCAUAGUCAAGACCAUGGCGCUGCCGAAAACCGCGAGCAACAAGUCGCGCUUUGUAACGCUCAAUAGAUCCAUCCGAAUGCUUCUUCACUUUGAAUACCCAUUUUGAGUCAAUAACAUUUACCCGUGGUGGUGGAGGAACGAGAGUCCAUGUCUUGUUACGAAGGAGAGCAUCAAACUCCUGCUCCAUAGCCUCUCGCCAAUGUGGAAUGCGCAGGGCAGCCUGAUAUGAGCGAGGCUCAGAAGAUGGAUCCGCAACAGCAGCAGCCAAACAAGCAGCCAACCAAGCAACCGUACCAUCCUUACGUUCCUUAGGUUUGAAAAUGCCACUGCGACUGCGUGUAUGUGGUCGGGACACAGGAACCACCGAGGUCGACGGAGCAGCCUGCAACGGGCUGGAGGACGGCGACGUUGACGAGUCAGCCGGUGACGAGGAGCCAGACACGGUAGCCUCGGGCUCGGUCGGCGAAGAAGGCCGGCCCACCGGCGAAACCGGCAGAGCAGACGAAGCAGUUGGCGACGCCGGCGUCACAGACCGGGCCGAUGGCGAGCCCGGCAUAGUGGGCUGUGGCGCGGCCGGUGUCGCGGGCCGAUCCGCGGAUGAAGGCGACGUGAGGACGGCGUCGCGGACCCGAGCUGCAGGCGAAGACGGCGUGACGGGCCGAGCCGCGGGCGAAGACGGCGUGACAGGCCGAGCCGCUGAAGACUCGGCGGCCGCUGGCGAAGAGGGCCGAGCCGCUGGAUACUCGGCGGUCGCUGGCGUAGCGGACCGAGCAGUGGAGAUGCUCGGCGCGACGGGCUCUUCGGGUGACCAUGCAUGGGCACGCGAAUCGAUGCCAUGCAACAUAGGGCGAUCGACGUGCCCAUCAGAAGGCGGCGAUGAUGAUGGUGAAUCCUCCAACAGCUCCAAACGAGCCCCACGUCCGGUUCCUACACCAUGGUUAGGUAACAGCAAAGGAGAGUAUGCAACAUCAUCAAAUUGGUCAGAAGCAACAGAGGAUGAAUGCAGAGAUGGUGGUUCGAUAGUGGACACAGGAAGUUUGGCAAAGGGAAAAACAUGCUCAUCAAACACGACGUCCCGAGAUAUAUAGACACGAUUAGUGGGAACAUGAAGACAUUUGUAACCUUUAUGAAGAGAGCUAUAGCCAAGAAAAACACACUUCUUAGAACGAAACUCAAGCUUGCGCUUAUUAUAUGGACGAAGAUGCGGCCAGCAAGCACACCCAAAUACCUUGAAAAAGGUAUAAUCAGGUUGUUCAUUAAGGAGAACCUCAAUGGGAGUCUUCAUGUUUAAAACACGAGUGGGAGUACGGUUGAUGAGAAAGCAUGCAGUGGUGAAAGCAUCACUCCAAAACCGAAACGGAAUAGAUGCAUGGGCCAAAAGAGUAAGACCAGCUUCAACAAUAUGACGAUGCUUACGUUCGACUGAACCAUUCUGCUGAUGUGUAUGUGGACAUGCUAAACGAUGAGCUAUCCCAAGCGACUGAAAGAAGGAGUUGAGGUUNNNNNNNNNNNNNNNNNNNNNNNNNNNNNNNNNNNNNNNNNNNNNNNNNNNNNNNNNNNNNNNNACUGGACAUGAACAAUUUUGUGCUUGAGAAGACGUUCAACAUGUUUUUGAAACUGAACAAAAAUAUCAAACGCAUCAGAUUUGCGUUUAAUAAGGUAAAGCCAGGUAAAGCGACUAUAAGCAUCAACGAAACUGAUAUAGUAAUUAUGACCACUGACAGAAGUCUGAGCAGGACCCCAUACAUCUGAAAACACAAGUUCUAAAGGAUGUUUCACCUCACGACUGGACUACGAAAAAGGAAGUUGAUGACUCUUCCCCUGCUGACAAGCAUCACACACUGCUACAUCUUUAUUACUAGACAAACUAGGAAGCUCAUGACGAUGCAAAAUAUGACGGACAAUAGGUGUGGCGGGGUGACCAAGACGAGCAUGCCACUGUGACGGAGAGACCCGAACUCCACUGAAAACACGGGCGACGCCAGGAUGCUCCAGACGGUAGAGGCCCUGGCACAACCGCCCACUAAGAAAAAUGUCCCUCGUGCCCCGAUCCUUAAUAAAAAGAUCAAAAGGGUGAAAUUCACAAAGCACAUUAUUAUCACGUGUGAGUUUAGGAACUGAAAGAAGAUUACGGGUCACAGAUGGAACUCGAAGAACAUUGCGAAGCUGAAGACUCCUAUUGGCAUGUCUAGUGAGAAGAGAUGCUUGACCAAUAUGAGAGAUGUGCAUACCUGCUCCAUUGGCGGUGUGGAUCUUGUCGGAGCCAUGAUAGGGUUCACGAGUGUGAAGCUUCCCCAUCUCGCUGGUCAGAUGCUCUGUCGCCCCAGAGUCCAUGUACCAGUGUGGAUCGAUGGAGUAGGACUGAGUGUGUCCCUGUUGCUUCUGCGGCGCGGGACGAUCAGCCAUGGCGACCUGAUGGGCAUUGUUGCGUGUAUCUUUGCCGUCAUUGCCAAGACCAAGGAAGCUUCGCUGGAAGCGCUUAUGACACUUGGAGGCCCAGUGCCCAUCGCGGCCACAAAGCUGGCACACACGUGGACCGCCAGCCCCCGGUAAGGUCGCAGUAGGUGGGGGGGCCGAGGCGGGCGACGGUGGCAGCCCCAAGGGAGACCGGGGUGAUGAAGAAGAGCGGCCACCCUUGGUGGCGGCGUUGGCCGAGAGGGAGCCAGUGCCCCUGGAGCGGCGUGUCUCGACCCGUUGCUCAGUGAGAAGGAGCCGAGAGAAAACCUCGUGUGCCAGCAUGGGUGUCGAGUUGCCCCGCUCGUUGAUGAUCUCGACUAAGGCAUCAUACUCCUCAUCAAGACCAUUGACAAUAAACGAGUUGAACUCGGAGUCGGUGAGGGGCUGUCCAAUGGAGGCCAAUGUGUCGGCGAGGCCCUUGACCUUGUUGUAGAACUCAGUGGCAGUGGAGUCAAGCUUCUAACACUCUCCAAGCUGACGACGGAGUGCAUAGACACGAGCCUGGGACUGCGCUGCAAAGGUUCGCUCAAGAAUGGUCCAGGCCUCAUGAGACGUCUUCGCGAAGACAACAAGUCCGGCAACUGCCGGCGAGAGCGACCCCUGGAUGGAGGAGAGGUUCGCCUGGUCCUGCCCCGUCCAGACGCGAUGGGCCGGAUUAUAGACCGGACCGUGCACGCUGUCUACCAGUGCGGGUGGGCAGGGAAGCGAUCCGUCGACGUAGCCUAGCAGGUAGUGACUCCCCAAGAGCGGGAGAACCUGCGCACGCCAGAAGAUGUAGUUGUCGGCGGAGAGCUUGAUGGUGAUGAGAUGACCGAAGUGAAACGGCGGCGGCGAAGACGAUCCCAUCGAGGGGGCUGCCUGGGGUGCAAACACCAUGGAGGCAGCCGGAGGCACCGAAGCCGAUGCGGGAGGAGGCGGGACCGCAGCCAGGGCGGACAUCGCAAAGCUCGCGGCCGGGUCGGACACCGCAAGGCCCGCGGCCGGGGCGGACGCCGCCAACCCUGCCAGCGGGGCGGUGUGAUCCGCUUGCGGCAGGAGCGGCGGGACGACGCCCGCGGAGUCCGCAGCGGACGGCGGCGCCGUGGUGUGGACCACGAGGUCGCGCCCAAGCGAGGGCGCCGGCGGCGUGGAGUAGACGGAGCCGAUGCUCCUGGUCCCGAUCGGAGCCGGAACGGCGACGGCAUCGAGCGGGAGGUUGAGCAGAGCCGCAAGAGAGGCCGGGAGGAACCCCGCAGCAGUGGAACCGGUGGUGGCGGCGCUCGACAUGGCGGCGGUGAAGGCGGCGGCGGCUGCGGCUGCGGCGGCGGUGCGGGUAUUAGGGUUUGGAAGCGGAAGCGAUCGUAACCUAGCGUGAUAACAUGUAAGACAAUAAGUUUUGGGGGAACCAGCACAACCCUCUAGGGGUGGCUUAUCUCAUUAUAUAUAAUGGAUGUGUUACAAUAUGUACAAUAUACGUACAUAAGUACAGAAGCUAUACAUAGUCUAACAGUGAGGGUAUUUAUCUCCGAAUUAAAACUCGGGUUGAUUCCAGUGUCCACUGCAUGCAUCGAUCCCCGAUUUGAUCCCCGCACGUCGUUAGUCAUUACUCGAUCGGUUGGUGAUCGACUUUGCAUCGGCUGGUGGUCGAUCGCAUCGUCGUAGGUUCCACGCCGUACAUGCCCUUUGCUAGGGAGCCUACAUAAGUCAGAGCGUAACUGAUUCUCCGUCUUUCAUUUCCGCGAGUGCGGUGCGCCAGCCGGGCAUUAAUAUACCAGUGCAACAAGAGUUGGAGCUCGCAGCGUGGAUUGGCCUGGCUGGUUACCAACUCUUAUAGCAUCUCCAAUGCCGAAUCUCAAAUCGCUCGUCAUCGUCUAGACCGAGCUGUCUAAAGGGCAUUUUGUCAAUCCAACGUGGCACCUCAUCGGUCCAUAGAGUAGUUCAAACGUCUACUUUUCCACAAGCGGACGCAAACCAGGGGCUUUGCGGGCGUCUAGACCGCUGCCACGUACCCGGCCGCCAACCCGGUCCCACCCAAAUCCUCUCCCACGCCCGCACACUCUAACCUGCAAAGCGGUUGCCGCGCAUUCAUGCCGGUCCAGAGUGCCAACGCCUCAUGCAGGCCGGCCUAGAGCGGAUACAACCUCUUACUGCAGCAGCAGUUAUUGAAGCGGCAUGUCAGCAAAAGGCGUUGCCUAUUCUCCGUGCAUGUUCCAAUACCGGAGACGCGUGACCUGGCGGGGCUGGACGACUGUGCACCGCAUUCAAACUGGAUCUCGCUCAUCUUCUUGUCAGCAUUAAACUGGUGCGGCAGCAGAGAAACCUACUCCGGCACCCGUAUUGGAACACCACGCCACGUGUCCCGAAUGGUGUAGCUAUUUAAACGCUGCCUCCUCCCCUUGCACGACCAGCACGACCACACCACGUCAUCCAUGACCACGAGCUGUAGACAUAUGUGGGAGAGCCUCAUGAUGGAGUAGAAGGAAGAGUUGGCCUGCAUUGGGGCCGACCGGGUGGCCCGUCGUGCGCGACAGACUGAGGAUGGCUUGCCAGCUAGCUCGUCGGAGGUUAGCGAAGAGGAGGCGUCUGACGAUGAUCUGAUGCCCUAGCCUGCGUAGUUGCACUUCAAUGUCAUUGUGGCUGAAAAGCAGCCAGUGUCACCUGUCACGGCGUCCCAACAGGAACCGGGGACGGGGCAGCACUACACCCUCUGGCUCCUUGACGAGCACCGGAUCGCGGGGGCGGGGAGGGGAGGCAAAUCAUCGACGAGCAGGCGAAUGACGAUGUCAUCAAGGCAUGGUCACGGAGGAACCGAGCUUCUUGGAUGAGCAGUGGGCGUUGGACAAGUUCAUGCGGGAUUGCAACUGCGUAUCCAGCGGGCGAACAUAUAUGCCUUGUUCACGGAUAUCGACGCGGUGGCAGAGGAAGAGGUUGCGCAGGCAACCGCGGACAUCGCUAGCUCCGCAUCGGCCAUGCCACCACUGCGGUUCGCGCCCCGCCACAAUGACCAAGACCCGACCUUGCACGUCCAGUGCCAUCGAUAUGGCGGACAACGGCAUGGAAAAGUAGAACAUGGAAGGCCACCAUGGCUUGAGUCCCAGGAAGACCACUGCCCACGUCUUGUCGGGGAUCACAACUCGUUAGCUUGUCGGACAUGGUGAAGACUGCCAUGGGAACGGACGCCACUGUGGCUGGCGAUCAUUUAGACUAGGUUAAAAAAGUCUAGUCCGCUAUAGUUUAGUUGAAAUAUGGUGAAAUGUAAUGAUUUUGAUCCGAUUUAGAUGAAAAUCAUCCAGUUUGCAUGAAUGUUAUCUGGUUUAUUCAAAUUCACUUCAAAAAUGUAUGCGGGAACGGUUGGAUAUCCGGCUCCCAUAUCACUUUUUCCGGACGCAUCUGGGCGCGUCGGCAGACGAUUAUUGUGUCCUUUUUAGGGGUUCGCAGUGGAGCUGCCCUUAUGUGGCUUUUAUAUUCGUUCCAAAGGGCCUUUAGAAGGAAAACUAAUGUCUCCAGAGUAAAUGUGCACAGUCAGGUUUCAUAAGCUGUAGCAUCAUUUCCUCUCCUGUUUCUCUCAUUUACUUUGUUGUUUAUAUCGCUCCAUUUAACAUCCAAUUUCAAAGGAAGAUGACACAAACUUUUAGGUGUUGAGCGUCACACAAUUUCACAAAAUUUGCAAUACAUUAAUCUCAAAAUGUCAAACUCAAGUCCAAAUGUGACUACAUAUAACCAUGCAUAGAUAGUUUCCGAAUGUGACAUAGACAUGGAUAGGUUCUAAGACAUACUGCAAAUAUCUAAGGACGCAAUGGGACGACAUAGCAUGGAUUGUGCUCGUCAUAGGAGUAGGAGAAAGAUAUUUCCAUGAUCAUGGCGGCAGCCGCCUGGGCAGCCCUCAUCCGUCCAUCCCGCUUGGCCCAGGCGGCGGUCUCGAAGGUGUAAGGCUCUGUUGUAUCCUUGAGCAUAUGCUCAUGUUUGGCCAAGCGUGGGCCUUAGUGGUGGAAGUGGAGGCCUCUAUCGCCUUCUGGAGCCUCCUCUCCUCUUCGGCCAUGGUCAUGCCAUCCUCAUUGGCCGACUCGACGAGAUUAUCCCAAGUGAUCUCGUCAUGGGAGUCCUGGGGAGGCAGGAGGGCCUGGACAUCAAGGGGAACUGAAAAGUGCACCUAUUGCCUUUAGUAGGUUUUGAUGAUAUAUGAUAGCUUGAUUAACAGUACUAAUGUUUUCUCUCAGUGUUUAUCAUCUUAUGUCCCAAAAGAUGCGAUUUCAUAGUAUUUAGUGAUCGAAUAUCACUUUGGAUCCAAAGACAUGCCAAUAUUAUCAAAGGGGGAUUCAGGUAUGUGUGAUAAAGUUUUUUUUGAAAGUUCUUGAAGAUCGGACUUUGAAAAGGUCAGAAGUCUCAUAAAAUCGAGUAGGAGUGAAAUCGGAUCAGAUUCAGACGGAUAAUGUGCAUGCCAUACCCUAUUCUGUUUUUUGGAUUUGAAAGCAAGACAAAUGUGGUAUGGAUGCAGAUUCGAAUACCGGAUUAUGUUGGAUUCAGACAUGGUACGGUGACAAAUCGGACACAGAUCAGAAACAGACAUACUACAUGCAUAUAUGACGAAUAUAUACAUGCUCUAAACUAAAAUUAUACAUAAAACCAAAGUAAAUAUUAGUAAUUAUACACUUAACACAUAAAGCACUAGAAGGUACUAAAGUAAUCCAAAUAAAAUAUAAGAAGCACAUAUCUAAUGUCAUAAGCAUAUAAAUACAAGUAUUGCUAGUUAAUAUUUAAAACUGUACCAAUUAAUUAUAUAACCAUAUUUAAAAGUUUGGAUUAUCCAUAUAAAAAGGAUUAUCAUAACCAUGGCAUAUUAGUAAGGGCAUCUCCAAAGCGUACCCUCAAACCUCCCCUAUAUGUCCUGGCCACAGUUCUGGAACACUUUUGUCAUCCAAUGGGAACCUAUAUAUGUCCGCUGAGCAGUCCGUACGUACGAAUUCCGGCAUCCUAGUAACAAAUGUGGAGGGGGAGGGGGGUUUGCCGGAGUCCGGACAUGCACUUGACCAACACAAAGCCUCCGGUCUUCCUCUCUUUUCUCUCUAUCUUCACAUGCAUGGCCCCCCUCCCCUCAUUCUCUUCCGAACCAGAUACCACACCACAAUAUCCCAUCAAAAGUAUCUGCAUGCAUGGUAUCCCCUUUUUGUCUCUCCUCCCAACCGGACAAAUAUAGAUUAAUUUGUGAAUAGCGUUGGAUGGCUCACAUGAAAAUCAUAGAUUAACUUUAUCAUAAGCUUUCUCAUACUGAAUUAUAAAAACCAAGCAUCUCUGCUUCGAAGUCAAAAUGGAAUGCACGGUGUUCCUCGUAAUAUUGCGUCUUCAUGGAAAAUGACAACGGUUGGGAAAGGGUGUACUUCGCAAUUGAUUAUAGCUUGAUUCAUACAUAGUAACUUCUUACAAAAAUUGGCAGAAAUAUUACAAACCUUGGUAAAGAAACACCAACACCCACACACUUGUCUGACACACUGACCCCUGACCCUCAUAACACUUAUUCUGAAGUCAUUAUGCAAAUAUUGAAAAACAGGGUAGGGAAUGAUAAAAGGCUAAACCAACCGUGCAUGCGGCGAUCAUAAAUAGCAACGUCACCCAGAGCACGAAACCAUGGGGAUUUCAGUGCUGGCCCGGAAGGUGGUAGAGACUGGAUCACUGGAGUCAGUGGUGUCCAUGGUAUCCACCGCCACCGCCACCGCCGUAGGUGGGCAUGGGAGGGACGGGAUGGUAGUCUGGGUGGGGCUGCGGCUUCGGCUCCGGCUUGGCCGCUUGGGCACGGGGUGGUAGUCCGGGUGAGGCUGGGGCUUGGGCUCCGGCUUCGGUGGCACGGGCUUCUUGUGGUGGAAGUGCUCGAUGAUGUGCUUCUUGAUUGUCCCGCACAGGGUCAUGGACGCACACUCGAGCGACGCCACGGAUGGCGUGGCGGUAUUGGCGCCGGCGAUGACACCGAAGGUGGUGCCCUCGGACACCGGCACGAUCUUGGAUGGCUCCUGGCCAGGGCACGGCGCGUUGGAUGCGGCGCUAUGGAGCUGAGCCAUGCAGUCGGCGCCAUGGAGGUCAGAAGCGAGGGGCACGCUGAAGGCGCCGGUGCCGUCGAGGGCACCCACCGCCUUGCUUGCUCUCGUAGUCGCCGUAGACGUUCUUGCACCUGAUCGCCACCUGGAGACCUGAGGUACGUUGACGGCAGAGGACAACCAUGAGCCGAUCUCCAUCUAUAUAGGUGUGUAUUUCGGGUGUGUAUAUAGUAGUAGUACGAUUGAGCUGCAUAUGUAGCUUACCCUUGAAGGCUUCCUCGGCCUUGAUGUUCUUCCUGGUGCAGUCGGCGCACUUGGCCAGACCGACGACGACGGACGCCGCCUCGGCGUUGGAAACGGCGGUCGCCAGGAGGACGGUGAGGACCAGUGCUCUCGUUGGAGCCGCCAUGUUUUUUUUUAGAAUGAAGGCUCGCGAAGAGCCCGACUUUGAAUUAACAAAACCAUCAACUGGCCAGGAAUUACAGACAAACAACAGACCACAUCGGCCCAACAAUACAAGGGAGCAUUCUAGGGAGCUUACAACUCAACGCCGCGCACAAGCUUGAAAGAAAAAUUAAAACAAAGCCCAUAGCUUGCACUAGCAGAAGACCGCAACAAACAGUACCGAGGGAAGCGACCAUCAAGCAGGAUUGAGGACCUGCUAAAACAGAGUGUGGGCAUGAACUGAACUGACGCCCAGGAUGAAGAGAUCGAAGCAUCUUCCUCCUCUCGUGCCGCCAUGUCUGAACCCGUGAAUCGAACUCAGCUUGCCUGUGUGAAGUGGCUGAUGGAUGAAUGGAUGGAACAGGCGACGCAUGGCUUUUAUAGGCCGCCGCAUUGAUCGGCGCAGCUCGAUGGGUGGUGUGGUGGCCGGCGAAGUGAUGCGUGACAACGAGAGGCCGGCUAACUCACCGAAAUUUCAGAUGGCGAGUUGAAUACCGCGCCGGCUGGAUGAUCGGAUCGGUCGGUGCGUGUGCCUCCACGUCGCUAUUGGUGAUCAACUUGGUUUGGUGGUGGAGUACGUAGGUAGGCACGGGCCGCGUCUCUCGGCAUGCACAUGCAUUUGCGUGAGUGCGUGCAUGCAUGCAUGCAGCGUAAGUUCGUAGUAGUACCCUGUUUGCUGGUGGUAAGCUGGUGUUGGAUCGACAUCAAAAUUGCUGUAAAGUGUAUGUCCAUUUUGGGGAGUAGGGAGCUUGCGGUACAGUACCAGUGAGCACUGCUUUGUUGUUCACAAGUAGAAUGUUGUGAAAAUAUGAGCAGCUUUCAGUUAUGUUUAAUCCACGAAAAAACAGAUAGAAGAUGAUCAACAUAUAGUUGACAUGAUAUUCCAACAAGAGAAGUUGGUAAACAGAACAAAAGAUCGAAGGCUAAUAGUUCAAGUUCACAUGAUCCCAUACAAGGUUAGAUUUGAUCUUACCAACAACAAGUUGCAUCGGAAAAAGAGUUGCUGAAGAUCGUGUUCUUGAAGUCCCACAAACAUAACCCUCGAACUAGAACUGAACAUACAGCCCCUCUAUGGAUCGCACCCUUAGUAUGAAACCAUCGAAUUCGAGGAUGUAGCCAAGUGCUAAUUUCAAAACGGUGUAGUGUUCAUGGUUUGAGAGUUCCAGGUCUACUUGCUACUCGUUCUAUGCCACAAUAUUUUUUGGCGAAAAAUUUAUUUUCAUCUUUUUAUUCCACUUUUUGACAAGCUAGUGAAGCCAAAAAUAACCUAACAUGUUAGGAUUGACAACCUACACUUAACUAUCAAGACUAGUGGGUGUGGAAGACCCUAUAGUCAUUCAAAAGUAACAAGUACACUAGAACUCAACCUAAUUCAUAUCUCCAAUAGAAAUAUUGAACGUUGUAGUAUCAUCAUUCAUCAUUAAGACACGCUGAUCGUAGAUAGAUAGUUCCUCCCAUACUCAUGGGGAGCUUUUUUGCAAUUUACGUAUUAUGCAAACUGAAAAUAAACUAACUCAAUUUUGAGGAAAGUAAACAUAUGAAAACGGUAAAGAUGUAAGGGCUUAUAUAUGAAUCUCCCCAAGCUUAAGCACUAAACCGGCAGGAUCUAAUAAUCCCUCUCAGUCGAUGGUACCUCGGGGUUUCUUCUCCCUUGUAGUGGAAGUGUUGUAUGCAAGGGCCUGAUGGAACAACUCAUUAGUCUUCUCUAGGUCAGCGAUGUGAUGUUGGUUCAUCCGCACAAUUUCCUCUAGGUUGGCAGUGAGGCAGGCGUUGAGAGUGGACUACUGGACUUAGUGUCCUCAACAAUCUUUUUCUCCAACUGCCUGAGAUGUUCAUGCAAAGGAUCACGGUUGAUGGGUGACCCAUUAGCAUGUACCUCAAGCCAACGAAUGUGCUCGUUGAUGUUGAUAGGAUGCGGCUUCCGUGCAUAAUUGGGGUUGACGGGGUACUUCUUCUACCAUGCUCUAGGAAGCUUGACAGAUAUAUGAGCCCCAAUAUUGAUCUUCUUGCCGGUGGUGUGGUGUGACAAGUUUAUUGAUAGGUACCCUCCAACGAUAUAUGGAUGGUAUGGCCAUCCACGACGGUUGGGGUACCCUCCUUGGGGACUUCUUCCUCAGAUGAGCUAUCUCCACCUUGAUCCCACAUUCGCCAAUCAUGCUUGAGACCUCGUCCCAACGCAUCGGGAGAAGCGUCUUCCAGCUCGAAAUCCUCCUCGUGGAAUGGGCUUGAUCCAUGUGGUGGGCAUCCGCCGGCUGCAAAGGCGACCCUCCUCCUCCUGCGAGGUCAUCUGGCAUUCGUCCCAUGAGCGUGUCAUGGCCUAAGAGAUGCUUGCCUUUACAUAAAACUUAAUAUGCAACUGGAAUAGAUUGGUUUGUCAAUGGCUAAAGGAGAGCACUCCCCAAAGGUAUAUAAAGACGUAAACCCGUCAAAUAUUCAUGAGAUUAAUUUUUGGAAGAAGAUUAGGAAAUAACCAAAGAUUUUCGGGAAAGAAUAAGGUGUCGCCGCGCGAUCAGAAGAAAAGAAGUGGCGUGGUACAAGCGAUUGCGCUCAUACCAACAGACCACCGUGUCGGUGCCCUUCGGGCAAUCGCCGCUCUGGCCCACCCAGUACAAGGCACCUAUCUACUUUGCCACCAAUCAAUACGAUCAACCCGGAGUGCAGCAAUCAUCGCAGUACUCAAUUGCAUCCUUCAUCUCCGGCCACCCUCCACUCUACAUCAUCGACCACAACAAUGACUACAUGUUCACCGAGUCGCCGACACUCGUCCAGUUGCGGCUUCCGUCCAAGGAGCCCAUGUCCGACGGUGCCCAAUCACUGUUUGGCGGAAUGCCUCCCCUAAGCUCGAUGGCGGCGACUGAGCAACGAGGCAAUGAUGAACAUGAUCCUUAAUGGUGACGGCCAUGAAGAUGUACAGGUCUAUGAUGACUACUUACCGCAUCCGGAGCAAGAGACGUUGACGGACACCCGGUAGUCAUCGGUGCUCGAUGCGGACAGAAAUAAAAAGAGGGAUUUGGCGUACUCGAACAAGGAGGAUGAAUUAUUUUGUUUGAUGUGGUUAGGCACAAGUGUUGAACCGUUUCAAUGUACGGAGAAAAAGGGCUCGGCAUUUUGGCAAAGUGUGCACGAUUGGUUUCAUGGGAAAAGCAUUAUGAGCCCUACAACAAGGAAGUUGCUAAGCCAACAAUGGUACAUCAUUCAAGGGGCCAUCAACAAAGUAUCACGGUCCGUAUGCACAAAUAGAAAACUAGUGACUAAGUUGUGUGUCAACACUCCUUGAGUUCGUAACUUUUCUUCGUGAUGCUCUAUGUGUUGGUCAUUUGAUUGAUUUUCUCUAUGUUGCAACUUGUUGAUCAUGUCAUUGUAUUGCUUUGCUAGCCCGGACGGGUAGCCAUGUUGUACCACAAGAUUGAGGGCAAGCCAUUCAUGAUGAUGCAUUGUUGGUACAAGUUGAAUGCGCAAAGCAAGUGGAGCAGCAUUACCAAUUCUCUCAAGACCACCAACCCAAAGCAAGUGAUGAAGGUGGUGAUCCAAUCGGUGCAAUUUCUAGGAGGGCUUGCACUAGCCACCCAUGUGGCUAGGUCAACGGGAAAUAAAUGGGUGAAUGAGAAAGGAAGCGAGAAGGAGUGGCGGCCAAGACGACGGGGAAAUUAUAGGACAUCAUGGCGAAGUAAGAAGAGGCAUGUGCCAAGCACAAUGAGAUCAUGGAGGAAAUUGUUCGUGGAAAUCCAAAAGAAGAAGAUUGAGUUUAAGGAUAGGAAGCUUGCGGUCAAGUAAGUGUGUGAGGAGCAAAAGGUCUAGUACAUGGAGGCUGAUGACUUGGAUCACGACGCGGCCAAGCUUGUUCACGACUUGCAUGAUAGCAUGUACACACGCCUUGUGUAAAAGGAGAGGGGAAAGUAGGCCAAAAAUUGAGGCAUUUGAUAUGGACAGCCGGUUCAUUGCUUUUGGGGUCGAUAUAUAGAUGUACAAAACUUAUUGAGUAUCCGAUGAUUUUGCUAUUGGUUACAUUUUUUUGCAACCAUUUAAAUGUAUGAUCGAAUUGUUAUUGCUCUAGAAAAUUUGACAAAGAGAGAAGGCCCGACAAGUACCUAGGACAAAAUUUGAAGGACACAAUUGCAUGACACAUCCGUGAAGGACGCAAUUGCAUGACACAUCCGCCCGGACGGAUGUUGGCGGACAGGGAAAAAUGAAUGUACUUUUUUUUUGCGGUUGAAAAAAAAUGAAUGUACUUGAUUGAUCAAGAUAUAAUGAUCGAGUAACUUUUCAUUACCAAAAUUCACACCGGUAUUACAAACCUUGGGAAAAAAUGGCCCAUGACCCAUACAUUUGCCUGACACCCGUACUUAUCCCUCAGAACUGUUAUUCUGAAUGAUAGAAGACCAAGCUAACCCGUGCACAUAUAAAUAGCAACCUCAUUCACUCACUGACAGCAACAAGCCAUCUCAGUGCUGGGCGGGAGGGUGGCAGAUCGGAGUCAGUGGUGUCCGUGGUAUCCACCGCCACCGCCACCGCCGCCGCCGUAAGUGGGCGUGGGAGGGACGGGGUGAUAGUCCGGGUGGGGCUUCGGCUUGGGUUCGGGCUUGGGCACGGGGCCAUAGUCCGGGUGGGGCUGGGGCUUGGGCUCCGGCUUGGGCGGCACGGGCUUCUUGUGAUGGAAGUGCUCGAUGAUGUGCUUCUUGAUCGGCCCGCACAGGGUUGCGGACGCGCACUCUGGCGAUGCCACCGUGUCUGUCUUGGCGCCGGCGACGACACCGAAGGUGGUGCCCUCAGACACCGGUACGAUCUUGGAUGGCUCCUGGCCCGAGCAUGGCGCGUUGGAGGCGGCGCUGUGGAGCUGUGCAACGCAGUCGGCGCCGUGGAGGUCGGCGGCGAGGGGCACGCUGAAGGCACCGGUGCCGUCGAGGGCACCCACCGCCUUGCUCUCGUAGUCACCAGCGUUGUUCUUGCACUUGAUCGCCACCUGAAGACCUGUUGUACAUUCAUGGCAGAACAACAGUGAGCAGAAUAACAUCAUGCCUUUACAAAGUGGAGUAUUCUAUCAAAUCUAGCUAGCUAGCGCUUACCCUUGAAGGCUUCCUCGGCCUUGAUGUUCUUCAUGGUGCAGUCAGCGCACUUGGCCAGGCCGACGACGACGGACACCGCCUCGGCGUUGGCAACGGCGACCGCCAGCAGGACGGCGAGGACGAGUGCUCUCGGAGCUGCCAUGUCUGAACCUCUACCACUUGCUUGCCUGUGUGAAGUGGCUGAUGGAUGGAUGAAUGGAACAGGCGACGCAUGGCUUAUAUAGGCCUCGACAUUGAUCGAUCCAGCUCGGCCGAUGAUCUGGCUGCAUGCAUGCUCGAAGCACGAAGGGGUGUGGUGGGCGGCGAAGUGAUGCGUGACAAGGAGAGGCCGGCUAACUCGCCGAAAUUUCAGAUGGCAAAGUUAAUACGGCGUCCGCUGCAUGAUCGGAUCGGUCGGUGCAUGUGCGUCCACGUCGCUGUUGGUGAUCGACUUGGUUUGGUGGUGGAGUACGUAGGUAGGCACCGGCCGCGUCUCUCGGCAUGCACAUGCAUUUGCGUGCGUGUGUGCAUGCAGCGUAAGUUCGUAGUAGUAGUACCCUGUUUGCUGGUGUUGGAUCGACAUCACAGAUUGCUGUAAAGUGCAUGUCCAUUUGGGGAAUAGUGAGCUUGCGCUGAACUGCAAAAACGGCUUACAUUAAGUCACAUACUUCCUCCGUCUAGGUGUUAGGUUGUGCACCGUGAUGAAGGCAAAGAGAAAAACGAGAGAACUUAAUAUUUAUUUGAUAAUUAAUAGCAUUGCAUGCAAUAAACUGAACCAUUGCAUGUCGUGUUUGCAAGUCAUUGAAAGCAUACACAUCACACAUCUCUUAUUGCUUGAUUCCUUUAUUUAUGUCGAGAAACAGAAAUAAGGUGAGAGUUAAUGCACCACGCCUAAGUGUUUUGAGAUUAUUUAGUUUUCAUAAGGCUACUCAUAGUGGGGAGCAUCAUAUACUAGUAUCAUGCAUAUGAUACUACCUUCAUAGUGAACAGUAUCAUAGAGUAGUAUCAUAGAUGAUCUUGUUUAUUUCAUGCAUAACACAAAGUAGCAUAACAUUUAAUAUAAUACAAUAUAUAUCUAUGUUAAUCUAGCCCUCUCUCUCUCCUUUAAUUCUCGGCGACAUCAGCGUGUUUGCUAUUCCCAAGUGCAUGAUACUAGCUAAAAUACCACCAUUAUGACCAGCCUAAGAUGACUUGUAUACCUAGACACAGGGAGUAGGGAGUAGAAUGUGUUACAUAUGAGCAGUUUGUAAUUAUGUUUAAUCAAAGAAAAAACAUAUAGAAGAUGAUCAAUAUAGUUUACAUGAUAUUCGAACAAGAGAAGUUUCUUUUUACUCGGUACAGACGCAGACGCUUAUACAUACGCAUAUACACCCACUUCUAUAAACGCAAGGACGCACACCAUACCCCUAUGAGAACCUACGAGAGAUUGAGUUGGCACAUCAUCUUGAGUUUGACGCCAUCGUAGUGAACGGGAACGUCUCCUCGCACUGAACGCUCAUCGUCAAAAGGCCUAAAAUAAAAUCAGGAAAAUGCGAGCACCAAUGUUAAGUCUAGGACUUGAACUCUGGUGGGAUUUGUAUACCACUGUCCUCAUAACCAACCGACCACAGAUUGGUUCGCUCGAACAAGAGAAGUUAGUAAGCAAAACAGACAUGCUAUUCAACGGGUAUGGUAAACAUGGCAUGUACAGAUCAAAUGCUAAUGUAGUAAGGAACUGGAAGUAAUCCCUAAUGCGAAUGAAGAAGAGUUCGCAGUCAGCGCAUCACCGACGGUUGACAUGGCCUGGAGGGAUGGGGAGUCGUGUCCGGGAAGUAGUUUUCAUUGUAUGUCGCAAUGUCGGUCGCAUGAGAUCUCUCCCAGAGAUCAUGAUCUCCUCUCUCGCUCUCUCAUACAUGAUCACAAUAGAUGGGGUACCGGAGUCCUGUUGUUCUACAUUGUGGUGCAUGAAAGUGGAAUGGAAAGACGCGCGGCACAGAUCUGGAACUGAAGAAUGGUCUCAUGUACAUUUCUAUGUGGCCCCAUCUAUUUGCAGAGGAGCAACCUCUAAUAGGCUCUAACAAACGAAACAAGUCCACUAUGGAUGAUUCUGAGAUGAAGAGUCUACAAAUGUUCGGUUUCAUCUUCUACUAGUGCAAAAUAAUGUUUUCAAUCAUGUCACGCACGACAAGAGGAGUGACAGACAUGUGACAGGUCAGAGUCCAGCUCGUUCACGAAACACAAAGCGCGUCAGGCUAGGUGAUGUCAUGCAAAUGCAUAGAGUUUAGUUGUAGUUGUUUUCGGAGUAAGAGUAUUGAUCCCACAAAGAGCUGAGGAAAUGGUAUUUUACCCCUUGUAGAGGUUUAUCCGAAUUUGCCUGCAAGUUAUUUUUAGGUCCCAAGCAAAAGCAGUGUGAAAGGUGAAAUAUUGCAAGAGUGUGUGUGUGUGUGUGUGUGUGUGUGCGCGCGCGCGCGUGUGUGUGUGUGUGUGUGUGUGUGUGUGUGUGUGUGUGUGUGUGAGUGAGUGAGAAAGCAAGAAUUAAAGUGCACAAGAAUAAUGACUAAGAACAAGAGAGUAGUGAUAAUGAUAAAAACUCCAGUAGGGCUAAAAGGCGUUCUAUGGAGUCUAUGGAGUCUGUAUUCACCACUUGUAUUUAUUAUACCUAAUUGUGUAGAAACGCAACCUUUGGUUCAAAUACGUGAUCCAUGUUAUAUAUGUAUUGUGUGGGGAGAGCCAAUAAAAAGAUACGUGCAUAUUAGCGCAGUUCUGUAUCACGCACACCAUCACUGUCGCACCAAUGCAUAUCGGCAGAGUACAAUGGUGAUUGAGAGUCUCUUCAACGAUGUGGAAUAAAACACAUGAGUCUCCGUUGUUCCCUUACCAAUGAUUCGGUAAGGAGAGAGAGAGAGAGUUUUCAUCACUGUUGUACCUCUAACCCCACAUCACAAAGAUAAUAAUAUCCGUCAAGUCCCGAUGGGCUAAAUAUUGUGCAGUCAAUGUUCGCACAAUAUCAUGAAGAACAUUAACACGAUUAUAUAACAAAGAUUGUAUAUAUUAUCGUCAUUAGGAUCAUAUAAAUGCUAGUGCUCCCAUGUGUCCACAAGAACUGAUGAAUUACUCUGACAUAGAGGCACAAGACAUCGACGAGGUGUCCAUGGCAAUGGAAGAUGAAUUGUUAAUGUAACACACGUAUAAAUCUAGACCAGGGUUUGGGAUUACAAGAAGAUGAAUGAGGGAUAUUCAAUGUAAAGUAUGUGGAUGAUGUUGUUGAUGAUGAUGAUGGUUGAUGUUGUGGUCUCGGUGGUCGAAGCUUUGGCGAGGUGGUGCCCUUCUGCUGAUUGGCACUUCGGAUUCCUUUUGGAGAUGAGGUUUUCUGCUUCUAUUCUAUGGUAUGUGAUCUCUCUGUUUGUCACGUCCGAGAUCCGAUUGCACGGGGUGGAAGUACUCCAACAGGGAGAGGUGGCACCGUGCGGUACGACCACUGGUAUGAGCAGUCACGCUUGCACUGUGCGUCGUCUUCUCUACUAGAUAGCUGGGUGCAGCUAGUUUUCCUCCCACAUUCUCGUCUCAUCGUAUAGAAAGUCUUAAUUAUGUCUAAUCAGCAUAUUUUUCACACCAAAAAUAGAUGUUUUACAUUUAGUGUUCAAAAUAUCACGGGAUUUUGAUGAAAUCAAGCAAAAGGGCAAUCACCCGUGAUAAAGUACAGAAAAUUACAUGGUUAUUGAGGCCAAGUUCUGACCCCAGGUGCGGUUGAGCCUCACCUGAUCUAGUCUUGUUCCUUUGGUGUGUUGUCGUGCUCGUGGAUGACUGCUUUGACGAUGCUACCAGUGUUUCCUUUUUGUCUUCAGAAUGUUGGUUAUGUCGUGGCCUGUUAUCUGUGUCGUAAGCACUGUGUAUCCGCCAUCUUAUUUUCUUGCUUGUUGUAAGUGUGCUCGAUGUAAUUACUGAUUGGUUAAUGACUUUGUUAAUUCAAGGUCGGUCUCUCCUUAAACUUUCGCUCUGAAAAAAAAGGAAAUUUUGACAAAGAGAGAAUGUCGGACAAGUAUUUAGGGAGCAAAUUUGAAGGACAUGAUUGGAUAACAUCGGACCGGCCGGAUGUCCGCCGGCAAUUGGCGGCGUCCGUUUGGUGAUCGCUGGGGAAAAUGAGCGUACUUGGUUGAUUCAGAUAUAGGAACUUCUCAUUACAAAAAAUCACACCGAUAUUACAAAGCUUGUAAAAAAACUGACCCAUCACCCGUACAUUUGCCUGACACACAUACUUAUCCCUCACAACUGUUAUUCUGAAUGAUAGAAGAUCAAGCUAACCCGUGACAUAAAUAGCAACGUCGCUCACUCACUGACAGCAACAAGCCAUGAAAUUUCACUGUUGUGUCGGACGGUGGCAGAUCGGAGUCAGUGGUGUCCGUGGUAUCCACCGCCACCACCACCGCCGUAGGUGGGCGUGGGAGGGACCGGGUGGUAGUCCGGGUGGGGAUGCGGCUUGGGCUCGGGCUUGGGCACAGGGUGGUAGUCAGGGUGGCGCUGGGGCUUGGGCUCCGGCUUGGGCGGCACGGGCUUCUUGUGAUGGAAGUGCUCGAUGAUGUGCUUCUUGAUCGGCCCGCACAGGGUCGUGGACGCGCACUCUGGUGAUGCCAGCGCGUUCGUCUUGGCACCGGCGAUGACACCGAAGGUGGUGCCCUCGGACACCGGCACGAUCUUGGAUGGCUCCUGGCCGGAGCACGGCGCGUUGGAGGCGGCGUUGUGGAGCUGCGCGACGCAGUCGGCGCCGUGGAGGUCGGCGGCCAGGGGCACGCUGAAGGCGCCGCUGCCGUCAAGGGCACCUACCGCCUUGCUCUCGUACUCGCCGUCGACGUUCUUGCACUUGAUCGCCACAUGGAGACCUGAGAUACGUUAACAGGAGGAGGAUAACCAUGAGCCGAUCUCCAUCUAUAUAGCAGAAAAAGCUUGUCCUUCAAAUAAAUAUAUCUAGCACCAAGUUAGUGCUAGAUACAUCCAUUUGAGAAAGUUUGGGACCAAGUUUUUUCGGACAGAGGCAGUACACGAUUGAGCUGCAUAUGUAGCUUACCCUUGAAGGCUUUCUCGGUCUUGAUGUUCUUCCUGGUGCAAUCAGCGCAGGCCAGUCCGACGACGACGGACGCCGCCUCGGCGUUGGCAACAGCAACCGCCAGCAUGACGGCGAGGACGAGUGCUCUCGGAGCUGCCAUGUCUGAACCUCUACCACUUGCUUGCCUGUGUUGGAAGGAUGAAUGGAACAGGCGACGCAUGGCUUAUAUAGGCCUCCGCAUUGAUCGGCACAGCUCGAUGGCGAUCUGGCUGCAUGCUCGAAGCUCGAAGGGUGGUGGGCGGCGAAGUGAUGCGUGACAACGAGAGGCUGGCUAACUCACCGAAAUUCUAGAUGGCGAGUUAAUAUAUACGGCGCCCGCUGCAUGAUCGGAUCGGUCGGUGCGUGUGCCUCCACGUCGCGGUUGGUGAUCGACUUAUUUUGGUGGUGGAGUAGCGUAGGUUGGCACCGGCUAAAAAUGCUAAACAUACAAAUAAGUAUACAAGUUUACAAACUCUUUCUAUCUACUAACCAAUCACAAACUUGCUCACCCCUCCCUCCCAACCCUUGAUUUUCAGGGGAUGGGCCGCCUCCCCACUUAGUGACCAAUCAAGUUAACCCUCUUUGUAAAACCUUGUAACUCAUUUGUACGUGUAGCAUUACUGGGCACCGGCCGCCUGUACAUGCAUUUGCUUGCGUGCGUGCAUGCAGCGUAAGUUCUCGUAGUAGUAUUCCCUCUGUUUUUUUAUAGUCUGCAUAUAAGAUCUGGCCAAAGUCAAACUUUGUAAAGUUUGACCAAAUUUAUUUGAAAAAAUAUCAACAUCUACAAUAUUAAAGCUAUAUGAUAUGAAAAUUAAUUUCAUGAUGCAUCUAACAAUAUUGAUUUCAUAUUGUGAGCCAUGGUAUAUUUUUCUAUAAACUUAGUUAAAGUUGAUAAAGUUUGACUUUGAUCAAAUCUUAUAUACAGACUAAAAGAAAACGAAGGGAGUGGUACCAAAAAUGCUACACCUACGUAAUGUUUGCUGGUGGUAAGCUGGUGUUGGAUCGACAUCACAGAAUUGCUGCAAAGUGAGUAGUGAGCUUGUGUGUGAACUGCAAAAACGGCUUACAUCAAGUUACAUAGGGACUAGAAUGUUACAUAUGAGCAGUUUCUAAUUAUGUUUAAUCGAAGAAAACAUGGAUAUAAGAUGAUCAAUAUAGUUAACAUGAUAUUCGAACAAGAGAAGUUUUUUUUUAAACACAUUAUAGACGCAGGCGGUAGUACAUACGCACAUACACUCGCUCAUAUAAAUAUGCACACAUGCACACCCUACCCCUAUGAGCACCUGAGAGACUGAGCCGGCACAUCAUCUUGAGUUUGACGCUAUCGUAGUUGACGGGACGUCUCGUCUCACUGAACGCACAUAGUCAGAUGACCUAAAAUAAAUUCAGAAAAAUGCGAGCACGUGUUAAGUCUAGGACUUGAACUCUGAUGGGCUGGGGAUACCACUAUUCUCAUAACCAUCCGACCACAAGUUGGUUCGCUCGAACAAGAGAAGUUGUUAAGCAAAAAAGACAUGCUAUUUGAUGUGUAUGGUAUACAUGGCAUGUCCAGAUCGAAUACUAAUAUAGUAAGGAACCGGAAGUAAUCGUUAAUGGAGGGGGAAAAUAAUGUAUGAUGUGGCAGAUGAAGAAGCGUUAGCAGUCAGCGCACCGCGAAUGGUGGAAAUGGCGUGGAGGGAUGGGGAGUCGUCGUCGGGGAAGUAGUCUUCGUUGUAUGCCUCAAUGUCGGUAGAGCUCUCCCUAAAAAUCCUGAUCUCCUCUCUCUCAUACAUGAUCACAAUAGAAGGUUCCGAAGUCCUAUUGUUCCACGUCAUGGUGCAUGAGGAAAAGUGGAAUGGGAAAGACGUAAGGGGCGCAAAGAUCUUGAACUGAAGGAUGUUCUCAUGCACGUUUCUAUGUAACCCCAUCUAUGGAUAGAGGAGCAAUCUCUAAUAGACUAACAACCGAAACCGGUCCACUAUGGAAGAGUUGGAGAUGAAGAGUCUACAAAUGUUCAGUUUAAUCCUUCUACUAGUGCAUAAUGUUUCGAAUCCUGUCACGCACGACAAGAGGAGUGACACACAUGUGACAUAGGUCAUAGUUCAGCUCGUUCACGAAACACAAAGCGCGUCAGGCGAGGUGAUGUCAUGCAAAUGCAUAGAGUUUAGUUGUAGCUGUUUUUGAAGUAAGAGUAUUGAUCGAUCCCACAAGAGCUGAGAAAAUGGUCUUUUGCCCCUUAUAGAGGUUUAUCCGAAUUUGCCUGCAAAUUAUUUUACGUCCCAAGCAAAAGCGGUGUGAAAGGUGAAAUAUUGCAAGAGUGUGUGUAUGUGUGAAAGCGAGAAUUAAAGUGCACACAAACAAUGACUAAGAAUAAGAGAGUAAUGAUAAUGAUGAAAACUCCAAUAGGGCCAAAAGGCAUUCUCAUAUAGUCUGUAUGUACCACAUGUAUUUAUUAUACUUAAUUGUGUAGAAACACAACCUUUGGUUCAAAUACUUGAUCCAUGUUAUAUAUGUAUUGCGCGGGGAGAGCCAAUAAAAGCUAUUGGCAUAUUACCGAUGUUCUAUAUCACGCACGUCAUCACCAUCCCUCCAAUGCAUAUCGGCAGAGUACGAUGGUGAUUAAGGGUCUCUCCGGGGAUGCGGAUUAAAACACUUGAGUAUUUGUUGUUUCCUUGCCAAUGAUUUGGUAAGGAGAGAGAUAGCUUCUAUCACUGUUGUACCUCUAACCCCUCAUCACAAAGAUAUAAUAUCCAUCAAAUCCUGAUGGGCUAAAUAUUGUGCAGUCGAUGUUGGCACAAUAUCAUGAAGAACAUUAACACAAUUAUAUAACAAAGAUUGCAUAUAUUAUUGUCAUUAGGAUCAUAUAAAUACUAGGGUUCCCCAUAUCCACAAGAAUUGGUAAAUUACUCAGGCAUAGAGGCACGAGACAUCGUCGAGGUGUCCAUGGCAAUGGAAGAUGAAUUAUUAAUGUAACACACGUAUAAAUCUAGACUAGGGUUUGGGAAUACAACAAGAUGAAUGAGGGAUAGUCAAUUUUGAGUAUGUGGAUGAUAUUGCUAAUGAUGAUGGCUGAUGUCAUGGCCUCGGUGGUCGAAGCUUUGGCGAGGUGGUGCCCUUCUACUAAUUCGCACUUCGGAUCCCUUCUGGGGAUGAGGUUUUCUACUUCUAUUUCAUGGUCUGUGAUAUCUCUGUUAGGCACGUCUGAGAUCCCAUUGCACGGGGUGGAAGUUGUCCACCGGGUGGAGGUGGCGCCGUGCGGUAUGAACAGUCGCGCUCGUAUUGUGCGUCGUCUUCUCUCCUAGAUAGCUGGUCGUGGCUAGUUUUCCUCCCACAUUCUCGUCUCUUCGUAUAGAAGUCUUUAUGACGUCUAAUCAGCAUAUUAUUCACACCAAAAAUAGAUGUUUUACAUUUAGUGGUCAAUAUCCUGGGAUCUUGAUGACAUCAAGCGAAAGGGAAAGCAACUGUGAUAAAGUGCAAAAAAUUAUGUGGUUAUUGAGGCCAAGUUCUCGCCCCAAGUGCGGUUGAGCCUCGCCCUUGAUCUAGCGUGUAAUGGUGGAUGACUGCUUCAACGAUGCUAGUGGUGUUUCUUUUCUACUCCCUCCGUUCCUAAAUAUUUGUCUUUCUAGAGAUUUUGACAAGUGACUACAUACGGAGCAAAAUGAGUGAAUCUACACUAAAAUAUGUCUAUAUACAUCAGUAUGUGGUAGUCCAUUUGAAAUCUUCAGAAAGACAAAUAUUUAGAAACGAGGGGAGUAUGAGAGUGCUGGUUAUGUCGUGACCUGUUAGCUAUGUGUAAGCACUGUGUAUCUGCCAUUUUAUUUUCUUGCUUGUUGUAAGUGUGGUCGAUGUAAUUGCUGACUGAUUAAUGGCUCCAGACUUUUCUUAAACCUUCAUUAAAAGAAGAGUAAAUUUGACAAAGAGAGAAUGUCGGACAAGUACUUAGUAGCAAAUUUGAAGGACAUGAUUGGAUGACGUCCGCCCGGCCGGAUGUCCGCGGACAUUUGGUGGCGUCCAUUUGGUGAUAGCCGGGAAAAAAGAGUGUACUCCCUCCGUCUAGAUGAGCAAGUCAUCUUAGAUUGUGCACCGUGACCAAGGAGGAGGAGAAAACGAGAGAACUUAAUGUUCAUUUGUUAAUUAAUAGCAUUGCAUGCAAUGAACUAAUCACUGCAUGUCGUGUUUGGUAAUCUCAAGUCAUUAAAAGCAUGCACACCCCACAUCUCUUAUUGGUUGAUAUGUCAAGAAACAAGAAACAAGGUAGAAUUUAAUGCACCGCGCCUAACUGUUUUGGGAUUAUUUGGUUUCGUAAGAUGACUUACACACCUAGACGGAGGGAGUACUUGGUUCAUUCAGAUAUAUAGCGACUUCCCAUUACAAAAAAUCACACCGAUAUUACAAACCUUGUAAAAAAACUGACCAUCACCCGUACAUUUGCCUGACACACAUACUUAUCCCUCACAACUCUUAUUCUGAAUGAUAGAAGAUCAAGCUAACCCCUGACAUAAAUAGCAACGUCGCUCACUGACAGCAACAAGCCAUGAAAUUUCACUGCUAGGCCGGAUGGUGGUAGAUCGGAGUCACUAGUGGUGUCCAUGGUAUCCACCACCGCCGCCGCCGCCGCCGUAGGUGGGCGUGGGAGGGACGGGGUGGUAGUCCGGGUGGGGCUGCGGCUUGGGCACGGGGUGAUAGUCAGGAUGGGGCUGGGGCUUGGGCUCCGGCUUGGGCGGCACGGGCUGCUUGUGGUGGAAAUGCUCGAUGAUGUGCUUCUUGAUCGGCCCGCACAAGGUCAUGGACGCGCACUCUGGCGACGCUGCAGACCGCGUGGCAAUGCUGUCGCCGGCGACGAUGCCGAAGGUGGUUCCCUCGGAAGCAGGCACGAUCUUGGAUGGCUCCUGGCCGGAGCACGGCGCGUUGGAGGCGGCGCUGUGGAGCUGAGCGACGCAGUCAGCGUCGUGGAGGUCGGCCGCCAGGGGAACGCUGAAGGCACCGGUGCCGUCGAGGCCGCCCACCGCCUUGCUCUCGUACUCGCCGUGGACGUUCUUGCACUUGAUCGCCACCUGGAGACCUGAGGUGCGUUCAUGGCAGCAGGACAACCAUGAGCUGAUCUCCAUCUAUAGGUAGGUGUGUGGUUGUGUGCAUUGACAUAUAUGGUACGAUUUGAGCUGCAUAGCUAGCGCUUACCCUUGAAGGCCUCCUCGGCCUUGAGGUUCUUCCUGGUGCAGUCGGCGCACUUGGCCAGGCCGACGACGACCGACGCCGCCUCGGCGUUGGCGACGGCGAUCGCCAGCAGGACGGCGAGGACGAGUGCUCUCGGAGCCACCAUGCCUGAACCCCUGAAUCGAACUCCACUACUUGCCUGUGUGAAGUAAGUAGCUAGCAGCUCGAUGGAUGAAUGGAACAGGCGAGGCAUGGCUUAUAUAGGCCUCCGCAUUGAUCGAUCCAGCUCGGCCGAUGAUCUGGCUGCAUGCAUGCUCGAAGCUCGAAGGGUGGUGUGGUGGGCGGCGAAGUGAUGCGUGACAACGAGAGGCCGGCUAACUCGCCGAAAUUUCAGAUGGCGAAGUUAAUACGGUGAUGGACUUGGUAGGUACAGUACCACACACGGGCGCAGGCACCGUGUCUCGCGGCAUGCACAUGCACUCUUGCGCGCCUACAACGAUCCAUGCAUGCAGCGUGAGUUAGAAGUAGUGGUCUCCUAUUGGUGCUCAGUGGUACAUCUGGUGUUGGAUCGGCAUCAGAAUGGCUGUAAAGUGCAUGUCCGUUUCGGGGAGUAGUGCGAGUAGUACUUUGUUGUUCAUAACUGGAAGGACGGUGCUCCAAAUGGACUGCUGUUGGAUGGAUCCACCGAUCCACGGUUUCUUCUCCACCCACACAAGCAUAUACCACAUGCGUGCGCAUUCGCGCAACGUCUACUGUAAACUAACUGGAGCAGUGGAGCUUCGGUGUAGGUGAAAUCACCACAUAUAAGUUGGUAUCUACAUGAACAUCACCGUAAAAAUCACUCGCAAAAAAAAAAAAAAAACAUCACCGGAAGAAAAAACCGUAAUAGUAAAAAACGCACGCAUGUUGUCAUAUCUGAGAUUAUCUCCCAUGAGUUUGGGUACAACCGUCCAACCAACGGUUGAUUCUUCUGUAAACGUAAAUUUGGAUUUGGGCUUCGCGCAAACAUGCAUGUCUCUUCUAAAUUCCUUAAAAAUAGCUAUUUCCACAUAUCGAAAAUUUUAUUUGCGUGAGUAUUGGGUUUGGGUGUGGAUAGAUCUCAGUUGAGUGAGAUUUAACCCAUAACAUGUAUUCCCUCUGUAAACAAAUAUAAAAACGUUUAGAUCAUUAUUUUUGUAAUCUAAACGCUUUUAUAUUUCUUUACGGAAGGAGUAAGAAAAGAAAAAAAUAACUGAAAAGAAAAAAUUGCAGGAACCCCCCCUCUCUCUCUCGACCGCGUCGCCCCCGUGGGCGAUCGGUCGCGCCUCCUCGCCGAGCCCUCCCCCUCCCCUCUCUCCUUGCCGCCGUCGCUGGCGUCCGGCGCUGGGCCUGGCCCGGGCGAUGCUGGCGACGGCGGCCACUGGCCUUUCCCCUCGCGGGUCGCUCCGACGCGGGGGGUGCGGCGCUGCGGGGUACUCCCAGGCGGCGGCGGUCCGACGCGGCGGCGGUGGCGGGGGAUCUUCUAGGCGGCGGGGCGAUCUGGCGGUGCCCGCUCGGCCCAUCUGGGCCCUUCGGGCCCCAUCUGGGUCUGGGCGGGCCGGCGGCAGGGAGGGUCAUCGGUGUGGCUUCCGGGAGGCAGGGGAGCGGCGAUGGGUGGGUGGAUGCUAGCGGCGCUGGUGCCGCCCUGCUGCAGCGUGGCCGGCGGGGCUUUACGGGCCCAAAUCGGGCCUGGCCGGGCCAGGGGUCGGAGACUCGGGCCUCCCGCACGACGGCGGUGGAGGUAGUUCCCUCCCGCGUGGCUCCGGUGCUGCUGCUCCUGUCACCUCAUGCGUCUCUCUCCAUCCUCUUGGCCUCGUGGUGGUGAUCUCAGUGAGGUGGCGUGUGUGGCGUCAAGACCGCGGUGGCGCAUGCUGGUGGGCGGCGAGGUGGCUGGUUGGCUCCGGCCUGGUUGGGCGGUGGGGUUUGGAGUGCGGGAGAAAUCCCUUGCCGACUCUCUUCCGGCUCCGAUGCGGUGACACCUGCGGUUGCCACCAUCCCUUCUUGGAGGGUGUCGGAUGUAUCCAUCCCCCACUUCCUUUCGCGUGCCGGGGGAAACCCUAGGACACGUCCGGGCAGCAGUGUCGUCGACGUCGCAUCCCUUGCUGGAGGUGCUGCUUGGUAGGCGGCGGGUCGGAGCCUGGGUCUGUGGUGGGUCAAUUUCGGAGGGCGCAGCAGUGGCGGGUCAUCCGCGCUUUGUCGAGCUGCCGUUGUUGGCAUUUCUUUCUUCUUCUUUGUUCUUUCUCUUUCCUUUGGGCUUGUUGUGCUUCUCGCCCGAGCUUUCCUAUGUACUCGGUGUUUGUUGCUUUCUNNNNNNNNNNNNNNNNNNNNNNNNNNNNNNNNNNNNNNNNNNNNNNNNNNNNNNNNNNNNNNNNNNNNNNNNNNNNNNNNNNNNNNNNNNNNNNNNNNNNNNNNNNNNNNNNNNNNNNNNNNNNNNNNNNNNNNNNNNNNNNNNNNNNNNNNNNNNNNNNNNNNNNNNNNNNNNNNNNNNNNNNNNNNNNNNNNNNNNNNNNNNNNNNNNNNNNNNNNNNNNNNNNNNNNNNNNNNNNNNNNNNNNNNNNNNNNNNNNNNNNNNNNNNNNNNNNNNNNNNNNNUUUUUUUGGUAAAAGAAAAAAUUGCAUGUAUCUCAAUGUAAGAUAUCACGAGUAUAGCAUUGACUGAGACAUAACCAAGUCUUAAUUGACUGAGAUUUAACAAGACUGAUUGGGUUUAGUACACCCACCUUACUAAAAUGUGAAGGUCCUCUCAAAUAUUGAGCCUAAUUUUGGCUACAAAAUUUACUAGUAACAAAUUGCGACUUAAAAGCCAUAAAAAUAUAGCAUUGGAAACUUUUUCCAAAAAAAAAUUCAAUCAUUUACUUUUCUGCCAUAUAACUCAUAUUUUGUGAGUCAAAUUGUGAUCUAGGCUCAAAAUGAGGGAGUACCAUAUAUACUGAUUGCUACUUUACAUGCAGACCCCUCAAUGUAAUACACUACUAAAUCUAGAGAAGGAAAAUAAUCCACUACUUCACCUCCUGAACUAUAACUAUAGGGUCCACUUAAUCCACACAGGGGUUAAGGAUGAUGCGGGAUUGGGCGGCAGUUUAGCCCUGCACGCGGGAUAAGGGAAAUCAGAUCGACCCCAGGCCUGGAUGUUUCUCACUGGACGAACGUUUGGGGACAAAUAAUCCUCGCUUGAUCUCAUAGGUCCAUACUCUCAAUUAUACGUGGAAUUAAAAGCUGGCUGCAUGUGUCUGCAGUGUAGGCCUUGGCUAUCAAGACAUACAGCUCACCCCACUUCACCUCCUUCUUAUCUCUUCCACACGACGAGAUCUAUCAAGAUUUACAGCCAUCAAGGCCUCAUACAUCCACAUUGCUGUAUGUGGCAGUGGUAUGCAGGGGCCAGGGGCUAUCAAGCUCUACAGCUCAGCUCCUCUCCUCCUGUCUCUCCCACGGAAAAGAAUGUCAAAUGGACGAUCUACGCUUUUCGACGCUCGUGCUUUAAUGAGCCACCGCCAUUCUGCAGAACAGAAAACAAAACACAUGUCCAUGAUUCGAACCUAUUAGGUUCAUGAAGUGCCUUCAGCAGGUUUUGGAUUCGCCGCGGUCGACAAUCUGACUCUUCAAGAGUGAAAACAUUCUCCUCAGAGCACAGUUACUGUCACUACAACGGGACUACUUAAACAUAACAACUAACAAGGCAAUGCAUUGAAUAGACACUGCAGUAAACAGUAAGUACCUAAGGGGCUUCCUCUGUGAAGUUAGCAUCGGAGCAGGAGAGCCAACUAAUUUGGCAGCAAGCUCAAGCAGCUGUUUUCUCGAAAGAAAAAUCAGACUUAAUAUCUAAAAAUGGAGGUGCACGCAACAUGGAAAUUCCAGAGAACGUUUAUAGUAUAAGAUGGUAAAAAAAAGGAGGUAACAAUAAAAGAUUUAAAAAUAAAGUUAUGAAAAAUUAAUCUGGUAUAAAAACUGUUGUAGCAUACUGUUCUCCUAUGGAAAGCACGCAUAAGGCAUAACAGAGCAAAAACAAAUACAGGCAAGAUAAUAUCUUUAGGUUGCCCCUGUCUUUUUAUUUUCCUCUCCCGGCAUGCUUUUGUUUGUCGAACCCUAAAGCAGGACCACUGUCUUUAUGUUCUCCUUAGCAUGUACUCCCUCUGUAAAAGGUCUUAUAUUAAUUUACAGAGGGUUAACUUUUGAAAGCGCGUGUUUUGCUUGGACACACCCAGAACCAAAAGUUCAAAGUGAAUUUCAAAUUCAGCAUAAAUCAGGCAGAUUUUCUAAAUAAAAGGUCCUUACCAAAUCUCCAAGAACCAUCAUUACAUUUCCCAGUAAAAUAACUCCAUGUCCACUUUGAAGAGUUAAAUUUAAAUCUGUCAAACAACUCAUAAGCACAGCAGUAAGUGAUGAUGUUUUCAUCUCUUGAAAACUAUAAGCAUGGUUAACUGAUUGUAAUGAUCCAUUCUUGAUAAUUUCACAUAAUUCAUUUAACAAAGAUAGCUAAAGCAUACAAGUCUAGAACUAGAACAAGACCUUUAUGUUUAAGUAAAAUCGAAACGUAAAAAGGGAGGCUCCAGCGUAAAAAAAAAGUGUUCUGUUUUCAAGAAAAAAGAACGCAUGGGCACAAGUAACAGAAGUCAAUACAACCCAUUGGCAAAAAGAAAUAUAAACAUACUCCCUCCGUUCCAUAAUGUAAGACGUUUUUUGACACUAGUGUAGUGUCAAAAAACGUCUUACAUUAUGGGACGGAGGGAGUAGUAAAGAAGUAAAUGGCAUUCAUAUCAGAAAAGAAGGACCUCAAGCUCUUCCUCAGCUUUACGCUUAUAAGCUGUCGUUUCUGUUUAUCCCAGAUUACUCCCAGGGAUAUGCUCCAGAGAUAAUAUUUGACCUGAAACAGAUAAAUCUUUCUGAUUUGACUUCACUUGACGAGAUCCCAUCUCAUGAACUCCAUUAGAUACUGUUAGAAGAGCUGAAGAGGAAAAUAGUGUGAUUAUGUAAAGCAACCUCAGCAGGUUUUUGAAGUGAACUACCUUAGUGAUCUAAAAAGCCUUAUAUUAGCUUACAGAGGGAGUAUAUAAAUAAGAAUCCAGUCGAUUUGCAGGUGGAAGGACAACAGUGAAUUGGGAACCAUGCACCCUGUCAACUUAAAAACAUCAUACACGGCAUGCUUCUCAGCAACAGUUGUACUUUCUAGAUAGUUCCCCAGAAGUUCCCAUUCAACCAGUUCUGCAUGGCGAUUCGUGCACACUUCGGAAAUAUGGCUAGUUUCUUCACCGGGCAAAGUAAAAGCUACUGUAGAAUAUCUUUCAGCAGACGAGGAUCUGAAAGAAGUUGCCUGGCAUCACUGGGCACACCUCCUGCUUGAGCGUCAGUGGAAACUAUAUUUUUUGUUUAAAACUGCACGGACUUCUUUGCCGAAUGUUCUAGAAGGACAAGGACGCACACCAGCAGGAAAAACGAACAAUGGUACUGUAUUUCUUUUAUUUUUAUGUCGGACACCUGAAUUUCCGUUGGUACAACUUCUAAAUUCAUCCACAAUUACUCUGAUGUCAAGAAGCUGAGCUUAUUGAGCAUGGGUGAUUCCAGUUCUCCAAAACCCCAUAAAGUAAAAAACAAUGGAAUGGCCUUGAGUAGUCUAAGAAAUCACUAGGAUUAGGGCGUACAAGAACCUUGUCAUAUGAAGAUUGCUCCAGCUGAAUCAACAAGAAAAAUAUAGCACAUCUCUGUAAUAGAAGUAUCAAACACAUCUGUCAGACACCUUUAAGAUUUUCGUUUGUCUUCAGAGAUGAACUUUCCUCAGUCAGUAAAAAUGUCCGGCGGUUGAUCCACAUCACCCAUUCGGCUGCAAGGAGUUCCCAAAUAUGUUUCAUUCUGCUGCAUUCCAGAGCCAGGUGAGACACAGUUUCAUGGUUGCUGCAGCCAAAUGGGGAGGGGGGGAGUAGUAGGAAAUGGAAUUUGAAGGGUAAGUAACCAAGCAUGGUGGUGAGGAUUUGUCGGUGUAGAUGAAUUUUUAGACUCAAGUAUCCUAAUAUAAGUACAGUCAACUACUACCUCCGUCCUAGUUUAUUGGUCCUCUUCAUAUUUUGUGUCAAAAUUUGAUCAUAGAUUUAAAUGAUAAAAUUUUAAUGCAUGUCAUAAAAAAUGAUAUCGUUGGAUUCGUAUUUGAACAUAGUUUCCAAUGAUACUAUUUUUUGUGACAUGCAUUAAAAUUUUGUUAAUUAAAUUCAUGGUCAAAUUUUGGCACGAAAUACUAAGGAGACCAAUAAACUAGGACGGAGGUAGUAUCAUAAAUAAUAGUAAUAUUCACCAUAUGUAAGACAAUAUACAUUGGGGUAGUUGUCUCCAAAAAUUAACCAUCCUCAUCAAACAGAAAGAGAUUUCAUAUAGGAGUGACCAUAUAUGUAGGAUGAGGAUAUUUCAAAAGAAAAAGAUGCGCAUGGGCAUUUUUUCAGAAAAAUAUGGCACCACGCCCCCCAUUCCAUUGCAUCAACAAAGUUCACAAGGUUUACAGUGCCCGGCGAACACAGAAGUCGCACAAACCCAGGUCACAUUCCAGCAAAGGGCACAAAGAACAUAAUAUAAUGCGACAAGCCGACAAGCUAAGAACAGCAACAGACCAACAGGCUACGGAUGAUACAUCAGACCGUGGACCAGUUGGUGCACGUCCUGAUCUGCCUCAUGUCCGUCCGCAUCAAACACAGCCCUGAGGAGCUUGAGCAUAUCUAUUCAACCUGCCGCUAUGUUCAAACGCUUGCAGCUAGUAGUAAUAUUUAAGGACACGUGACCUUAUGGAUGGAGUGUGGAACAGGGCAAGAGAAACAAUUGUGACCAGCAUGCAUGCAUGAGGUGCGGUUAACCAAGCUGACUCGCGCCUUUCCACCGCGGCAGCUCAAGCGAUUAAAAUUUAGCCUACAAAUCUGUGCUUAGAAUAAAAACCUUCUGUUCCAACACCCACUCGCAGAGUCACUCACGGUAGUUUAUAGAAAAGUGCAGAAAAACUACACUGGUAAGGCCAUCACUAUCUCUGGGCAAUCAAUCAGCCCGUAGGACUCUCGCGCGUGCACGCACACAUCGACGCUUAUCCUAAUAAAAUACAUAUUGCAUGUUAAUGGCAAAAAGCCUAGAGCCCUAGACUAGUCAGGAAAACUGCAUAGAAACUCAGGAAAACUGCAUAAAAACUCAAGUGAAAAGGAGAAUUUUAGUUUCAGAUAUCAAAAGAAUAUAAAUAUUCAUCGACAAGCCAAAGGUGCUCAAGAAGAGUUGCAUAGUUUUGAUUACUGGUGUAUAUUGGAGUACUAUGAUUUUAUUUAUUUUGUUUAUCUGGGGAGAUUAAUAAUGAAAAAAAGGGGGGAAAAAAAGAAAACUAAAUCUAGAAAGCAGGUGUUGUACGGUUUAAGAACGUUUUGACUGCCAUACAUGAAUAUUCUAAGUGUGAACUGAAAGUGACUGGCAUCCUUUCAUGCUACUCAGCUUGUCUUUGUUGAGAUACUAAUCCAGCAUUAAAUUAAUCGUGACGGCUGCCUGUAUGUGACUGGUAUCCCUUGUCAGCGUUAAACUAAUCAUGGCAGUUUUCAAGCAGAGAAUGAACUAAAACGAAUUAUUAAAGGAAGAACAAAAUCCUUCAGUUCAGACCUGUAGCCUGUGGGCCUCAUCCAGUCGCUCAGACCUGUAGCUCGAGCCUCAUACAUACAUAUAUAAAUACACAUGGUGUGUACGAAGUAGAUUGCAUCGCAGUAUCUGUAGUGCACAUCUCCCGGAGAUUGUCUUCACCUCAGCAGCUUCAUCCCAAGAAGCCAUUCACUAGCUUAUUGCAUAAAGGACAGCUAGCUUUUGCAAGUUUGUGCAAGUUGAAGAACUCGUACCUUUGUGAGAUAUGGAGAGCAGAGAUGAUGUCAAAUCAGAUGAGAUCCUCAUGCCUGGGUUCCGGUUCCAUCCUACCGAUGAAGAGCUGGUUAGUUUCUACCUCAAGAAGAAGAUCCAGCAGAAGCCCAUCUCUAUUGAGCUCAUCAGGCAGCUGGACAUCUACAAGUUUGAUCCAUGGGACCUCCCAAGUAAUUAAGCUUGCAUCCUUGUUUAUACUACAUUUUUUUUAUUUCUCAUGAAUAGCUAGAUUGGGAUUCAAUAGGCUACUUUUGGGUUUUCAAAGCUUUUGUAUGGAGGCUGAUUCAACACAAGUUGGUUUCCUUGAUCAUUAGUCAAGUUGGUUUCAUCCGUUGAGUGGAGUUUCAGUUGAAAGAAAUCAGCAGUAGUAUUAAUCAUCUUCCCAUGACAAGCUAAUCUAGAAUAGAUGGGUUACUCACCUUACUGCAAAGUCUAACAACUUGACUGUUCCUUCUCAACAACAGAGCUUGCGAGCACCGGCGGUGAGACGGAGUGGUACUUCUACUGCCCAAGGGACCGCAAAUAUCGCAACAGUGCGAGGCCAAACCGGGUCACAGCAGCUGGGUUCUGGAAAGCCACGGGAACAGAUAGGCCAAUUUACUCCUCCGAGGACACCAGGUGCGUAGGCCUGAAGAAGUCCCUUGUCUUCUACAAAGGCAGAGCAGCAAGAGGGAUCAAAACCGACUGGAUGAUGCACGAGUUCAGGUUCCCUUCACUCGCCGAUACGUCACUUCCCAAGAGUAGGCCGAUCGACAAGAACAUCCCGCUCAAUGUACGCAACGCAUUUCAAUUCAUAUUAGUAUAUAUAGUUGCAGAGCUAAAUUCCAACGUCAUGUCAAAUUCUGACAGGCCACCUUUUCUAUUGCCGAAAACAGGACUCUUGGACCAUAUGUAGGAUCUUCAAGAAGACAAGUUCGAUGGCGGCGCAACGGGCGCUAUCUCACACUUGGGGGGCUCCAUUGCCUGGGGCAACUGAGCAAGAUCUCUUCUCCGCCCUGCAACCGGUGCAAGCUUUACAUUUUGCUUCAGAGAGCUCCUCCAGCUCAUUGCAAGUUGCUGCUGCGCUACCAUCAAAUCAGUUCAACGGCAAUUAUGGCUUUCAGGGACAGCACCAGCAGUUUCUGAAACCCAGCAACACACGGGAGGAUGGCUCAUCAUGCAAGGUCAUAAGCUUCAACUGUGGUCCAUCUCUGCAAGUCCUGAAAGGCCCCAUCGUCUUGCCAUUCCAAACACAACCGCCAUCACAGAAGCCUGUGCACGUUGCGCCACCGCUCUUCUUCGACACGCAGUCUGGGCAGCCUGAGCAGAUUACUGGCUUUGCGACUGGUUCUUCUGCAGAUGUAAAUGCCGACAUGAGCUGCAGGGACCAAGAGUCAGCCACAACGAAGCAUGGCAAUACUUUCAGCAUGAACAGUGAGCGGGAGGAUGUAGGUCUGGGGAGACUCAACUUCCCAUUCGAUUUAGGAGCAGGCUCUUCAGAUGACUGGGAGUGCAACAUACCUUGGGAAUCCUUUCUUAGCCCAACAGUCCCUGCUGAGAUCACACAGUACUAGAUACCUAGCUUGCCCUGCACAGAGUUAGCAUUUCUGUUAGCAAAAGCGCCAGCUGUUGUUUGUUCAGUUUUGGAUUAGAUGUAUUGUGCAUACUAGUAAGCUAUACCCUUGUUAACAGUAGAGCUAACAAAAAGAAGGAUAUAUUGUGUAUACAUUUUAAGCUGAGUGCUGUUGUGACGCUGUACUUUUAGUGGAGAGUAAUGAACAUAUGUACGAGUCACAAACUUGCAAUGGAUUGAAAAAACCCUGAAACUUGCAAGAUACUGAAAAGAUGGAAAAUGUAUCACCAAAUGGUGGUUCCUUAUGAUAAUAGAGUAGGAAAAGGUCUUCCAUUUUCUAACAUGUCUAAAGUUCCUAAAAAAUACUGAUUUGGCUUCAGUAGGUGAUGAUGACUGACUGAGAUCUUCCAGGGCUCUAGGAAACAAUAGACAUCAUAGACAGGAAUAAAAGGCUGAGUUAGUUCAACAAAACAAGUGCUUUUGAAAAUGAAUCCUCAUGGCCUUGCUUUGCCUUGACAAUUAUGGAAAGCAUAUUUUACCACCUGCAUCAAGAUUUUUUUUAGGAUUCAGGUAGGCACUAUGGGGCUACCCUACCAACAACCAUGUAUCUAGUUUAAAGACAACAAAGAAUUUUAAGCUUGUGGAAGCAAAGAUGCGUACAUACUUUUAAGAAACAAAAGAAGACAAAAUUGGCGACAAAUGGUUAGCAAAAAGAACAUGAUGCAGUCAUAACGUGAAACCAUGGACUAAGCCUGCGAGACACUGGAACUUAACUUCUUGGAUACCUAAAAGCGGAGACGAUACUUGGAAACAGCGAAGUAGUGAUAUGCACUCAUCAUAAGUUGACCUCUCAAAUUCCAAUAAUUCAUCAACAAAGUAGGACCAUACAUCUGUGAAUCUUCUUGUCAUUACAGUCAAUUCGCAAGAACUUAUAUAUCUGCAGCAGCGAAAAAUGCUUUGGUAAUAAUGCUUCAAGGGCUGUACUUGUUUAACAAUUUCACUGAGUAAGUUACAAAACACACAAAUGAAGGGUUAGAAAUUUUUCGAAGAUACUGUACAUGACCUGAACAGGCAUUUAGUGCAAAGGCUGUAGUUUAAAUUGAGAAGAUAUCUGGGGAUGGUGGUAAGGAAGUUAAUUCUAAAUCAAGACUCUAAACAUGAACUUGGUGAAUGUUGGUUGCACAUCUGCACUUGCAUAUGUUUAUUACAACCAUAGCAAAUAAAAAAGCUGAAGUGGAUUUGCAGAACACGGUGCACCGCAAAUCCACAAUCAUCCUGACAGCAGGCAUCCGACAGAAGUAGCAGGAGCAGCAACGAUAAGCUGUCUUACAAGUUACAAAGCACAGCGGGUAAUGAGUACUUCAGUAGCUGUACAAGUGCUGAGAUAUGUAUGACUAGUCAACUCAUGAACAAAUAUUAUUAAAUAGUACUGUAUGAUGACUGUACGGGCUUGAAUUUGAGAAUAUUUUGUACUAGUACAUUCGAGCAGCACUGCAGCAGAGCUGGACAUGAGCCACUGCUACAUCAAUCGUGACCAGCAUGUGCACGGUUAACCAAGCUGAUGUACUCACCGUUGGGCAAAGCUAGGCCGUGCGCCUUUCCUCCACGGCAACUCAAGUGAUUAAAAUUUAGCCUACAAAACUGUGCUUAGAAUUAGGAUCUUCUGUUUCAACACUCACUAGCAGAGUCACACACGUUACUUUAUACAAAAGUGCAAAAGGUCACACUGGUAACGGCAUCACUAAAAAAAUGUAAAAAAGGAAAUUACACUGGCAAGGCCAUCACUAUCUCUGGGUAAUCAACCCCGUACGCCUCACUCUCUAACACACGCACGGCGCACACACAUUGAAGCUUAUCCUAAUCAAAUACUCCCUCCGUUCCUAAAUAUAAGUCUUUUUAGAGAUUCUAAUCUAGACCACAUACGAAGCAAAAUGAGUGAAUCUACACUCUAAAAUACGUCCGUAUACAUCCGUAUGUGGUCCAUAUAGAAUCUCUAAAGAGAUUUAUAUUUAGGAACGGAGGGAGUACAAAUAACAUAUGAAUGCCCCCAAAGCCUAGAUCAAUCAAGUAAAAUCACAUAGUCACGUGAAACAGAAAACAGAGAAAUUCGGUUUCAUAUAAUUAAAUGAAUAUAAAUAUUUAUUGACGUUUUUUUAAGCCAAAGGUGCUCCAGAAGAGUUCCAUAGUUCUGGUUACUGAGCAUACUGGGGUACUAUCAAAUACUGGAUACCAAAAAAAAAAGAUCAAAAUCAAAUCUAGAAGGCAAGUGUAGUACAGUUUAAGAAUGUUUUGACUGCCAUACAUGAAUAUUAUAAGUGUGAACUGAAAGUGACUUGCAUCCCUUCAUGCUACUCAGCUUGUCUUUGUUGAGAUACUAAUCCAGCAUUAAAUUAAUCGUGACGGCUGCCUGGAUGUGACUGGCAUCCCUUGAUGCUACUCGGCUUCUUAAACUAAUUGAAAGUGUAAUCGACCCUACACUACUCAUGGCAGGUUUCAAAGAGAGAAGGAACUAAAACGAAUUAUUAAAGGAAGACCAAAAUCCUUCGGACCUGUGGCCUGUGGACCUCAUCCAGCCGCUCCAGGUAGCGCAAGCCUCGUAUAUAAAUACACGUGGUCUGUCCGUAGUAGACUGCAUCGCAACAUCUGUAGUGCACAUCUCUUGGUGAUUGUCUUCACCUUAGCAAGCUUCAUCCCAAGAAACCAUUCACCAGCUCACUGCACAAGCAGUACAACAAGGACAGCUAGCCUUUGCAAGUUUGUGGCCAGUUGCAGAAGUACUCAUACUUUUGUGAGAGAUAUGGAGGGCACAGAUGAUGUCAAAUCAGAUGAGAUCCUCAUGCCCGGGUUCCGGUUCCAUCCUACAGAUGAAGAGCUGGUGAGUUUCUACCUCAAGAAGAAGAUCCAGCAGAAGCCCAUCUCCAUCGAACUCAUCAGGCAGCUGGACAUCUACAAGUUUGAUCCAUGGGACCUCCCAAGUAAGCAAAGCUUGCAUCUACAUCUUUUUUCUCAUGAAUAGCUAGAUUAGGAUGCAAUUGACUACUUUUGGGUUUUCAAAGCUUUGUAUCUUCCAAGGAGAGGUUAGGAAUUAGGAUGCCGAUUCAACACAAGUUGGUUUCAUUGAUCUCUAGUCAAGUAGGAAAACCAGAACAUUCUUCUGCUCAUCCCUCUAGUGGAGUUUCGGUUGAAAGAAAUCAUCAGUAGUAUUAAUUAUCUUCGCAUGGCAAGCUAAUCUAUAGACGGGUUACUCACCUUACUGCAAAGUCUAACAACUUGACUGUUCCUUCUCAACGACAGAGCUUGCGAACACCGGCGGUGAGACAGAGUGGUACUUCUACUGCCCAAGGGACCGGAAAUAUCGAAACAGCGCGAGGCCAAACCGAGUUACAGCAGCUGGGUUCUGGAAGGCCACAGGAACAGAUAGGCCGAUUUACUCCUCCAAGGGCACAAGGUGUGUAGGCCUGAAGAAGUCACUUGUCUUCUACAAAGGCAGAGCAGCAAGAGGAAUCAAAACCGAGUGGAUGAUGCAUGAGUUCAGGCUUCCUUCGCUUGCUGAUCCAUCACUUCCCAAGAGACCAAUCGACAAGACCAUCCCACUCAACGUACGCAUUUCAAUUCAUAUCCUGUAGUUACAGAGCUAAAUUCCAAUGUUAUGUGGAAUUCUGAAGGCCACUUUUUCUGUUGCCGAAAACAGGACUCUUGGACCAUAUGUAGGAUCUUCAAGAAGACCAGCUCGAUGGCGGCGCAACGGGCGCUGACUCACACUUGGGAGCCUCCAUUGCCUGGGGCAACUAAGCAAGAUCUCUUCUCCGCCAUGCAAGCUUCUCAUUUUCCUUCAGAGAGCUGCUCCAACUCAUUGCAAGUUGCAGCUGCGGCACCAUCAAGUCAGUUCGACAGCAAAUAUGGCUUCCAAGGACAGCAGCAGUUUCAGAAACCCAACAGCACACAGGAGGGUGGCUCUUCAUGCAAGGUCAUAAGCUUCAACUGCAGUCCAUCUCCACAAGUCCUGAAAGGCCCCAUCAUCUUGCCAUUCCAAACACAGCCGCCAUCACAGAAGCCCAUGCUGCACACUGCACCACCGCUCUUCUUCGAGGCGCAGUUUGGGCAGCCUGAGCAGAUCACUGGAUUUGUGACUGCUUCUUCUGAAGAUAUAGAUGACGAGAUGAGCUGCAGGGACCAAGAGUCAUCCACAAUGAAGCAUGGUGAUACUUUCCGCAUGAAGAAUGAGUGGGACACUCCGGGGAGACUCAACUUCCCAUUCGAUUUAGGAGCAGACUCUUCAGAUGACUGGGAGUGCAACAUACCUUGGGAAUCCUUUCUUAGCCCAACAGUCCCUGCUGAGAUCACACAGUAUUAGAUACUUAGCUUGCCCUACAUAGAGUCACCUUCAUAUGUUAGCAUUUCUGUUAGUGAAGGCACCAGCUACUGCUUGUACAGUUUUGGGUUAGAUGCAUAAUAUAUAUACUAGUAAGCUAUACCAUUGUUAACAGCAGAGCUAAUAGAGAGAAGGAUAUGGAUAUAUGCAUGCAUUGGGCGUAUUGUGUGUACAUUUUAAGCUGAGUGCUGUUGGUAUGCUCUACUUUGAGUGGAGAGUAAUGAACAUAUGUACAAGUCACAAGCUUGCAAUGGACUGCCAAACCCUAAAACGUGCAGGAUACUGAAAAGAUGGGAAAUGUAUCACCAAAUGACUCUUUCUGAUAAUAAAGUAGGAAAUGGUGUUUCAUUUUCUAACAUGUCUGAAGUUUGAAGGAAAUACUGAUUUUGCUCCCCAUGGCUUGGGUAGAUGACGAUGAAUCACUCAUCGAGAUCUUCCAAGGCUCUAGGAAAGAAUAGACGUCAUAGACAGGAAUAAAAAGGAAGGUUAGUUCAACAAAAGAGCUUUGCCUUGACUAUUAUAAAAAGCAUAUUUUAUCAACUGCAUCAAUAUUCUUUUUAGGAUUCAGUUCGGCACUAUGAGGCUACCAAUGACUGUGCACCUAGUUUAAAGACAAUAAAGAAUUUCAAGCUUGUGAUGCAGUCAUAACGUGAAACCAUGGACUAAGCCUGUGAGCCACUGGAACAUAACUUCUUGGAUAUCUAAAAGCGGAGAUGACACUGGGCAACGUCGAAGUAGUGAUAUGCACUCAUCGUAAACUGACCUCUCAAAUCCCAAGCAUUCAUCAAUAAAGUAGGACCAUACAACUGUGAAUCUUCCUGUCAUUACAGUCAAUUCGCAGAGAACUUAUAUCUGCAGCAGCAAACAAUGCUUAGGUAAUAGUACUUCAAGGGCUGUACUUGCUUAACAAUUUCACUGAGAAAGUUACAAAAUACAAAUGAAGGGUGAGAAAAUUCGGAAAGAUAUUGUACAUGACCUGAACAAGCAUUUAGAGUAAGGCUGCAGUUUAAAUUGAAAAGAUAUUUGGGGAUGAUGGUAAGAAAAAAAAUCUAAGAUCAAGACUAUAAACAUGCACUUGGUGAGUGUUGGUUGCACAUCUACAGUACAGUAGCAGGAAGUGCAGCAACAAAAAAUAAACAAGCCGUCUUACAGAGCAAACAUCAAAUACUGGAUAUAUUUAACAGCGGGUAAUGAGUACUUGAGUAGUUGUACAAGUGCUGACAUAUGCAAGGAUGGCUAAUUAACUCAUGAACAAUAUAUUAUUAAAUAGUGUGAUGAGUUGAUGACUUCACGGGCUUGAAUGUGUGUGCAUAUUUUGUACAUUCGAAUAGCAGAGCUGGACAUGAGCCACUAUUAAUCGUGACCAGCAUGUGCACCAUUAACCAAACUGAUGUACUCGCUGUUGGAGCAAAGCUGGAGUGCGCACCAUUCCACCGUGGCAACUCAAGCGAUUACUCCCUCCGUUUGGAAUUACUUGUCUCGGAAAUGGAUGUAUCUAGAUGUUCUAGAUACAUCCAUUUCCGAGACAAGUAAUUCCAAACGGAGGGAGUAAAAUUUAGCCUACAAACUGUGCUUGGAAUAAGGACCUUCUGUUCCAACACUCGCUAGCAGAGUCAUUCACGCUAGUUUAUACAAAAGUGCAAAAAGAUCACACUGGUAAGGCCAUCACUACUAAAAAAAUGCAAACAAAGAAAGUACACUGGUAAGGCCAUCACUAUCCCUAGGUAAUCAGUCUGUACGUCUCUCUCACACACGCACACGCCCACAUAUUGAAGCUUAUCCUAAUCAAAUGCAAAUUACAUACAGAUGCACCCAAAGCCUAGACUGGUCAGGAAAACUGCAUAAAAAACACAUGAAACGGAGAAUUUUGGUUUCAGACAUCAAAUCAGAAGAGUAUAAAUAUUCAUUGACGUUUCAUGAAGCCUCAAGAAGAGUUGAAGAGUUUCAGUUACUGCCGUAAUUGGGGUACUCCUACUAUGUAUUAUUAUGUUUGUUUUUUAUCUGGGGAGGCCAAAGAUGAAACACAAAAAAUCAAAAGUAAAUCUAGAAGGCAAGUGUUGCACAUUUUAAGAAUGUUUUGACUGCCGCACGUGAAUAUUCUAAGUGUGAACUGAAAAUGAUUGGCAUCCCUUCAUGCUAAUCAGCUUGUCUUUGUUGAGAUACUAAUCCAGCAUUAAACUAAUCAUGACAGCUGCCUGAAAGGGACUGGCACCCCUUCAUGCUACUCAGCUUGUCAUUGUUGAGAUACUAAUCCAGCAUUAAAAUCAAUCAUGACAGCUUUCAAACAGAGAAGGAACUAAAACAAAUUAUUAAAGGAGGACCAAACUCCUUCAGACCUCAUCCAGCCGCUGCAGAUAGCUCAAGCCUUGUAUAUAAAUACACAUGGUGUGUGCGUAGUAGACUGCAUCGCAACAUCUGCAGUGCACAUCUCUUGGUGAUUGUCUUCACCUUAGCAGCUUCAUCCCAAGAAGCCAUUCACUAGCUCACUGCACAAGCAGUACAAGGACAACUAGCCUUUGCAAGUUUUCUUUGUGAGAGAUAUGGAGGGCAGAGAUGAUGUCAAAUCAGAUGAGAUCCUCCUGCCUGGGUUCCGGUUCCAUCCUACCGACGAAGAGCUGGUUAGUUUCUACCUCAAGAAGAAGAUCCAGCAGAAGCCCAUCUCCAUCGAGCUCAUCAAGCAGCAGGACAUCUACAAGUUCGAUCCAUGGGACCUCCCAAGUAAGCAAGCUUGCAUCUACAUCUCCUUGUUUAUACUACAUCUUAUUUUCCUCAUGAAUAGAUGGGUUACUCACCUUACUGCAAAGUCUAACAACUUGACUGUGUUCCUUGUCAACAACAGAGCUUGCGAGCACCAGCAGUGAGACAGAGUGGUACUUCUACUGCCCAAGGGACCGCAAAUAUCACAACAGCGCGAGGCCAAACCGGGUCACAGCAGCUGGGUUCUGGAAAGCCACAGGAACAGAUAGGCCAAUUUACUCCUCCGAGGGCACCAGGUGCGUAGGCCUGAAGAAGUCCCUUGUCUUCUACAAAGGCAGAGCGGCAAGAGGGAUCAAAACCGACUGGAUGAUGCAUGAGUUCAGGCUUCCUUCGCUCGCCGAUCCAUCACUUCCCAAGAGACCGAUCGACAAGAACAUCCCGCUUAAUGUACGCAUUUCAAUUCAUACUAUGUAGUUGCAGAGCUAAAUUCCAUGUUAUGUGGAGUUCUGAAGGCACUUUUUCUGUUGCCGAAAACAGGACUCUUGGACCAUAUGCAGAAUUUUCAAGAAGCCAGGUUCGAUGGCGGCGCAACGGGCGCUGUCUCAUGCUUGGGGGGCUCCAUUGCCUGGGGCAACUGAGCAACCGAUGCAAGCUUCACAUUUUGCUUCGGAGAGCUCCACCCGCUCAUUGCAAGUUGCAGCAGUGGCACCAUCAAGUCAGUUCAUAAGUUUCAACUGUGGUCCAUCUCCGCAAGUCCUCAAAGGUCCCACCAUCUUGCCAUUCCAAACACAGGCGCCAUCACACAAGCCCGUGCUGCACACUGCGCCACCACCGCUCUUCUUCGAUGCGCACUUUGGGCAGCCUGAGCAGAGCGCUGGAUUUGUGACUGGUUCUUCUGCAGAUGUAAAUGCCAGCAUGAGCUGCAGGGACCAAGAGUCAUCCACAACGAAGCAUGGCGGUAAAUUCAGGAGCAUGAACAAUGAGUGGGAAGCUCCGGGGAGACUCGACUUCCCAUUCGGUUUAGUAGCAGACUCUUCGGAUGACUGGGAGUGCAACAUACCUUGGGAAUCCUUUCUUAGCCCAACAGUCCCUGCUGAGAUCUCACAGCACUAGAUGCCUAGCCUGCCCUACACGGAGUGGGAGGUGUGCACCACCUUCACCUGUUAGCAUUUCUGUUAGCAAGGGCACCAGCCAUUUGUUCAGUUUUGGAUUAGAUGUACUGUAUAUACUAGUAAGCUAUACCCUUGUUAACAUGCUAACAGAGAAGGAUAUAUACAUAAAUACAUUGGGUGUAUCAUGUAUACAUUUUCUUUUAAGGUGAGUUAUGGUGUACAUUGAGUGGAGAGUAGUGAACAUAUGGCAAAUCAAUGGAUCAAAUAUCCUGACAAUAGAAAGGUACAACGAUUUGGAACGCUCUAAACACAAGAGGUUUGUCUCUCACCUGCUAAACAUUUAACUCGAGGCAACUAAGCCUCACACCACCACCAUCAGAAACACUUUUCAUUGUGUACAAAACAGCAGUGCAAUAUCAAUUUCAGAGGAGCUCUGCUUUGUGGCUGUCUUGUCUUUGGUUUUCUGGAUUUUCGGAACCUUCUUCGCAAUCUUCUGCUCUUUGGCCGAGAAAGCAUGAAUGAUCCUGCACAGCCAUAGUUGCAACUUAUGAGUACAAGAUGACAGAUUAUAGGACUUCACACAGCGGCAUAUAUCUACCUUUUAUUUGCUCACCUCUCUCUAAAAGCAGUUCCAGAAAGCCAUCCACCAUAAGCACUCCUGCGGUUCCUAACAAACCUGGACCUCUUGUACUCAGUACACCUGAGGUGAGGAAUCUGAAAAUGAGAACUUGCAGUAUGAGAUGAUACUGGGCAACAAGUGAAGUAAUGAUCUGCACUCAUCAUAAGCUGGCCUCUUAAAUUUCAAGCAUUAAUCUACAGAGGACCAUACAGCAUGUGAACCUUCUUGUCAUGACAGUCAAUUAGCAAAAAAUUAUAUCUCAAGCAGCAAAUAAUCUUUGGCAAUAAUAUUUCAAGGGCUGUAGCUUAACAAUUUCACUGAGGAAGUUACAGGACGCGCAAAUGAAGAGUGAAAUCACACAAAUUUCAAAUAUACUGUACGUGACUGGAACAAGCAUUUAAAGUAAUGCUGCAGAUUAAAUUGAGAAGAUGUUUGCGGAUGGUGGUAAGAGCCAAUGAAGGGAAAACUAAUUCUAGUCAAGACUCUAAAGAUGCACUUGGUGAAUGUUGGUUGCACAUCUGCACUUGCACUUGUUUAUUACAAACCAUAGCCAAUAAAAAGCUAGUAUAUCACAAAGUAGACCUUUCAAUUACCAAGUUCCAUGAGCUAUUCUUGACUCAACAACACUUGCAGAACACUGCACACCACACUCAUCCUGGCAUCGGGCAUCCAACAUAAGUAGCAGGAGCAGCACCACCAGAAAUCAACAAACUGGCUUAUAUAGCAUACAUCAAACACUGGAUAUAAUUAACAGUGGGUAAUGAGUAGUUGUAGAAGUGCUGAAAUAUGCAAGGAACAUGACUAGUAUUUCUUAAUUAAGCUACAUUAGCCAUUAAAUAAAAGGCUGUUCCUCGGAAAAGUUGAACCUUGUGCAGAUGAAGACUUACAGUAAGAUCAUCAGCCAUGUAUCCAAUAGACAGCAUCCAAAAGUAAGAUUGUAGUGGCGUCGACCAUCAUCUGUUUCAAACAGAAGAUUUGGCAACGGCAUACCAUUGUCAAUGGUGAACAUGCAGUGCCAAUAACAGAUAUAUGGGCUUAAUUUCUAGUUCUGGCGUCAUUUUAAACAUAAAACCAAAAACAUGUUAUGGAACCAAAACUGGAAGAAACACCAGUCUAUGCAGUGGACAUCUCUGUGGUAAAACAAUAUCAUAUCAAAUUCAUACUACGUACAAGGUACUCCAAAUAAAAUUGCUCAUACUGCUAAAACCCUCACUAAUUGUUCAGGUGGAUACGAUGAUCCAACUCACUGGAAUGUGAAUUCUCAAGCCCAAUUAUUACAAUCCUAUUAUUGACCAAUGAUGGUCAAAUGUGCAAAUGAUGACAGCCAACAAGUCUGAAAGUUACUAGAACCCGGCCCAUUUUAAUCACCCGCUUCCAGCAGUUUUCAAUCCACUAACAGACCAUUCCAUCCGUGCAGCAGCUUGUUAACAAAGAUAAGAAUUGUUUUUGGCACUUUCCUGCAAGUAGCAGAACAUAAACAUCAGUGGGGUCUAGAAAUAAGCAAACAGUUGCACACAUGGAAUAAAAUGUGAAAUCAAAUGGAAUGAACACUGUUUAAUUAGGGACACAUGCAGUACCUGCUCAUUAACUUGGGGUAUAAUUGGUUUGGAGCCCAAGCAAAAAAAAAACUAGUAAUGCUGACUGUAUUUGACCGCCAUGUCGUCUGGGGCCUCAGCAGUCUGUGGUGCCUGAGUGCUAAAUGUUGGUCCACCUUGACGAGAAGAUCCAAGCUGAUCAUGCUCAUUUCCUAUGCGGCCAUAGUGUGGGAGACUCUGAGCAGAGCCCAAACUAGACCGUGGUGCUUCAGGGGCACCAAAUGACGGCCGUGAUGCCUGAGGAGCACCAUACCCAGGCUGCUGCGCUUGAUGAGUACCAUACCCAGGCUGCUGCGCUUGAUGAGCCCCAUACCUGGGCUGCUGCGCUUGAUGAGCCUCAUACCCAGGCUGUUGUGCUUGGUGAGCCCCAUACCCAGGCUGUUGUACUUGAUUGGCGCCAUAUCUGGGCUGUUGCGCCUGUUGGGCGCCAUACCCGGGCUGUUGCGCCUGAUGGGUGCCAUAUCCGGCCUGUUGCGCCUGAUGGGUGCCAUAUCCGGCCUGUUGCGCCUGAUGGGCGCCAUAUCCAGGCUGCUGCGCUUGAUGAGCGCCAUAUCCAGGCUGCUGCGCUUGAUGAGCACCAUACCCAGGCUGUUGCGCUUGAUGAGCACCAUACCCAGGCUGUUGCGCUUGAUGAGCACCAUAUCCAGGCUGUUGCGCUUGAUGAGCGCCAUGGCCUGGCUGUUGUGCUUGAUGAGCGCCAUACCCAGGCUGUCGCGCUUGAUGAGCGACAUGGCCUGGCUGUUGUGCUUGGUGAGCGCCAUACCCUGUCUGCCAUGGACGAGAUGUGCCAAACCCAGAAUGUUGAGUCUCAUGAGAACCAUGUGGUGGUUGCUGCGGUCGACUACCAAACCCAGGCUGCACCGGUGUAGCUGAGCCAAAAUUAGGUUGCUGCACUUGAGGAGCACCAACUGUUUGCUGCCAAGGGCGAGAGGUACCAAACUCUGGCUGUUGUCCAUCUUGAGGCAGGGCAAUCCCAGGUUGUUUUUCUUGAGGAGAAGAAAUACCAUGCUGCCAUUUAUUAGAAGCACCAACAUCUGUUUUUUCAACUUGUUGGUUUCCAGACACAGGCUGCUGAAGUUUAGGAGACAUCCACUCGGGUUGCCGCACUUGAGAUGCACCAUUGCCAGGCUGAAAUGGUUGUGGAGAACCAUAACCUGGUUGGCCUUGGUUAGGUGUGUAGCUGCCCCGUGUCUGAUUAGAUGCAAAUCCUGGCAACCCCUGAGGUGAACUGCGAGGGCGAACCUCUGGUCUUGGCUGAGGAGGCAGUGGCACUGGUUUUUCUUCAAAAGCUUUCUCGAUCUCUUCGUGUCGAUCAGCAUUCUUGAAAAUCUCACCGACAGACACCCGGAACUCAGGAGUUGCGACAACACCACCCCUUGCCAUGUCCCUCACCAGAUCCAGUGCUCUAUCCAAUUCCCCUUCCUUGCACAGUGCAUUAACCAGGAUCUCAAAUGUAGUUGUGUUGGGCUUGAUCUCCUUGUCAGCCAUCCUUCCGUACACCUUCAAGGCAUCAUCAAUUCGGCCAGCUUGUGAAAGUCCUUCAAACAUUCUAUUGAAAAAGCCGAUGUUGAACUUUGGGCCGUGCUCCCUCCCAUCUGCCAUUUUGUAGAAGUACUGAAUCGUGUCAUCCACACGACCUUCCUUGAAGCACAAGUCGACCAGGAAAGUGUAGGUGUACACAUCUGGAAGCACCGACUUGCUCUCCAUCUCCUCAAAGAGCUUCUCUGCCUCUGCGAGCAUCCCCUUCUCACAGAGCUUCCCGAUGAUGUUGUUGAAGCAGCCGACGUCCAUCUGGACGUUCCUCCUCGGCUGGCGGUGGAACACCUCAAUGGCAUCCUGGAACCUGCCCUCCUUGAAGCACUGGUUGACCAUGACAUUGUAGGACUCGCUGUUCAUACCGAUGAAGCUUGGAGGGCUGUGGUUGUCAAUCAUGGUCUCCCACAGGUCAUUGGCCUCCUUGUGCUUGUCAUGCUUGAAGAGUGUCUCGAGCAGAACAUUGCAGGUGGCGGGCGUCAUCUUGAAGUUCCUGUCGAGCAGAGACUUGUAAUUCUCCAUGGCCUCCUUGUCCAUGCCUUUCUUCCAGUAGCCCUCCAUGAAGCUGGUGUGCACGACGCCGUCGUACACGGUGGCCUUCUCGGUGAGCUCGGCAAAGAGCUCGAAGGCCUUGUCCCAGUCGUCGAGGCCGAUGUAGCCGUCGAUGAGGUUCCUGUACACGAUGGAGUCGGCGCCCUGGCCGCGGUGGUACAUGCUGUGGAGGAGCUCGAGGGCCUCCUGGAUGCGGCCGGCAGCGACGAGGCCCUUGGUGAGGUGGCGGUAGCUGACGGCGGAGGGGGAGAAGGAGGUGGCGCCGUCGAGCAUCUCCUGGUAGGCCUGGAGCGCCUCGUCGACGCGGCCGGCCUCGCAGUGGGCGAGGAUGAGGGUGUUGUAGGAGACGACGUUGGGGACGAUGCCGGAGCGGCGGAAGAAGAAGUCGAAGAGCGCCACGGCGUCGUCGUGGCGGCCCGCGCGGCCCAUGGAGGCGGCGACGGCGUUGCAGGUGAAGACGGUGGGGCGGACGCGGGAGCUGACGGCGGCGCGGGCCGCGGCAGAGGCCCCGUCCAGGUCGCCCGAGCGGAUCAGGGACUGCACGCGGUUGUGGAGGCUGAGGCGCGGGCCGACGAGGGAGGAGGUGGUGUCCGGGAGGCGGGGCGCGUUGGGGUCCCGCGGCGGGGGCGGGGCGGACGGGUCCCGCCGGAGCGCGUGGAGCGGGGGCUCGAUGCGGAGGCGGCGCUUGCGGCGGCGGCGCUCCGCCGCGGCCUCCUCCGNNNNNNNNNNNNNNNNNNNNNNNNNNNNNNNNNNNNNNNNNNNNNNNNNNNNNNNNNNNNNNNNNNNNNNNNNNNNNNNNNNNNNNNNNNNNNNNNNNNNNNNNNNNNNNNNNNNNNNNNNNNNNNNNNNNNNNNNNNNNNNNNNNNNNNNNNNNNNNNNNNNNNNNNNNNNNNNNNNNNNNNNNNNNNNNNNNNNNNNNNNNNNNNNNNNNNNNNNNNNNNNNNNNNNNNNNNNNNNNNNNNNNNNNNNNNNNNNNNNNNNNNNNNNNNNNNNNNNNNNNNNNNNNNNNNNNNNNNNNNNNNNNNNNNNNNNNNNNNNNNNNNNNNNNNNNNNNNNNNNNNNNNNNNNNNNNNNNNNNNNNNNNNNNNNNNNNNNNNNNNNNNNNNNUCCGCGGAGGAGAAGGAGAAGCCGCGGGAGGGGGCGAGGGCCGGGUGGGGGGUUAGGGCGGUGGUGUGGGGGAGGAGGCGGGGCUGGGGCUGGGAGUGGGGCAGGGCGAGGCGGCGGAGGAGGAGGAGACGGCGGAGGAGCGCCGCCAUGGUCGUCCGCCGACGAGGAGCAGGGCAGGGGAGGGGAGGGAAGGGUUCUGGUGGAGCGGCGGCCACGGGGGGAAGCAGAGCCACCCAAAACCCUUCCGCUGGUGGGCUUGGGCCAUUUCUCCAGGCCAUUCGCUUUCAUUUCGCGCUGAAAGGGCUUCGUUUUGCUCCAACCCAAUGACUGACUUCUGGCCAUUCAUUCUCAAGAAAAAAAUCAUUCUAUAGAAAAAAAAUAACCUCUUUCUCAUUCGGAAAAGUUAUUACUAAAAAAACGAAGCCUUCGGUUUUCACAUGAGUAACCAAGUGAUAAAAGAACUCGACCAAUGUGAGCAUAGAAAAAUGAGUCUAAACAAACUCCAUUGUAGUGAUCAUUAAACCAAGUCAUGGGGAUACGAUUGAGGUCUGGAGUGUUAAGGAGCCACACAUGGCGUCCAAAAGAAAGUCUUAGAGCAUGUUUAGCGAGGCUACGUGCCUCGAUAUUGGAUUCUCGCCCCUCGAAGAUGAAGAAACGGCGAUCUAUCUGGUUUGAAGUCUGGUAGGUCUCCUUGAUGAUACCAGCAUGCAUCCCUACCGUGUCUUUUGUGAAUAUUGUUUACCAUGCCUUGGCAGUCCGAGGCGAUAACCACAUAAAUAAGUGAGAGGUCGAGGGCAAGAGUCAAUGCUUCCCGACAUGUCAUUGCCUCCCAGAGAGGCAGCAUCCGUGCCCCCAGAACAUUUGAUGGCAGAUGAACCCGAGUACUUGCCUAUGGAGUCGCCACACAUGGCACUAUAAGAUCCUUCCGUUGAAUUCCCGACAUGUCAUUUCUCUCACCCCCGUCAACAAUCAAAUGCAUGGUGAGAGAAAUAAAAGCAGUUGGUUGAUAAUUAAAGGGGGUGCAUGUUGAGAGAACUAGAUGAUAGCCCGAGCGUUGUUGCGGACCUGCGUUUCCAUGAGCGGAUUCGAAGAGAAGCAUAUACUAUAUGAAUGAAUAUUAAAUACAACUUAUCAAACGUAUAAGCAGCGCAUUAUAGCCCCACAUAUGUGUGUUGGAGCUUGUCUAUACGCCCGAAGCGGAUGGUAAGGAAGCUUUGCAGAUGGGAAGAGUAAUGUGCUAGCACUCAAGGGCCCAUUAAUACAUAUUGUUUUUAUUUACCAUAGAAGUGGUGAAUUUAAAAGUAGAGUAAAAAUACAGCCUAAAUACUAAAGAGGUUUCAUGUAAGAAAAAAGUUAAUAAAAAUGUUCAUAUCUAGCAUAAGAUUAUUNNNNNNNNNNNNNNNNNNNNNNNNNNNNNNNNNNNNNNNNNNNNNNNNNNNNNNNNNNNNNNNNNNNNNNNNNNNNNNNNNNNNNNNNNNNNNNNNNNNNNNNNNNNNNNNNNNNNNNNNNNNNNNNNNNNNNNNNNNNNNNNNNNNNNNNNNNNNNNNNNNNNNNNNNNNNNNNNNNNNNNNNNNNNNNNNNNNNNNNNNNNNNNNNNNNNNNNNNNNNNNNNNNNNNNNNNNNNNNNNNNNNNNNNNNNNNNNNNNNNNNNNNNNNNNNNNNNNNNNNNNNNNNNNNNNNNNNNNNNNNNNNNGUGCCUCAAAUAGUUCAAUAUGCAUGUAAAAAAAUGUAAAUUUAUAAGAAAGUAGUUCAUCUGUAUUAGAAUAAAUGUUCAUGCCAUCUUAAAAGGGUUCAAUAUACCCCUCCCCCGCCCAUCCAAAAAAGAACAAAAAAUAAAUAAAUAAAGAUGCAUCCAAAAGAAAAUUGAAAAAUUAUAAGAAAAUAAAAGAAUGAAAACCCCAAAGAAGCAGAAACAUAAAAGAAAAAGAGGAAAAGAGGAAAAUGGAGGCAAAACAGAAUAUGUGAUGAAUAUAUUAAAUUUGUUGUGCGUGAUUUUAUUUUCAAAAUUUUGUGAACAUAAUAAUAUCAGUCGAUGAACAUUACUUUAAAUUUUAUGGACAUUACUUUUUUAAAUAAGCAUUCUCGUAAAUAUGAACUUUUGUAAACAUACGGACAUUUUUUUAAAAGUUCAUGAAUAUGUUUUUCGGGCAGUAGACUUUUUUUCCAAUACAUAUGGCUGCAUUUUUCUUUGUAAUUAUUUGUAUAUUUUUCUAGAAUCAAAAUUUGCAAAUAAAAAGAGUUAUAUAAAUUAGAAUUAAAAAUUGCAAACCGUUAUUGGGCUGGCCCAGGUAGCAACCCUGCGCGUUUUGGGGGCGUCUGGCGAUCCGGCCGGCCGAUCCUAACAAACAUCCGAUGUUUGCCUGCGUCGAGCAUGUUGAGCAGCUUCCCGACCUGCAUGGUUACAUGAACCAGAUCCAUCGAUCUGUCCAUAUAUAGACAGCUUAUAUGCGCGUCUUAGUUUGUUCGACCGAGAAAUCACCAUGCAUAUAGUCUGCAAUACGGACAGAAAGUAAUACUCCCUCCGUUCCUAAAUGUAAGUCUUUGUAGAGAUUCCAUUAUGAACCACAUACGGAUGUGUAUAGAUGCAUUUUAAGUUCAGAUUCAUUCAUUUUGCUCCAUAUGUAGUCCACCUAAUGGAAUCCCUACAAAGACUUAUAUUUAGGAACGGAGGGAGUAUGUAAUAAAGAAUCAAAAGACCCGUGCGUUUCUACUUUCUUGGAUUUUUUAGCCGAGUGGGUGAUUUCUGUAGAGUUUAGGGUUUAGUUUAGCACUUCAUUUUAAGGGAAAGCCUUCAUGGCACUUUAUUGAAACUCAAAUAAGUUUACAUCAUUUGCAAUGGCAUCUAAGAUGAAAAUAAACGGAUACACAUGCCACGUAGUGGACAGAGGUCCCUCCGCAUUACUAGCUAACAAAUGAGCCACCUUAUUUCUUUCCUUAGAACAGUGAAAUACAACUUUUUUAGCGUGUAAUUUUUUGAGUAUUUCUUAGUUUAGCACUUCAGCACGUUCUCUUCCCAGUGAAUCUUCAGUCUUCACGUGCUUGUUUCAUUUUUAGUUGUUGAGCAAUGCCUGGCAGUUCGACUUGUUUCUUCUACUCGCUAUGCGGAGUCUCCAAUACAUAUGGACUUGUUUCUUCUAUUCGCUAUGCGGAGUUUCCAAUACAUAUGGUUGCUCCAAAGCUAAGCUUAUAUUUGUUUGGCAAUAAACUUUGUAUUAAAAAAAUCUAUUUUAAGUAAUUUUGGACCUUAAAAUGCCGAAAUUUUCAAUAUCUACCGGCGCUCACCUGUAGAAAAACUCAUUGAGGAAAAAACCUUAGUCGAAACAAAAGAUUGACUGCUCAAGUGAUAUUAUAUUGCACUAAAGGAAAAAACUAUUAAGGCCGAGUAUGUAAACCACUUGGCGAAGCCCGAAUCAACCUGGGCAAUGCCUAUGCCUAGUGUGACACUCGGCGUAUAUCCUGUUGGCAUACGGACCUUAGCUGAGUGUAUUUCGUCGAGGGUUCGGGAAACGUGUAAUCCGAGAGAAAAACAACAGCCCACAUCAAAAAAGGGUUAACCAGGUGGCGGGCCACGUUAGCAGUGUUGAGUAAGCCGAAUGUCGGCGCUCGGCAUUCAUCCGCUGCUCGUCUUUUAGUUGGACCCAAGAGCUACGCGGAGGCGCAGGCGCCACGUGUAAUGCCAAUAUGCUGAGUGUCAUGUCAUUGUUCACAGCAAAUGUGUUCGCCGAGCGAGUCUGUACGUCGAGCAUUUUAUGUGUUAGUCACGGUUUUGUACGCCGAGCGUCUCGAUGUAAACCGAGGGUCUUCUCUGCUGAACUAUUCAUGAAACAAUGGUGUAGGUGCACUAGCAUCUUGCAUAAUUCCACAGAUGAAUCUAAAGAUUUAACAAAUGCUGAGUUGUUUUACAACUAAUGUGCAUGACAAGAUACUGUAAGUAUUUAUAUAUUAUCAUACAUUAAGAUAUUCUUUUUAGGGUGGACAUUAAGAUAUGUUGGUAGCUGAAUCUUCCAGACUCAUUGGUUCAUUCUCUUGAAGGCCAGGGUGUGGAACAUGGGAUGGGAUCCCUUGGUUUAAUACAAAGAUGGCAGUAGAUUGAUCCAUUUCCCGAAGGUCAGCGUGAAGCAUGGGAUCUUCUGCUCAUUCCAAUAUGAUGGCUCAGCGUAUCGAUGGGGAGCCCAGUUAGUAUGAAGUGAGGAAGAGGACCACACAAGAUAUCCUCUCCAGGUCAAGGUUCAGUUGUGCAUUUGAUGCCAUUUUAGCCAGACUUGAUGUAUGAUGACUGAUUUUUUGGAUGAUUUGUGCUGUACAACAGUCCACCAUCCUUCGUCUUCCUGCACUGGUUCUAGAUCUUAAGCUGCUUAGCUAUUAUUUUGAAAUAAUUUGAACUUGCAGAAGCGGUUCUCAUGUGCUGAAUAUCCUUGUGCCAUUUUGGAACCAGAAUGUAGAAACAUAUCUGAGUCACCUUUAAGAACCUUUUGCUUGACAUGCAUGUGCAACAACAAGACCCUUUCCAAACAUCACCAGUUGUUGAACGAUCUGUACAGUAAAAUAGGGGACUAACUCUCACAUAUUCAACGAACAUGAGGUAGCCACACAUCAUGUUUCCAGGCACUGCUAGAUUGUACUAGUAGCGGACCUAGGGCAAAUAAUUUGAUGUCGGCGAGACAGGGUAAACAUCAACAUGAGACAAAUGCACCAAACAUAAACCUUAAAAUUGACCACAGUUCGAACUGACGCUGAUAAAUAUUUCUUCUUUAUCUCAGACCAACGUCUAGCCCCAAAUUCUUCCAAGACCAUCAAUUAGUUCGAGCACCUCUUCGGUUGUCCAAUGUGGUUUAUUUGUUCUGUGUCCACCGUUUCAGCCUCACUUGCAGAAGAUGCAUCCUGGAUGCCCUGUUUAAACAACCAAUGACAUAAAAUUAUUUGGCCACUGUCCGCUGAUGGAUUAAGUACAGAUGAAAUUUCUGAACUUAAAAGGGCACACAAUAUGAAGAAAACAACAGAUAUAUUUGUAGAUAUAAUGAACAUGUCUGAUUUACACGCACAUAUGAUUUCUUAAGUGUGAUUCAUUCUCAAUUGUGGUUCAGAUGAAGCAACCAUAGCUGAGAGACCACCAACCUUCUAGUCAUCAAAUCCUGAGUUUAUUGUUCGCAAAAAGAACAAGAAAAAUUCUGAGUUCAUUGAUCAGAUGCAAAGCAACACAUUUCCUGUCGUCGUUCAAAAGAGAAAUGUGAAAAACAUUUACGACCCUAGCUAGCCACAUAGUCUCAUCUUUUGAUUAUUACAUUCCUUCACAAACACUCGACAACGGCCACUAAACUCAGAACCAAUCCAUGGUCUGAUCUCCCUCUCUCCUUGAGGUGAUAAAAAGGGCGUGUGCCAUUGCGUAAAGCCAAGGCUCGGCUAGUAGCAGCAGGGCGACGACAUAUGCAUCAGUGCAUCGAAGCAAAAAAUAGCGCCUGCUAUCUGUUUGGGUUUACAUUGAUCAAGUGAUGGGAUAUACUCCUACAAGUUCCUCCAGUGCAGGCAAAUGUUUUGCAGGUGAGAAACUACACCGCUCACGCGCUGCAGCAACAGCAGCUCAACUCUUGCCACGGCCCUUGGAUUUCUUCUUGCUGCUCCUGCUUCCGUGCGCCCAAAGCCGAGGCAGCUUCUCCCAUGCGGUCAGGUUCGUCAUCUGAACAUCCGUUGGCGUUGGCGUGCGGCUGGACAGCUGCUGCAGCAUUUUUGCUCUCGUUCAUUAAACAUUUCUCUUGCUAAAUUUUUCAUCCAUGCAUAACCUUGCAGCAGCCAGAAAGCGCAUGACCAGCUGCAGUUUCUUCUCACCACCUUGCCACUUUGAGUAUAGAUCCUUCACAGCAAGACGAGCUUUUUUCUCAACCCUGUGAUGACAAGACAAGCAAUUUUCACGUACGAGUAAUAAAUUCAUGUCUUACACUACACUAAGGUACAUAUCAUGCAGAAAAAGAGGAUGGCGAACACACCUACUCCCUCCGUUCCAAAAUAGACCAAAGUUAGUACAAAGUUGAGUCAACUAUUUUGGAACGGAGGGAGUAUCAAUUGCAAUACGGUAUCUGCAGUUCUGUACUGCCUGCCAUUGAGAAACAUAGUUAGCCCUAAAUUAACAUUUACUUACCUGGCUGAAAGUUUUUCGAACUCACUGCAGAUGUGGCUGAUCUCUUCCACUGUUUGUGUAUUAGUAGCUGCAUCAAUCACAGCUAGAAGGCCUGUUUCCUCCAACCAUGCAAGGGCGUCUCUAAGAAAUUGAAUAACAACCCAUGCAUCUUUCUGCAGAAAUUAGCUUUUAGAAUAACUUGGAAGCUGCCAACAAUGGGACAAACUGAAAGAUAACAAAACAAGCAUAUGAAACUCACCUAGCCCUGCUUGUUGAGUACAAAAGUCUCAAACUUCUUCCAAGUAGCACUAUCAUUAGUUAAAUCUAUCUCUAUCGUACUCGCUGUCUUGCUAUCUUGUACAGCAUAAGGAAUUUUCCCACAAAUAACAUUAGGGGAACUAUCUGAUUUUUCUGGCAAUGAAGUCUCUUCCUUUAGAGAACUUGGUUCUUCAGGGCGCAGAAGAGCCAUUAUCUUCAGAACACUGUACAACGAAUCCUCCUUGCUAAUCAUAUAAGCAUUUAAGUUCGGACAAAGUACUGGGCCUUUGGUUGAGCCAAUAACAACCAUAGGAUCUCCGAUUGCGGCGAGUGCAUCAGCAAGCACUCUUGUGAAGUUGCUUGAUGUGCAAGACGCCAAAACCUCAUUUUCAAAGCAUGUUCAAUCUUCUGAGAGAACUCCAAAGGUAGUUCCUUAAAGACUUCAUUCCUCCAAAGGUUAUGUGUGACCUCAUAGCAAUUCCCCAGGGAAAUAUUAAGGAUCAGAGGAUAAAGUGCAACAACUGGUCUCAGGAGGACUGGUCUGUAUCAAGUGCUAGGACCUGAAAUCUUGUGUGCCCAUUCCUGGAGCAUAUGGUUGGUCGUCAAGAUAGUCAUAAUCAUCUGAUAUAUGAAACGGCCUGAUGGGUGUGCCAAACGAUUAAGAUCAGAAUCUGGUCUCGAUUUACAUACCAGGUAGGUGUAAAUGUAAACCUUGCUGGUACGGCACUCCAGUAUAUUGACCAACAGAGAUUUCGUGCAGCAUAUAAAAUCAUUCUGUAUCAAGUACGAGAAGCCAUGAAACCAAGGCACUCCAGAAGACCCACAUAGCAUGUUGGGGAUAUGUAGUCUAGCUCAUCCUUCCACUUUACAUUGAGGGUAAAAUCACGAGCAAGCUUAAAGUUCAAGAAAAAUGAGGAUCUAUCACAACCACUGUCAAGAAAUCACUGCAAAUAUUAGAAAAAAUCUGCCUACUCAGAACUAUUGUCCAGGUACUGUAGUGGUCAUGAAAGUCGCGCUUCGCCCAAGUGUGCUGCAUGAAGCACAAGCAUGGUUGUUCUCCCAAGAUGCCCCCGAGUUAAAUUUUUAUUUACCAGGCAAAGAUUUGCACUAAGAGAAUCAGCAAUCAAUUCAUAUGCAGCUGGUGAGUCAAGUAGACACAAGAGGCUCCCCAUUGUCCCAUCUCUCCACACAAGGAAAACUAACUCGAAGAAGCGACACUCACAGAGAAUAAAAAGGCUUCUGAACUUCUUAGAACUUUUUGGAAUACUGAACUGUGGUUCUUCGAAGAACUUUGCUAUCUCAUUUAUGAUAAGGAUAGUUCUCACCAGUGUAUAUGAAGAUGCAGGCUUCAGAGAAAUUUCGACAGCGGACUCCAACUUCUUAAGUACACUGAAACCAACAGAAGACAGCUCAUUCAUCCAGAAACACUGAGCACAUGAAUGACACUGAGGGACACCCAAUAAACAUCUGUUGCCGUCUUGCUGCAAAUAAUUUCUGCCAGCAAUAGAAAGCCAACUUGCAUUGAUGUUAAGCACCACAUAUCUGUCAACUUCACCAUCUUUUCUCAAUCCAAAGUACUUGGCGCAAAGAUCUUCAUACAUAACUGCAUAAUCAUUUAAUUCUGGACCAUCGGUGUGGCGAAGAUGAGACAGUACUUUGAUUAUGAUCGACUUCCAGUGAUUCAAACAUAAAACAGAGUUUGGGGUGACAUCUGGUUAGAGGCCAGCAUAUCUUUACUACUGUUUUCAUGUUCAGAUCCUGGCCCUAAUUCUAUAUUGUAUCCAGAGGCUCGAGACUGAAGAUGAACAUCAAGAAUCAAACUGGAAGCAACAAGUUAAACCAAUAGUUUGGACAUUUCUGCCCUCAACCAAUGUGCGAUUUAAACUGGGUAGAGACUUAUUCACAUCUGACAGUGCAUCAGCUUCCACGCAAAACAAAACAGUAGAAACUCUGAGACCUUUUUCGCCAUCUCUUUGGCUUUUGCAAGCAACUGUCACUUUUCUGAAUAUCUUUUGGGAGGCCAACCUCUACCAUUUGAAGACCACAGAGAAUCCACAAUGAUAUGGACGCCCUGUUGCAUCCUUAAACAAAUCUGCCUUCUCGAGCAUGUCUACCUCCAGUAAGACAUCUCCUUUAUGCUUUGCUAUUCCUGCAGCUUCUAGGAAAUUACACAUUUCCAUCUCUAAACUCGACAGUCAUCAACAAGAUUCGUAGAAUUUAGGAAUGUCCGUACAUGAUCCAUAGAGCUGAAAGCUUUAAUAAAAGCCAUCCUAUGCUUUAUGACGACACGCUCAAAAUAAUCUUGAGCACAGUUAUCCAGAUACUUUGUUCUAAUUGCAGAAACCUCAAGGAUUUUGAAUUCUGAAGCGAAUGUUCCUCCUCCAGAUUGCAUAAUUGUUUUCCUUUCGAGCACAUGGAGAAACACUUGGUGUAACAUUUAGCUUUGAAGAACACUUCCACUGCCUCCGACCAGCAUUCAGCGAUAGCAAAAUAAUCAUCAGCAUCCUCAAGUCCAGAACUGGAAGUACCACAUUUUUGCAUAUAGACCAUACCUAUGGCAAUGCAAGGAACACAAUGUUUAGUCAGACAGAGCUUCGUGGGGUGUAAGGUAAACUAUCCAUAUGAAAGCUAAAAAUUGGCAUUUCUGUAAUUUAUAUAGGGAUGUCAUUUCCAAAAAAAUGUUUUGAGAUUUGAUGACAUUUACUUGUAUGGCUAAUCUCUAAGAACAACAUGUCAUUUGUAAAACAUUAUGAAAUGAUGAAAUCUCAAGUAUGGAUACAGCUUGUAAAUUAUGGAGAGUUGGCAGACCUGUUCUUUUGUAGUCACCUAAUUUGAUAUAGCAAUUAGCAGCUUUCAUGGACUCUGUCAAUCUCUGAUGUUGUUUGCAAUGAAGCCUUGCCCAGCUCCAAAUUUGUUGAGAUGACACAGUCAGCAGUGGCUAGAAGUCCGGCAGCUCUUGUGCACUUCUCUGUUUGCAUCACCAGCCUUCUCGAAGCACAUGGUAGCCAUCUCGAAUUGUCCCUCACUGAAUAACUACAAAAAAAGAGAACUUGUGACAUGGUAGCCUUCUCUAUAGGAUUAUUGUGGCCUUUUCUUUUGCCUUGUCGCUCUACGCUCAAUCUCUUGCCGCCGAGCAACUUUCGCCGCCAUUUUUCUUGGGCUAUGAUUUUGUGCGCAAUCUUCUUUUGACAAUUCAACUUCUUUGCUACUUCUCUUUUAUUUUCUAUUGAUGCGGUGUCUUCCUCUGAUGCGCCAUCUUCGUGUUACCCCCUCCGGCUUGACUCGACAGGUUCGGAAGAUUCUUCAUGCUACGACGACCCUCUCAAGACGCGAAUUUCGGAUUAUCUUUUUUUAAGUGUCUUCAAAUGGUGUUGGGGAGGGGGGGGGGGAUAUUACUAUUUGUCUUGGAGUCCUUAUUAUGCUAUGUCUCUUUCCUUUACCCCAUGUCUUGUGUAAUAAGUCGAUCGAUUGAGAGAAUUCGCUUUCCCUACUUUUCGAAGAGAGAAAGCGAGGUGACUAGUUGCGCUCCAGGCGCCCAAUUUACCUGCGCUGUCUCCGGCGGCUCCUUUCCUCUAGCAACCUCACGGUUGUUGGUUGGAGGGAGUCGCCGGACCCCACAUGCAGUCUGUAUAGUUGUAGGCUUAGAUGGGCUUGCGUAGCUAGAAUUCUGCCGACCGUGGUCUUGGGUCCGACGAUUUUGUUGAUGGCAGCUAAUAAAUUCCUUCAAGUCCCGCUUCAUCGUGUUGUUCCGUGUCAUCGACGGCCCUUGGGUCUGGUAGGUGGUCUGCCUGAGUGGUGUCGGCGGCGACCCCUUGGUGGCUUUUGUUCUCCGGCACCUCCAUGGAACUGGAAGAUUGUACAUGAGUGUAUUAGCCGGUGUUGGUCGUCAUAGUGGCGGCUACAACGACGGGAGGGAGGUGUGGUGGACCGAUGCAGGGUUCAUAGUUCAACGCGGCUGGUUCGGUGACUCUCCUUCGACUUUGCCGGGCAGAGGACUGGAGCUAGGACCAAGGUGCACGGGGAUUGCCCCGGGUAGACACACCACGGCGACAACGCCUUGCCUUUUGCAGCGGGCUCACAAAGCUGAUUUCGGCGAUGGUGCGUCCUUGGUUCAGGCGUUGGCGGCUUCCUACGUCUUCCUCCGGCAUUCGUUUCAGUGGCGGCGGCCGAUGUCUUCUAUUGCAGCGAGGACCCUCGAGGACCUAUUUGUUAUUUUUCUUUCGUUUGGGGCUUCUUGGUACACCUGUACCCCCUGCUGCUCUCUAGUAGGUUCUGCAUGUGUAGGGUUUGUAACUCAUUUGGAAGUAAGGAACACGCAACAAACUUCUCAAAAAAGUCUUGUGUAGGGUUUAUAUAUAUAUAUAUAUAUAUAUAUGAUUAUUAUGUCUUUGCCACCCGGGGGGCUACACCACCUCUCUAGCUUCCAUCAGAUCUGGCUUUGAGAUCCGUGUAACAUCUUUUAGGUUUGCCAUUGGUUAGUCUUUCAUUUGUCUAAUUGCACUGCAACGAGUUCAUUGGCAAUUAGUAACAAAAUUAAAUGUUGAUACCGUGUAUACACAUGGAUCCAUUUUUGGGAAUCUUUUUUGAAUUCAUGGGGAACUUUUUUUAGGUAAUCCAAGUCUUAAUCACCAACCAAUUUUUUGAACUAUUAUAGAAAGUUAGGAACUUAUAUUGUUUCUAUACUAUUAGGGAAUCUUUUAGGUUAAGUAUUCAUGAUAUGGCAUUUUGAUACCGCAAUAGUGUAAUACAGGCUCUGCCGGGACCGUAUUAGUGUGGUCAUUAGCAUGCUUUUUUUUCAAGAGUACGCCAUAGGCAUACCAUAGAUUAGCAUGCUUUAUUAAUUGAAUUCCUAUAGAGGAAAGACGAAAGCACAGCGUUCACACGGAUCACGAGGCAUGGAUGGAGAUAACAUGGGGUUGAAGGAGGUAACAUGGGGUGGCAUGGUGUUCACACGGACCUUACUAGAUAGGUGGGUCUGGUACCCCAUGUACGAAUUCGCCGACGCCGAGGACAAGGCCCGACCUGAUACGAAGUGCUAUGAACUGAAUAUGCCGGAGGAGUUGGCAGCUAAUCUACAGAAGUUGCCGCCAAAGGACGUCCCAGGAAAGUCCAGCGUGGAGUCGUAUUCACUCGCAAACCGGCCAAAGAACGUGAGUGUUCAAAACCGAUACCUCUUUUUUGAUUGUCAUUAUUUGUGUGACCGAGUCUGACUCCAAUUCCUUCCCCUCCUGCAUUCAAGGGAUUCAUCUCCAUGCCUCCACUCCCCAAGCACAUGGUGGGGCCAGAUCAGCCGGCGUUGCUUGAUAUGUUGUGUCGGCAGAGACAAGGAGGAAGAGGAGUUCGCCGUAGGUUCCAUAGCCGACCCGAAAGGGAGCCAGGCAGAGGAUGACAGUGAUGAGAUGACGAAGCCACGUUGCGCUUUCAACGGGUCAUGAACAGGGACCAAGACGAGGAGGCGUCCGACUCAUAUGCACUUGCCCCAACAACUAUGCACGGAGCCGAAUCGAAAAAAGUUGGAGAGCAGGGCCACCGCUAGCAUGACCUUAUCCCGGUCCCUACCACAGGGCCAUGCACCCCAACUCGAUGCACGCCUCCUCGACCAUCUGCUUACAGCAAGGUGCGGGAAGCAUGCAGUCGGGAAGGUUUUUCCUGGCAAGGCCAUCUUGACUCUGCUUCUUUUUGCUAUUGGAUCUAGUGGUUGAGGUUUGGACCUGGCAUGUUCUCACUACUCUUGCAAUGCCCUCGGGACUUAAAGGCGUCUGACCAAAGGAAGAGGCGUCCAGCCCAACACCCAAGCUCGGCCGAAUCCUCCCACAACACUGCCAAGGUGUUAGGCAGAGACAGGUGGAGGCUCAGCGGGGCAAGGUGUUGCCCCGCCACCAUUGACAAGUGUGCCAACGCUGGAUGCGUAUGUAUCUUCUACAUCGUCGGUCACCACGUCAGAGCCGAUGACGACAGUACUAGAGGUGAAGCCACAACGCUCCCUACCGCCCUGCAGGUCCAACCAAACGAAGUCAAACGUCAUAGAGACGACGUUGGACUCCCGCUUAGGGCCUGAUGCAUCCCUGGAUAUGGCAUCAAUGUCGACCACCAAUCUGGGCGCAGCCACCAAGGACAAGGAGUCGACCACGAGUCCAGCGGCAACCCUUCGUUUAAGGUCGCGAUGCUGGCCUCUAGCUCAAGGAUACCAGCGCUGGUCACCAAGGAAGUGGAGCCAGCAGGCCAAAAGCCUCCAUCUAUGAAGGAUUCAGGGGUGGCUCAUGUGCUGGAGCCAACGUCGGCCCUUCUCCUACUGCGGUUGUUGUCCGAUCCGCCUCACCCACCGCUCCAAUCCAAGCCCCAGGUUCCAUUGAGCUAAACGAGGGGACUAGCAAAACGAGAGUGGUGUCAUCUUCACGACGGAGGGAACAAUGGGGAGCUGAGAGACGGUGGUGGUGCGACCGUCGAAGGCAAGCAGCAUGGAUGACCCGCCGUGGAGCGGGAAGUGGAGCCACACCUAGCUGACCUCCAGGCCAAGGUGAGAUCCUUGGAAGAGUCAACCAUUCGGCUAAGCGACAUGGUGAAGCCUGUCGUAGAGGUUAAUAUAUUGUUAUUUGAAUUGUUUUGGGUGUUCAAACUUAAUGUGGGUACUUUGUGUUAGACCUUUCAACCUGAGCAUUGAUAGUUAUGGAUGACAUUAGAAGAGUUGGGACAAUUUUCGUUGGUUUAUUUCUCACACAAUGCCAUGCCAACCUGAGGGAUUGGGGAUACAUAUUUAUAGGCUGCUAGCCAGCCAAGCAUAUGCUAAGAUGCUGCUAAGAUGCCAGUCUAAGAUGCUAGUCUAAGAUGCUAACUGACAGUCCUUGAUGGUCAAGAACAGAACUCUAUCCUAAUAGCCAGUCCUUGAUGGUCAGGAACUCUAUCCUAACUGCCACAAGGACCAUGUGCUGCAGCCCCACAAAGACCCUAGUACACAGACUUAUCCAUCAUUCUCCCCCUAAGUCUUGUACGUCGUCUUGUGGGAGAGUUGAAUCAUCCCGAUCCUGGAGCAAAGCUCGUGGAACUUGAUCCUCCCAAGAAGCUUGGUGAGCAGGUCUGCGAGCUGGUCCGUGGUGUUGAUGUAGCUCGCCUCGAUGCUCCCUUCUUCCAAGCAGCUGCGGAUGAAGUGAUACCUCAGUCGGAUGUGCUUGCUCCGUUCGUGAAAAACGGGGUUCUUUGCCAGAGCCAGGGCGGACUUGUUGUCCACCAGGAACUGCACCGUUCUGGUGUCUUGAACGAGAAGAUCACCAAGCAGCCGAGCGAGCCAGAGCGCCUGAGUGCAGGCGGUGGAGGCCGCUAUGUACUCAGCCUCACAGCUGGACAGGGCCACCACCUGCUGCUUGACUGAUUGCCAGCUCACGAGGCACUUGCCGAGGAAGAAGAGGAUCCCGCUCGUGCUCUUGCUGGUGUCGAUGUCGCCGGCGUGGUCGCUGUCGCUGUACCCGACGAAGUGUGCCGCCCCUGGACACCUAGGGUAGUGGAGGCCGUGGUCGAGGGUCCCUGCUACGUAGCGGACGAUCCUCUUCACUGCCUGCUGGUGUUCCGUCGUCGGUCGCUCCAUGAACCGACUGACAUAGCCGACGGAGAAGGCCAAGUCCGGCCGUGUGUGGGCGAGGUAGCGAAGGCUCCCCACAAGGCGUCGGUACUGCGUAGCGUCCACUUCCUCGGUCGUGCUGUCGCGGCUCAGUUUCAGCCUCUCUUCCAUCGGAGUGAGAGCUGGGUGGCAAUCGGUGAGCCCAGCUAGCUCAACGAUGCACUUGGCAUAGGCGGACUGUCGAAGCGCGAUCCCGGAAUGAUCCUGGUGCACCUCAAUCCCUAGAUAAAAGGAGAGGAGCCCCAGAUCACUCAUCUAGAAGGUGGCCUUCAUGUCUUCCUUGAACGCCGCCACCUCUGCAUCUUUGGUGCCGGUGAUCACCAAGUCGUCAACAUAGACGCCCACCAACAGGGCAUUUCCUCCACUGCCCCGUCGGUAGACGGCCGCCUCAUGCGGGCUUUGCUCGAAGCCCAUCUUCUUUAGCGUGGAGUCCAGCUUGGGGUUCCACGCCCUAGGCGCCUGCCGUAGGCCAUAGAGAGCCUUGCGCAGGCGGAGUACCUUGCCCUCCUGGCCGGGGAUCGCAAAUCCCGGUGGCUGAUGCACGUAGACUUCCUCCUUCAAGUCGCCAUUGAGGAAUGCCGACUUGACGUCCAUGUGGUGGACACGCCAGCCCUCCUGGGCAGCCAGCGCAAGGAGAAGUCGCACGGACUCCAUCCGUGCCAUGGGAGCGAAAGCGUCGUCGAAGUCGACUCCUUCCUGCUGCAAGAAGCCUCGGGCCACCAAGCGAGCCUUGUGCUUGAUGAUGGCGCCGGCUCCAUCCCUCUUCAGCUUGAACACCCACUUAAGGGUGAUUGCACGGUGACCUCGAGGGAGAUCAGCGAGCUCCCAGGUGCGGUUUUGCUCGACCGCAUCCAUCUCCAACUGCAUCGCGGCGCGCCAUGCCGCGUCUCUCUCGGCCUCUGCAAAGGACCGUGGUUCGCCGUCUUCACACGCGAGUUGUAGCUGCGCCUCCAGGUCACGUGGCACCAGUCCCGGCACCCGCUGGUCGCCGAGCAGAUUAUCCAUCGUACGAUACCGUAGCGGUUCGCCGUCAUGCCACGCGUCGAUACGCUCCUCGUCGUGAGUGAGCGGGGAAGCGAACUUCAUCGGGUUGUGCUCUGCGUGAGCUGGUGCUGAUGAAGACGAGCCCGGAGUGGUGACUGUCGGGGCUGGAGUAUGCGGCGUCGCCGGUUGUGGUGUCGUCGGUGUAGCAGGCGCCGGAGUCGAUGUAGUUUUGGGGGCCGGGGUAGACAUGCCCGGCGAAGAGGAGCUGCUUGCUCCCCCAGCUUCCUUGAAGUGGGCGUACUCGACAAUGAAGUCGUCAUAUGUCGGCGUCGAGCCGUCGUCCACCGCCUUGUCCCAUUGCCACCCUCGCCCUUCGUUGAACACGACGUCUUGCACUGUGCGCACACGUUGUGUCUUUGGGUCGAGGAUGCGGUAGGCCUUUGAGCCCUCCGCGUAGCCGAUGAAGACUCCCGGAGUGCUCCUGUCGUCGAGCUUCCCGAUGUGGCCGAGCUCCUUGGCGAACGCAAGGCAGCCAAAGACCCGCAAAUGAGAGACCGCCGGCUUCCGCCCAUGCCAGGCCUCGUACGGAGUCCUGCCGUCCAGUGCCUUAGUAGGUGAGCGGUUGAGGAUGUAGACGGCCGUUAGCACCGCCUCACCCCAGAAGACAGUCGGCAUCCCUCUCUGCUUGAGGAGAGCCCGAGCCAUCCCCACAACCGUUUGGUUGCGCCGCUCGACGAAGCCGUUUUGCUGCGGGCUGUACGGCGCGGAGUAGUGGCGCUGGAUGCCCUCAUCGGCGCAGUACGACGCAAAUUCAGCCGCCGUGAACUCGCCACCAUUGUCAGUGCGCAACAUGCGCAAUUUGCGGCCGCUCUCCGCCUCCACACCAACCUACGCGCGCCUGAUGGCGUCCGCCGCUUCUCCCUUACUGCCGGGGAUCAUCACCCACAUGUAGCGGGAGAGAUCGUCGACGAGCAGCAGGAAGUAGCAUCGACCUCCUGGUGUGGCUAGCGUCACCGGGCCGCACAGGUCUCCGUGCACGAGCUCCAGCUUCUCCUUGGCCCGAAAACUCGCCUGUUGGGGAAAGGGGAGUCGUCUCUGCUUCGUCAGCACGCAGAUGUCGCAGAACUGCUCCACAUGGUCGAGGCAUGGCAGGCCUCGCACCAUCUCCUUGGCACUUAGACGCUUCAGGGCCUCAAAGUGAAGGUGCCCAAAGCGCUCAUGCCACUGCCACGCCUCGUCGUCCCGUCGGACAGCGAGACAGACCGGUUGUGCCACCUGCACAUCAAGGACGUAGAGUCGAUUUUCACCUCUGGGCACCUUGGCGAGAAGGCGACGCCGGUGAUCCCAGAUGCGUAGGACCCCAUGCUCAAUCAGAACGCGUGAGCCGUUCUCAUCCAGCUGUCCCAAGCUGAUGAUGGAGUUCCUUAGCGCGGGGAUGUAGUAGACACCGGUGAGCAGCCGGUGCUCUCCCGUCUUGGUGGUGAAGAUGACGGAGCCGACGCCCUUUAUCUCCACAGCGGAGGCAUCCCCGAACUUGACGGAGCCUCGCGCAUCGGAGUCGAGCUCGGCGAAGAAUUCCCUUCGACCGGUCAUGUGGUGGGUGGCGCCGGUGUCGAGGCACCACCCCGUAGUCUUGUCCUUCGCGGAGCCAUCGCCGAGAAGAGCGUGUGCUUUUGGCUCAUCGAGGUGGAUGAAAGCCUUUGCAACUGGAGUCGCCGAGGGUAGCUCAAUGCUUUCAUGCGCCAUGAACAGAGCCGUCUCCUCCUCCUUCGCCUGUGCGACGUGAGCCUGGCCUUGUCGUGGUUGCCGACACUCAUUGGACCAAUGGCCAAACCGGCCACAGUUGUGGCAACUGUUGUCUUGUGCCGGCUUGGGCUUGCCAGCGGCGCCGUCCUUGGCGCCUCCGCGGGCGUCACCUUCGGCACGUCCUUGUGCCCUGCCCGUGGGGCCUCUUCGCGCCUUACGCUGCUUGCCACGCUUGCGGCCACCCGUCGAGGAGGAAGGCUCCCCCUUCUUCCUGUCACCAAGGCUGGGAUCCCACUGCUCCCGAGUUAGGAGCAGCUGUCGUGGAUCUAAAUCUGACAGUAGAGUGGGGGGUAGGUAUGGAGAGGCAAGGUCCUAGCUAUGGAGAGGUUGUAAACACAAGAGAUGUACGAGUUCAGGCCCUUCUUGGAGGAAGUAAAAGCCCUACGUCUCGGAGCCCGGAGGCGGUCGAGUGGAUUAUGUGUAUAUGGAUUACAGGGUGCCGAACCCCUCUGCCUGUGGAGGGGGGUGGCUUAUAUAGAGUGCGCCAGGACCCCAGCCAACCCACGUAAUGAAGGGUUUAAGGUACAUUAAGUCCGGGGCGUUACUGGUAACGCCCCACAUAAAGUGUCUUUACUAUCAUAAAGUCUACUUAAUUACAGACCGUUGCAGUGCAGAGUGCCUCUUGACCUUCUGGUGGUCGAAUGAGUCUUCGUGGUCGAGUCCUUCAAGUCAGUCGAGUGAGUCCCUCGUAGGUCGACUGGAAGGUGAUCUCUUCUAAGGGUGUCCUUGGGCAGGGUACUUAGAUCAGGUCUGUGACCCUACCCUAGGUACAUGACUCCAUCAUUAGCCCCCGAAUGGAUUGAGGCUUGAGUGAUGAAGGAGUUGAUGUUGUUUCCGAUUAGCCUUCGCAUACUGGUCGUGCGUUGUUUUGAACUAAAAAAUCUCUUUGUUGAUAGUGAGCAACUUUUCUUCAGUCGACUCGAUCCAUUCUUUUCCUUCGUCGAGUGAUCUUUUGGACUUCGCCGAUUUCCGAGCGACGGAUCGCAGGAAAUCCCGCGUCUGGCAGACCGAUCUGCCGUUCGCGGAUUCCGCGGGAUACGAAAUUUGGGGAAGCGCGCGAAGCGGGGCGGACCGCGGCGCUCAGAUGGGACAGGGCAUAGACGCCUCGAUCCCCGCGCCGUUUUUUUCGCCACGUAUCACGUCCGCGCAACUGUUUCAGGAUAUGAUUAGAUCGACCGGGCCCACCUGUCAUCCACUCGGAAGGGAUCUUAUAAACGCGCCCGGCGAGGGUUUUUUGAGCAGUGCCUCAGCAUUCUCUCUCUGCUCCCUUCGUCUCCGCCCAACGUGCUCGCUCUCGCCUCCGCACAACUUCUCCUCGCGCGUCUCGCCGGCAGCCAUGGUCAAGGAGAAGACGGCGGCGCUGGAACGUGCGAAGAAGGCGUCGGCGACGGAGAAGGCGAAGGGGAGAUCCACCAGUCGCGGCGGGUCUUCGUCUAGAUCUCGCCUGCCGAAAGGCUGGGUCCAGGGAGAUUGGAUCCAAUCGACCAUCACGGAGACGGAUCUCCUCGACAUGGCCAACGAGGGCCUGAUCCCUCAUGGAGCUGCAAGGCUUCCGGGGAAAGAGUGGCAGCCCUAGCCGGAAGAGGGUGAGUGCGUGCUUCUGGCUACCCAUGUCGACCGCGGAUUUUCUUUGCCGCCGAGUGUUUUCUUCCGUGGUUUCUUGAACUUCUUUGGAGCGCAACUCCACCACUUCACCCCGAAUUCUAUCGCCUAUCUUGCCGCGUUUGUGUCCAUGUGUGAGAGUUUUCUGGGUUGUCGACCGCAUUGGGGCUUGUUCAAGCACAUAUUCACGUGUCGCUCUCAGACCGUGAAGAAGGCGAGCCCAGGCGACGAAAAAACCCAAGUUGUCCAAAUGUGUGGGGGUCUGGGGAUCCAGGUGAGGAACAAGAGCACCUUCCCAGCCAUGACAUUUCCCGAGUCAGUCAGAGGCUGGCAGUCGACCUGGUUCUACUGCCAGGAUCAGCCGACGCCGGGGGAGUCGAGUGGACUCCCUCAGUUCACCAUGGGCCAAGUGAACAAGCCCUCCUCUCUGAAGGUGAUUCCGGAGGAGAAAGCUAACGUGAAGAUGCUGAUGGAGCGUGUAGUUCAGUUGGUUCGGGAGGGAGUGACGGGUAUGGAUCUCCUGGAGGUUUUUCUUAGGCGUCGUAUCCAGCCUCUUCAGUUCCGGAGCCAUUGCAUGUGGUUGUACCGCGGGACUGAGGAUGAGACUCGGGUCAAUCCAGAAGCAGUCGACGAUGCCACUCUGGAAAGGUGGAUGGCCGCUGUUACUGGGAACAAGGAUAACCCUCGUGGAGCCAGAAGGAUUCCUCCACUCGACCACCACAGUGAUCCAAACAAGGUAUGUCUGCUCCACCUCCCAUUGUAUUCUUGUCACAUUUAUUUCUGUUUUCUCUGCCGAUCGGUCGACUGAUCUUUGUCUUGAUGUCUAUCAGGUCCUCACUGAACUGUACUCGAUGCCCAAUGGAGCACGGGCUCUAACUGAGGAGGGAGAAGCGAGCGGGGGCGAGAGCCAGGAGGAGGAGUGGGACUUGGACGCCGCUGAGGAUGAUGAUGAUGAUGAUGACGAUGAUGAUGAUGAUGACGAGGACGAAGAAGAGGAGGAGGAGGUCGCACCACCGCGCUCGGAAAGGCGGUCGAAGCUUGUCCAUGACCCUGCGACUGAACGUGGCAAGGGGAUUGCGACUGUUACACAGUCGACCAAGCGCCCUCGGACCACCUCUCCGGCGCCGACUGAAAAGGCGUCGAAGCAGCCCAGGGCGGCCCCGUCAAAGCCGACCAAGCUCCUGCCGAAGAUGAAGGUGUCCAUCCCCACCAUAUCAGGGUAAUCAUGCUGCUUAAGUCUUCUUGUUUUGUGCGAACUUUAUCUCUGGUUGGCGCUGGAGUUAGUCGACUGAUUCUUUGGAGUUGUAGUGCUGCUACUGCUGAGACCUCAGCCCGGGCUGACGACCAUGAGAUGGAGGACGCAGCAACCUCAAAACCUGGUACUAUACUCUUAACACCGUUUCUAGUCGACUGACUCAUGAUCUCUAAUUCUGAUUCUUUUCUGUAGCUCCAUCCAAUGUUGUUAUCACUCUCCCUGAUGAUGAUGAAGAUGAGGAACCGCUGAAGCACAGAAGGAGUAGGAAAGCGUCUGCCGGCAGGGUGCCCCAGGAUGUGACGAUGCCUGAGACUCUGGUCGCGGAGGAGGAGAACACCACUCGACACACUGUGUCCUUCGCAGAUCCACUGACGAGUGCUCUGUAGCCCUCCCUCUUCACGACGCACCACGUCCCAGAGGACCAAGCUGGCACCGCGAAGGAGGCGAUACGCCAGGCAGGGAUCAUGAUGGAGCAGUUGAAGACCAUCCGGGAUGCGAGCCAGGCAGCUUACGACGCCAGUUCCGCCCUUCAAAGCAAUGUACAGGUCAGUCGACCACCGCUUGUUCUGUUAGGAUAUGCUAUCAAAAACUUUUCUUUCCAGAAUUUAUAGUAAUCACCCAGUGGGUGUGUCGAUUUAAACUCCGUGUUAGCGGGGGCACGCUGAGUGCACCCGCUGGGUGUAGUCCCCAAGGCUAAGGUCGACUGCUGGCAGUCGGCCUUAGGCUUUAUAAGUUCAGUCUUUCCGUCAUUCGACUAUGGCGAAUGGAUUUCGCAAACCGGUGGGGGCACGCUGAGUGCACCCACUGGGUGUAGUCCCCAAGGCUAAGGUCGACUGCUGGCAGUCGGCCUUAGGCUUUAUAAGUUCAGUCUUUCCGUCAUUCGACUAUGGCGACUGGAUUUCGCAAACCGGUGGGGGCACGCUGAGUGCACCCACUGGGUGUAGUCCCCGAGACUGUGGUCGACUGCUUGCAGUCGAUUACAGUCUUAAAGAAUACAUCUUGUUUUUUUUUUGAGGUCGACUGGUCGACUCUGUCUUCAAUAGGAUUAGUGGGGGCACGCUGAGUGCACCCACUGGGUGUAGUCCCCGAGACUACGGUCGAAUGCUUGUAUUCGGCUGUAGUCUUAGAAACGCAUGAUUUUUCCUUUUCCACUCGGAAGUGAAUUAUCUUUGACAUUUAGUCGAUUGAUUCUUCGCAGAGAUCCUGUGACCUUGCGGCUCGCUACACUGAGCUGGAAAACAAGCACAUUCAGCUCGAGCUGGAUUUGAAGCUGGUUCAGGAGAAUCUGACGAAGGCAAAGGAGGAGACCAAAGGUAUGUUUGGUGAGACCUCGACGACUGCUUUUUCCCUUUAUUUGUUUCAAAAUCUGAUCUUGCUGUAACUUGCAGGUAAGGUGAAGGAGGCCCAACAGAAAAAAGACCUUGAACUAGCUGAGAAGAUCAAGCUUGCUGACGAGAAGUUAGCUUCAGUCACCAAGCUUGAACAAGAAAAUACCAAUCUGAAAGCUGCUCUUGAGAAGAAAAAUGAUCUGGAGGCCUUCCUGAGUGGUCUUGCCAAGAAGAUGUUCCUUAUGCUUGAAGGUAAACCUUUACGCUCAACAAUCAUUUUCAACUUGAUUUUUCCAUUCGACCAUUGCCUUGACUCGGUGAUCGCCCUUGCAGAAUUUUGUCAAGACUUUGAAGAAGAGACUAGCCGGCUGGAACCAAACCUUGACCCCGUUAAUUCUCCGGUGAACGACGAAGUUGCCAUGAAUGUUUUCCGACUGGAGUCCCGUGUUGCAGCUGUCGUGGACUAUCUUGCAAGGCUGAAGGUCGCCACAUCUCGCAUCGACUCAACGCUCUGGCCCAGGGAGACACUCCAGAAUGACCUCGAGUCGCUGAUGGCUCGCUUGAACACGGUCCCUGGUCGAGUGUAGGAGUGGAAAAAGUCCUCGGCUCGGUGCGGUGCAGAUGUUGCUCUGUGUCUGGCCCGAGUCCACUGCAAAGAUGCGCGAGAAGACAAGCUGGCGGCCCUCCGGGUGGCCAACACCAAGAAACACGACUUCAGGUCCUUUAUGGAAACUUUCAUUGCUGCUGCCACUCGGAUCGCAGAUGGAAUUGAUCUUGAUGAGUUUGUUGCACCUUCCAGCCCUCCACAGGAGGGGUAAAAAACUUCUUUUAAACCCGACGCUUUAAAUUUGCCUCGGUAUGCCGAGUGGAGUUGUAACCAAUAAACCUUAACAGGCUUAGCGCCUGAGCACUUUCGGUUCCUUUAGGUAUCGUUCCGAACUUGAAUUUGAUGUUUGAAUAUGAUUGCUUUUGGGUUGAAAUGUCUUUUGCAGGUUCAAAGCAAGACGCUCACUGCAGUCGACUUAUUCCUUAAUCCACUUAGGUGAGCGCUGGGCUGCAGCUAAGCCCCCGAGUGAGAGGUUUGCUCUUCACUCGGUAGGAUUUUUAUAUCUUAGGCGAGCACUGAGCUGCAGCUAAGCCCCCGAGUGAGAGGUUUGCUCUUCACUCGGUAGGAUUUUUAUAUCUUAGGCGAGCACUGGGCUGCACUAAGCCCCCGAGUGAGAGGUUUGCUCUUCACUCGGUAGGAUUUUUAUAUCUUAGGCGAGCACUGGGCUGCAGCUAAGCCCCCGAGUGAGAGGUUUGCUCUUCACUCGGUAGGAUUUUUAUAUCUUAGGCGAGCACUGAGCUGCAGCUAAGCCCCCGAGUGAGAGGUUUGCUCUUCACUCGGUAGGAUUUUUAUAUCUUAGGCGAGCACUGGGCUGCAGCUAAGCCCCCGAGUGGGAGGUUUGCUCUUCACUCGGUAGGAUUUUUAUAUCUUAGGCGAGCACUGGGCUGCAGCUAAGCCUCCGAGUGGCAGCACUGAGAAACCUUCUAAAAAUGAUCANNNNNNNNNNNNNNNNNNNNNNNNNNNNNNNNNNNNNNNNNNNNNNNNNNNNNNNNNNNNNNNNNNNNNNNNNNNNNNNNNNNNNNNNNNNNNNNNNNNNNNNNNNNNNNNNNNNNNNNNNNNNNNNNNNNNNNNNNNNNNNNNNNNNNNNNNNNNNNNNNNNNNNNNNNNNNNNNNNNNNNNNNNNNNNNNNNNNNNNNNNNNNNNNNNNNNNNNNNNNNNNNNNNNNNNNNNNNNNNNNNNNNNNNNNNNNNNNNNNNNNNNNNNNNNNNNNNNNNNNNNNNNNNNNNNNNNNNNNNNNNNNNNNNNNNNNNNNNNNNNNNNNNNNNNNNNNNNNNNNNNNNNNNNNNNNNNNNNNNNNNNNNNNNNNNNNNNNNNNNNNNNNNNNNNNNNNNNNNNNNNNNNNNNNNNNNNNNNNNNNNNNNNNNNNNNNNNNNNNNNNNNNNNNNNNNNNNNNNNNNNNNNNNNNNNNNNNNNNNNNNNNNNNNNNNNNNNNNNNNNNNNNNNNNNNNNNNNNNNNNNNNNNNNNNNNNNNNNNNNNNNNNNNNUAGGCGAGCACUGGGCUGCAGCUAAGCCCCCGAGUGAGAGGUUUGCUCUUCACUCGGUAGGAUUUUUAUAUCUUAGGCGAGCACUGAGCUGCAGCUAAGCCCCCGAGUGAGAGGUUUGAUCUUCACUCGGUAGGAUUUUAUUUAAUCUUAGGCGAAACGGAUUCGCAGCUAAGCCUCCUAGUGGAAGUCUGGCUUACCAGUCGGUAGGAUUUUUAUAACUUAGGCGAGUACUUGGACUGCAGCUAAGCCCCCGAGUGGAAGUCUGGCUUACCACUCGGUAGGAUUUUAUUUAAUCUUAGGCGAAACGGAUUCGCAGCUAAGCCUCCGAGUGGGAGUCUGGCUCACCACUCGGUAAGGAUUUUUACAAACUUAGGCGAAACGGAUUCGCGGCUAAGUCACCCACUUAGGGGAAAAUUUUAUUGGACAAAAUAAAAAGUGACAAAAAUUAUGGAGGAACUAUGACACUAUUAUUUUGAAAUCCAUGAACUAUAGGAGUACUUUAUUGAAACUCAUCCGAGUGAUAAACUUAAGUGUAAAAUGGGCGGAGUAGUUCCGCAUUCCAAGCUCGGGGCUCGUCGAUAUUAUGUUCGACGUUGUAAAGACGGUACGCCCCGUUGUGGAGAACUUUGGUGACGAUGAAGGGUCCUUCCCAAGAAGGAGCAAGCUUGUGAUGUUUCUUCUGAUCCACUCGGAGAACUAAAUCUCCUUCCUGGAAGGCUCGACCCCUCACAUUUCUGGCGUGGAAACGACGCAAAUCUUGUUGGUAGAUGGUCGAUCGGACCAGAGCCAUCUCCCUUUCUUCCUCUAAAAGGUCGACUGCGUCCUGCCGCGCUUGUUCAACUUCUGCUUCGUUGUAGAUCUCAACUCGAGGAGCAUUGUGGAGAAGAUCACUCGGCAAGACUGCUUCAGCUCCGUAGACCAAGAAGAAUGGAGUUCUUCCGGUCGAUCGAUUAGGUGUGGUCCGCAGUCCCCAAAGCACCGAUGGAAGUUCGUCGACCCACGCUCCAGCUGCAUGCUUGAGAUCACGCAUUAGUCGGGGUUUCAAUCCCUUGAGAAUCAGGCCAUUGGCUCGCUCUGCUUGUCCAUUCGUCUGCGGAUGGGCGACUGAAGCGUAGUCGACUCGUGUGCCUUGAGAGUUGCAGAAAUCCUUGAAUUCCUCCGAGUCAAAGUUUGACCCAUUAUCCGUAAUGAUGCUGUGCGGGACUCCAUAUCUGAAUAUCAGUUCCUUGAUGAAGCUAACAACAGUACCGGCGUCAAGGUUCUUGAUUGGUUUAGCCUCAAUCCACUUGGUGAACUUGUCGACUGCCAUGAGUACAUGCGUGAAGCCACUUCGACCUGUUCUCAAAGGACCGACCAUGUCCAACCCCCAUACUGCGAAAGGCCAGACGAGUGGAAUGGUCUUCAGAGCUGAUGCAGGCUUGUGCGACAUAUUUGAGUAGAACUGACAUCCCUCGCACUUAUCCACUAUUUCCUUUGCCAUCUCAUUCGCCUUUGGCCAGUAAAAUCCGGCUCGGUAUGCUUUGGCCACGAUGGUCCGAGAGGACGCAUGAUGACCACAGGUCCCCGAGUGGAUAUCAUUAAGGAUGAUUCGACCUUCUUCUAGUGUUAUGCACUUCUGACCAACUCCAGUCGCGCUUUCUCUAUAUAACUGUCCUUUGAUUACGGUAAAGGCUUUAGAUCGACGGACGAUCUGUCGAGCCUCUUCCUCAUCCUCCGGAAGCUCUUUUCUCGGGAUAUACGCGAUAUACGGAACUGUCCAGUCGGGAAUGACCACCACGACCUCCAUGACCAAGUCGACCACUGCUGGGACUUCAACCUCAGUCGGAUCUGUGGCACUCUUGGGCUGUGGAGCUUCUUCGGUGAAAGGAUCUUCUUUGACUGACGGAGUGUGUAUAUGCUCCAGGAACACACCACUCGGAAUGGCUCCUCUCUUGGAACCUAUCUUUGCUAGAUCAUCAACUGCUUGAUUUUUCAGUCGGGGUAUAUGAUGGAGCUCCAACCCCUCGAACUUCUUUUCCAGCUUCCUCACUGCACUGCAAUAUCCAGUCAUGGCUGGGCUUCUCACGUCCCACUCCUUCAUCACUUGGUUGACCACUAAAUCUGAAUCGCCAUAGACCAUCAGGCGACGGACGCCGAGUGAAAUGGCCAUGCGCAAUCCGUAUAAGAGGGCCUCAUACUCUGCCUCAUUGUUGGAGGAAUCAAAGUGAAUCUGGAGCACAUAUCUGAGCUUAUCUCCUCUGGGGGAAACCAGGACAACCCCAGCACCGGAACCAUUCAACAUCUUAGAGCCAUCAAAAAACUUGGUCCAAUGCUCCGAGUGAACUUCAGUCGGCUGCUGCUGUUCAAUCCACUCGGCGAGGAAAUCUGCUAUUGCCUGGGACUUAAUGGCUUUCUUUGCCUCAAACUUGACAUCAAGGGGAAGAAGUUCAAUCGCCCAUUUCGCCACUCGACCAGUUGCAUCUCUGUUGUGCAAAAUCUCUGAUAGUGGAGCGUCGCUGACGACUGUGAUGGAAUGAUCAGAGAAAUAAUGAGCAACCUUCUUUGUGGUCAUGUAUAUUCCAUACACAAGCUUCUGAUAAUGAGGAUAUCUCUGCUUGGAUGGAGUCAAGACUUCAGACAAAUAAUACACUGGGCGCUGAACUUUGAAAGCUUUUCCUUCUUCUCCCCGCUCGACCGUAAGCACUGUACUGACGACUUGUCCUGUGGCUGCGAUAUAAAGCAACAGAGGCUCUUUGCUGAUUGGAGCAGCAAGCACCAGCUGGGUGGAGAGCAGAGCUUUUAGCUCGGCAAACGCUGCAUCAGCUUCUGGAGUCCACUCGAACUUGUCUGCCUUCUUCAUUAGUCGGUAAAGAGGCAAUGCCUUUUCACCGAGUCGUGAGAUGAAUCGACUUAAUGCGGCCAAGCAUCCAGUAAGCUUCUGGACAUCGUGCACUCGCACAGGGCAUUUCAUUCGGAGAAUAGUGCCGAUCUUUUCUGGAUUAGCGUCGAUCCCUCGCUCGGAAACGAGAAAACCGAGUAACUUGCCACCAGGAACUCCAAAUAUGCACUUUGAUGGAUUGAGCUUGAUAUCAUACCUUCUGAGGUUGGCAAAUGUUUCGGCGAGGUCAGCGAGCAGGUCGGAACCUUUUCAUGACUUGACGACGAUAUCAUCCAUAUACGCUUCCACAUUCCGACUGAUUUGAGUGAGUAGACACUUCUGAAUCAUUCGCAUAAAUGUGGCUCCGGCAUUCUUGAGGCCGAAUGGCAUGGUGAUAUAGCAGAAGCACCCGAAUGGAGUGAUGAAAGCUGUUUUUACCUCGUCGGGUCCGUACAGACGGAUCUGGUGGUACCCGGAGUAGGCGUCUAGAAAAGACAAUCUCUCGCAUCCCGCGGUCGAGUCAACAAUUUGAUCUAUGCGAGGGAGAGGAAAAUGAUCUUUCGGGCAGGCCCGGUUGAUGUGCUUGAAAUCAAUGCACAUUCGAAGCGAUUUGUCCUUCUUAGGAACCAUGACGACAUUAGCGAGCCAUUCGGAGUGGUAUAUCUCUCGGAUAAAUCCUGCCGCCAACAGUCGAGCCACUUCCUCACCAAUGGCUUUUCUCUUCUGGACGGCGGACCGCCGAAGAUGCUCUUUGACUGGUUUUGCUGAUGAGUCGACUCUUAGGCGAUGCUUAGCCAGUCCCCUGGGAACACCUGGCAUGUCAGCGGGCUUCCAUGCAAAAAUGUCCCAGUUCUCACGGAGGAACUGGAUGAGCGCUUCUUCCUAUUUCGGGUGGAGUGUUGUGGAGAUGUGGGUCGGGGCUGCAUCGGGGUCGGUCGGGUGAAUGUGAACAGGCUUCGUCUCACCGGACGACUGAAAUGCAGAUUCUGUGGCGGGUUUCUUGGAUCGCAGCAAAUCACUCGGAUCUAUGUUUUGCUUGUAUUCUUCAAACUCGACCGCUGUCACCUGGGAAUCAGCAAUCUUUGAGCCCUUCUGAAAGCACUCUUCUGCCUUUUUCCGAUCACCGGUGAUAGUGAUCACUCCUUUGGGGCCGGGCAUCUUCAAUUUGAGGUACACGUAACAUGGUCGAGCCAUGAACCGUGCAUAAGCUGGUCUCCCCAAAAUGGCAUGAUAUGCACUCUGAAAAUCCACGACCUCAAACGUCAACUUCUCUUUGCGAAAAUGUUUCGAAUCACCAAACACCACGUCCAGAGCUAUUUGGCCGAGUGACUCGGCUUUCUUCCCUGGUAUAACUCCAUGAAAGCUCAUGUUACUGGUGCUCAGUCGGGACAUCGGAAUGCCCAUUCCUUUCAGUGUGUCUGCAUACAACAAAUUCAGCCCGCUACCACCGUCCAUCAGCACUUUUGUCAGUCGAGUGCCUUCGACAACUGGAUCGACCACCAAAGCUUGCCUCCCAGGGGUGGCAAUAUGAGUCGGGUGAUCAAAUUGGUCGAAUGUGAUGGGUGUUUGGGACCAUCUUAGGUAAUUUGCUUUUGCUGGGGUAACCAUGUUCACCUCGCGGUUAAUGACUUUCAAUCGACUCUUGCUUUCCACAUCUGCAAAGAUCAUCAAAGUGGAGUUGACAUGCGGAUAUCCUUCCUCACUGUCCUCCUUGUCUUCGGCCUUGUCCGACUCCUUUUCCCUGUCUUUAGACUGUUUUCCUUGAAACUGCUGGAUCAGGAGUCGACAUUGGCGAGUGGUAUGCUUUGGGUAAAUGAUAUUCCCCUCUUCGUCUUUCUUCGUGUGGAUGUGACACGGCAUAUCCAUCACGUCGUUCCCUUCUUAGGGUUCCAGGAUUCUUUUGGUUUCCCUUUAAACUUUCCAUGAGUCACGGCCAGAGCCUCUCCAGGAGCUGCCGGUUCAGCCUUCCGCUUCUGUUUCCGACUGGUGUUUCCCUUCUCCGACUGGCUCGGCUUGUGCUUGCCGCUUCGGAGUCGGUCUUCUUCUUCGCCGUUGGCGUACUUGGUAGCAAUUUCCAUCAUCCGACUCAAGGUCAUGUCUCCGGUUCGACCAAAUUUCAAACUCAAUUCUCUGUUCUUGACACCAUCCUUGAAGGCGCAGACUGCCUGAUGAUCAGACACAUUCUCCAUAGUAUGGUGCAAAGUGAUCCAUCUCUGAAUAUACUCCCUGAGAGUCUCAUUGGUCUUCUGUACGCAGACUUGCAGCUCCGUCAAUCCAGCCGGUCGCUUGUAAGUUCCUUCAAACGUUCUGACGAACACUCGGGACAGAUCUUCCCAAGUGUAAAUGUUGCUAGGAGGUAACUGAUUCAACCACGCUCUGGCAGAACCUUCCAACAUGAGGGGCAAAUGCUUCAUGGCCACCUCGUCAUUCCCACCACCAAUCUGAACCGCCACUCGGUAGUCCUCAAGCCAAGUUUCAGGCUUAGACUCACCGGUGAACUUGUUGACUCCUGUUGCCAACCUGAAAUUGGGAGGAAUCACUGCGGCUCUGAUAGCUCUGCUGAAACAUUCCGGACCAGAAACGUGCACUCGACUGCUCGUGGGCGCAUCUCUGUCGAGUCCACCUCGAUGAGCUCUGUUCCGGUCGACCAAGCCUUGCACGAUAAUGGAUCGCGCGUCGAAGCCUGGUUCUCUGGGGUCGACUGGAACUCUUCGCCCCGCACUGAGCUGACGUCUGUCAUCUUGCUGCCGAGAAGCGUAAGACCCACCCCUCGGAGGGGAAGUGGGCACUCGACGCCUAUCAUCUCGGUCGUGUCGGUCUCCAUAUUGGUCUCGCCGAUUCUCGCGCCCUUCACGCCGUGGAGGCGAUCUGGGACUGUGAGCCGACUGAACCGUAUUCGCAGCGACGGAUCGACUGUGAAUUCUGUUGCGCGACUGCGACACGGCUGAAUUCUGAUCUCCUGCUGCCCGGAGCAGAUCCCUGAUCUGCAUCAAGCCUCUGCCAGCUUCCGACUGAGAGGGCUGGAUGGACUCUGCUAUACGGGUCACAGCUGCUAAAUUCUGGAUUGGGGUUCGAUAUACCUGAGUCGGCGGGAAGAGUUGACGUCGAUUGGCGUCGGGAACUCGUUGCCGCGCGCGCUCGUCGAGUGCUCGCUGAAGAUUCUCUAGGCGAGCGCGUUCGGCCAAAUUCGCCAAACGUGCCUCCUCCAAGGCGCGAGCCUCGGGGGUUUCUCCUGCGAUGGGAGUAUGCAGGGCAUCCAUGUUCCUGCGGCGGAGUUCCUCUCUUUGUAGAGAGUCGAGUGGCUCGGGUUGGUACUCUUCGUGAUCUCGUGCGGGGUCGCCUCCGUCGCCUGCCCCACCAUCAGGAUUUCCGCCACUGGAUCACUGCUAUCGCAUUCGGAUGCAGUCUCUACGGAGCCAGUCGACAAAUCGAACAGGCCGUAGAGAGAUUCGUCGGGCUCGAUUGCCGCAACUUGGGUGGUGGUCGUCUGGCGAGCCACCGCGUGUCUCACCCACCGCUGAAGCCUCGACCGACCCGAGCGCUUGCGCUGGCGGGAGACUGGGAGGGUGGUCGAUAGGGGAGUCGACCGAUAUGGGGUCGACGGUUGCCGCAGCAGAACGCCGCGGACACAUGCGCGAAAAUGCGUCGCACCGCGGACGGGGAGCGCAUCGACGUCGAGUGGAGCCUCCUGAAGCCAGGCGGAGUCGUCGGCGACGAAGGUGAGAGCACCGAGACGAAUCUCUCGACCCUCGACCAAAACUCCAGCAGCUACCAUGAUGAAAGUACUCGGAAGAAUCGCAACUUCUCCACAAAAUCGCUAAAACACCGGCCCCACGGUGGGCGCCAACUGUCGUGGAUCUAAAUCUGACAGUAGAGUGGGGGGUAGGUAUGGAGAGGCAAGGUCCUAGCUAUGGGGAGGUUGUAAACAAAAGAGAUGUACAAGUUCAGGCCCUUCUCGGAGGAAGUAAAAGCCCUACGUCUCGGAGUCCGGAGGCGGUCGAGUGGAUUAUGUGUAUAUGGAUUACAGGGUGCCGAACCCCUCUGCCUGUGGAGGGGGUGGCUUAUAUAGAGUGCGCCAGGACCCCAGCCAACCCACGUAAUGAAGGGUUUAAGGUACAUUAAGUCCGGGGCGUUACUGGUAACGCCCCACAUAAAGUGUCUUUACUAUCAUAAAGUCUACUUAAUUACAGACCGUUGCAGUGCAGAGUGCCUCUUGACCUUCUGGUGGCCGAAUGAGUCUUCGUGGUCGAGUCCUUCAAGUCAGUCGAGUGAGUCCCUCGUAGGUCGACUGGAAGGUGAUCUCUUCUAAGGGUGUCCUUGGGCAGGGUACUUAGAUCAGGUCUGUGACCCUACCCUAGGUACAUGACUCCAUCAGCAGCUUCCCGCCGGUGGUGAUGGGCCCCGAGGGGGGCUGUGGCUCGUCGGUGUCGACGACCUUGAGACGGCCUAUCGCCUCCUCGAUCGUCAUCGUGGAGAGGUCCAGCAACGACUCGAUCGAGCGAGCCAUCUGCUUGUACUUCUCGAGAAUGCACCGAAAAAGCUUCUCAACAGCUCUCUCCUCGGUGUAGGUGGCAUCGCCAAACUUCACCAUCUUCUGCAGCAGAGUGUUGAGACGGAGAGCAAAGUCAUCAACGUCCUCACCUGGCUUGAAGCCCAGGUUCUCCCACUCCUUACGAAGUGCCUGCAGGGUGGACUUGCGAGCAUGGUCGCUGCUGAUGCGUGCUACGGCGAUGGCGUCCCAAGCCUCCUUGGCAGUCCGCUUGUUGGAAAGCGAGAACUGCAUCUCGGGCGGGACUGCGGCGAUGAGGGCGUCUAGCGCCCGUCGAUCCUCUAGGUGGUCGAUGUUGCUGUCCUGGACUGCCUCCCACAUGCGCCGCACCUGGAGCCUGACCUUCAUGAUCCUGGCCCACUCGACGUAGUUGGUUUUAGUGAGGAUAGGCCACCCAACACUGGAACCAACAUCCCUGACCAUAGUCCGGACCUCGUAGAGGCCGCGGUCCUGGUCGUUGCAGCCGCCGUCGCGGUGCGCGCCUCCACCUGGAGCGCAGGCGUGCUCGGCUGCCCACUGCGCCGUCCGCUCCUGCGCCACUUUGGCGCGAUCUGCGUCGACGCCGUCGUCCGCAGGCGCGGAGCUGCUGGAGCUGCCGGGGCUGCCGCGGAGUGCCUUGGCAUCCGCCGUAGCCUCACGGGCUGCUUUUGCUGCUGCUACUGCUUCUACCUCCGCCCUGGCUGCUUCUACCUCCGCUCUGGCUGCUGCCAGCUCCGCUGCAGCCAGCCUCGACACCCUUGCCGCUGCAGCAGCUGCUGCUACAGCCGCUCGCUCACGCUCCUCUGCCACGGCGCACUCGGCCUCCUGCCGGCGCCGCAUGCUCGAGGUAGCCGUGUGCUGAGAGCGACCUGCAGACAUGGCUCGCUGCAGGGGGGCUGUUGCGUGAAGAGGAGGCUGAUGAAGACGAGCUGCUGCUCGACAGUCCGGGGGGAGGAAGGUAACCAGAGGCAGACGAAGCAGCUGCUGCUACCGACUUGGGCUGCUCACAGGAAAUGCUCAGGGUACAGGUUAGCGAGGCUCUGAUACCACUUGUUAGACCUUUCAACCUGAGCAUUGAUAGUUGUGGAUGACACUAGGAGAGUUGGGACAAUUUUCGUUGGUUUAUUUCUCACACAAUGCCAUGCCAACCUGAGGGGUUGGGGAUACAUAUUUAUAGGUUGCUAGCCAACCAAGCAUAUGCUAAGAUGCUGCUAAGAUGCCAGUCUAAGAUGCUAGUCUAAGAUGCUAGUCUAAGAUGCUAACUGACAGUCCUUGAUAGUCAAGAACAAAACUCUAUCCUAACAGCCAGUCCUUGAUGGUCAGAAACUCUAUCCUAACUGCCACAAGGACCAUGUGCUGCAGCCCCACAAAGACCCUAGUACACAGACUUAUCCAUCACUUUGGGCAGUGCACCAAUAAGGAGUAGCCCCUCCAAUGAUGUUCUUUCUUGCGAUAUGUUGCUUAGCCGACUCCUUUGGAAUGGAACGGGUCCAACCCAUCCUCGCCCUCAUUCUCGCGUUUGGUUGGGAGAACUGGAAUGCCUUGAUUCUUGGGAAGGGAAUAUUCUCCUGAUAUGCCGAACCAACAUGUUCCUCCAAAUCGGAGGAACCACGUGGAACCGCUCACAUCUCUCAUCUCCCUCACAGCUGCCAGUGCCCCCUCUCUUCCUAACGUCUCUCUUUCCCUAUCCUCGGCGUUUCUCUCCCUCUUCCUCUCCAUUAGCUCGUCUCUCUCUCCAAGGCGACUGGUUUAGCUACCAUCGACGGGGGCGUUGGGCUAGCUACCGGCAGCGAACUAGCUACGGAGAGGAUGUGCAGCACUAGGCUAGACGCGCUAGGGCCGGAGAACUCUUCGAUGGCGGAUGGGAUCAAUCCUAGGGGUUGUGGCGGCAUCAGAUCCAUCAUCAUGCCUAUAUAUAUGCUAGAGGGAACAUCAUCAUGUCUAUAUAGCAUCAGAUCCAUCCCAUUCUAUCUCCUCAACCAAACACCAAUAUGAAACCAUUCCAUUCAAUCCCAUGCCUCUACCAAACAUGGGAACGGAAUCGUUGGAACCAUGACAUUCCAUUCCACCUGGUUCGUCAACCAAACACACCCUUGGUGUCUGCAGCCGCCGUGAAUGAGAUCGCUCGCCUUCGGAAGUAGCUCACCGGCUCCAUCACCAUGGAGGUAGCGAAAGAGAGGAUGUAGGCAGAGCAGAAGGAGUUUGAGGACCAAUUCGACUCGCCAGCGAAGCCACUCAGGAAGCGGAGGCGCUCAAGAAGGUUGUUGAGACGCUGACAAAGAGCACUGAAUCCCAAAAGCCAACCAUCCAGGAGCUCCGGGGAACACCCGACUCCAUAAAGGUCUCCAUGACGACAUGAAGGUCAAGUUGGAUGGCCUCCACAACCAUUGCAUGACCUAAAGGAGCAGAAGUCAUACAAGGGAAUGGCUAAGAGAUUGCGGCAGGCCGUCCAGAGGACCCAGGAGAGAAAGCCCACGCUACAGGCCAAGAUCUAGGUGACCCAGCAGGCGAUGGAGGGUAUGUGUGCGACUCUUGUCGAAUCCUUCUAGUCUUUUCGCUUUGUCUGAUUUCUUUACAUAUACUCCCUCCGUUCCUAAAUAUUUGUCUUUCUAGAGAUUUCAACAAGUGACUACAUACGAAGCAAAGUGAGUGAAUCUACACUCUAAAAUAUGUCUACAUACAUCCAUAUGUUGUAACCAUUUCAAAUGUCUAGAAAGACAAAUAUUUGGGAACAGAGGGAGUAGAUUGACUGUAGAUGCAUUCCUAGGCCUGGCGAACAGGGUAAGGCAAGCCGUGCUCCACUUUCAGAAGUUCAACAACCCGAUGCUUGAAGCACCCAAUGCCUUCUUGUCGAUGUCGUCAAACAAGGGUGAGAUUGUGGCCCUUCCAGGUCACAUGCGCCAAGGUGUCGAGUUGCUGAAGAUGGCGAAGGGGUCGAUGCAGGAGGUGUGCGCCACCUCCGGCCGAACGAGCAACCAACCACCAGCAUCUUUGCCCUCUCAAACAAGCUGAAGCAGGCACCUUUCGAGUUCCCCGAUGGCAACAAUCUGUUGCCUACAAGGGGCCUUGGAUGGUUCUAGCAUUACUGGUGUUGCACCAUCCGGACGCCAACGUGCAGGUUGUCGUCUAGUCGACGCUGGCCGAUGAUGAGGGUGUGGUUGUGAAGGUACAAACGCUUUUUCCCAUCAUCCAGGCAUAUGCCUUCCAUGUUGUCAAGUACUGCCCUUGGGAGCACAUGUAGAGUAGAUUAAAGUGUAGCACGGAAGGCCAAAAUGCCGAGUAGAAAUUGUAAAAACUAUUGUUAAGUUAACACUUGAGUUUGCUAUCUUCUCCAUUUUGUUUUUGUGCUGAAAUCCUUUGAUGUGCAAGCUAUCAUUCAACUUUUGCUCUUGCCAAUCAGACAACCGAGUUGCGAUUGUAGUUGGAGACUUGGAUAACGUUCUAUUCAACAAGAAGUAAAAAAGGAUGGUGCCUCCACCUCCCUAACACCCCACCCCUAGCCUCUCCGGUGAUCUCCACCCCUAGCCACUACUUUCCAUACCCUCUCCGGUCAUCUUCUUCGGUGUUCUCUAGGCUUCUUGUGGACUACCAUCUUGGAUUGCUUCUCAUAUGGUAUAUACCUUGGAUCUGGAUUGUUAUCCUGGUGCGGCCUUUGCAGAAAAGGUGUACGACUGCUAUGGAUCUAUGAUCCAACCCUCAGAUGAGUCUGGGCAUUUAACCAUGGUGGUUUCAUUCAGCCGACACUCUUUUCGUCUUAAUGAAGGUGGCGGCUACUUGGAAGCAGCUAUUGGUGGUUAUGUGAUUGAUCUACUGGUCUCAUGCAUUAAGGAAAGGGUCUUCUCAUUCAAUGUUUCGUGCAAGUGGGUUGGUUUUAUCAUUCUUGAUCUUCGGUCUUACUCUUACCCGUAAUUCAUAUGUUUUUUUCCAUCUUUGGGGUCAGGGAGGACCCAAUUGGGUAUGUGAGUUUGCCAUUUGGAAGAAAGAGUGUGAUGUUGAAUGGACCAUUAUUAGUCCUUCUAAGCUUUCAUUUGCACAAUUUGAAGGGUAUACUGCUUGCAAAGGUUAUCGCUUUACGGCUACAACAACAAACAACAACAACAAAGCCUUUAGUCCCAAACAAGUUGGGGUAGGCUAGAGGUGAAACCCAUAAUCAUAUCCAACUGAGCAUGGCAUAAUGACGAGCAUGAAUAUCACAAGUUUAACACUACUCAUAGUAUACUUUGACCACUAGCAUCAACGAUAAAUUCCAUGCAAGAACACAUCAAUAACAUUACCGGGUAAAUACUUAACCAACUAACAGCAAUGAAACAUGCAAUCCAAUGGUAUUCGGUAACCGACGAUAGUAAUGCACCGAAGAGCAUGACCAACCCAACAUGUGGUCAAGAACAUAACGGGCUCGACGAGACGACGAUGUAGGAGUUGGAAUCACCUCGAUCGGAGUUACGAACAAAAAGUUAUAGCCAGAUGAAACUCAGGGACCAAUCUGUAAAUGAAACUCUACAAACAGGUCCCUAGCUGGUUUAAACAGAAAGCACCUUUCUCCCGAAUACGCCUUCCGCACGAGGAAAUGCACUUUCAGCAGCACUAAGAGGAAAGUACGCUUUCAUGUGGUGAAAAUGUAUUUUCGAAAACGCGCUUUCACUUAUCCAGCUAAACAGGGGGCUGGGCCGGCCUCUGGGUCGCUGACGGGUGGGGGCCUCUGGGCCCACCGGCCAGCUGGCAGGGCGACACCGUCGUCUUUGUCUUCUCCUUGCGUUCGCCCGCGGUGCAGAGGGAGUCCACCGGUGCCGCUGCUCGUCCGGGCGGCUCCGGCCACCGUUUGCCGCGCUCCGACCACUGGUGAGCUCGGGGCGACAGCCCGCAACCGAAGGCGACGAGGGGAGCACCCGAGGAGCACUGGGGCCAGCGGCGUCUUCGGGCGGCGAUGGAGCUUGCGGCCAGAGGCCAUUGGAGGGGGACGGCGAGCGCUGGGGUGGCUCUAGGGGAAGGUGGAGGUCUAUUGGAAGUGGUGGAGAGGAGGGAGGGGCUCGGCUUCGACCGAAUUUAGCCGGAGCACCGCGGCGGCCAUGGCGGCAUGGAGGGCAAUGGGAGCUCCUCAAGCUCAGGGAAGUGGCUAGGCGAGGCUCUAGGAGUCAGGCGAGGCUGCUGGUGAGGUCGAGCGGCCUUGGGGUGGCCUUAAAUAGGCGAGGCGACGAGGGAGGUCGAGCUCGGCCGCGUGACACGUCGCUGGAGCCGCGGACGCGUGGCCGGACGAGCUCGGUCGACGGAAGGCGACAGGAAGCAACAGGGGGCAGGCUCACGGGGCGGAAGAGAUCGAAGAGCACAGGAGGAAGCGGCCGAGGCGCGAACAAAGACGGUCGGCUACAGCGCUCCCAUGGGUGGUCACUGUUCGGCGACAUGGACGGGUCACCGGAGAGCAAACGAAGGGGGAGAUGGCUCCAAGGGAACGGCGACAACGCGAGGAACAUAGACAUGUCUGUGCUCACUGGAACAAAGAGCGGAGAGAGGGAGAAGAAGACAGGCGCCAAAGCGCGAGAAACGCGUGCCAAAACGGUGGUCACCGUGCAGACUGGCAUGAAGAGGACAAGAAGGGCUACCGUCAUAUGUCUGGUGAUGAGUCCAUGCAUCACUGAGGCUGUGGGAGGUGAUAGAUCAAGCAAAGCUGCUCUGGAGUGAAGUGUGGCAGCUGAGAAGAGCUUGUCCACAUUUCUGUGAUCAGCUGAGAAGAGCUAGGGGCCAAAUGAUAUGUCUGGGGUGAUAAGAUAAGGACGGACUAUAAUCCUGGGGGUUUUGAGGAUAAAUGGACCACAAAACAACAGGGUUGCUUUAUAACCUCAUACUUGGUCCACAAACUUGAGCAUGAUGAUGCACUCACAUGGAGUAUCAACUUGAGCUAAAAUUUGGAGCAGGGUUAUUUGGUCAUAUGAAGAUGCUGUAAAAUUUUCAUGCCAAUUGGCCAAACCAAAAUGGUACUUCCGUCACAAACAUCCCCACUGACCAGAAACUUGCAAUAGUUUUGGAGGGAAGAUGGCUUAAGGAAAUGGUCUCAAAUUUGGUGCAGAGAUGUUAUAUGGGUAGGAGCAUGUUCUGGUAAUUUAUCAGAACUAAUGAAGCAAUAUAAAUUAUACUUGCUUCAUAACCUGAAAAUAUUGCCAGAAAUAAAGAUUUGGUCAUGUGCUCACAUGGAUGAUUGGAUAGGGCUGAAAAUUGGAGGGCAAUGAUAUGAGCCCAUGGAGGAGUGUGCAAAAUUUCAACUCAUUUGGAUAACCCUAGCUAGCACUUCUUCACAAAGGCUUCCCUCAAACAGGAACUUUGAAAAAUCACUGACGAAGAUUGGCUAAGCAAAUGAAGUUGAAUUUUGGCACAGGACAAUUAUUUGAACAGGAAAAGAUGUCCAAAAAGUUUGGGAUCAAUUGGGCAAAGAUAAACAGCACUUGCUUCACAAUGUGCCAUUUAGGGCAGAAUAAGAAAUAAUUAUUUGAGGAUUAUUUUUUAACAUGACAAUGAAAAGUUUUGCCAUAUUUGAGGAAGAUAUGGCCCAAACAAUUUAUGAGAAUUAUUUGGGAAUUUUUGGAGUGAUGGAAAUAUAGGUUGCUUCACAACCUAGGGCAAAUAGGAUAAUUCCUUUAAUAGAAAAGGAAUAUUCCCAAUAAAAAGAAUAUUAGGAUUUGGGCUAGGAUGAAAAUUAAAAGGUCUAGGGAUGGAUUUGAGGAUGACAAGCCACUCUUGAAAGAAAGAAGAGGUCAUCUUCUUCAGUUUCCAAACCACAUAGCCAUGGAAAAAGAAAACUCAAGCAAAAACCUCAGAAAAUUAAAAGAAAAAGAAAGGGUCAAAAACCAAGGUGUGACAAAACGCUAACUGUCACAACACACAGAACCAGUCGACACGCCGGAAGCAUUGAGUAGUCAUCUAUGACUAUAGAACUUGACUUUAAGCAAGCCAUUAAAACUCGCAUGGGUCUUCGGUAUUCCCAAAGACCACGAUGAGAUGGCUUAGCCUCGCCAUCUGAAUCCUUCACCAGACCAGAUAAUGGUUGUCUAUGGACCCCUAACAUUCAUCUAGGGGCUAUAGCUCUAACCGUUCCUUGUCAGCCUACCCCAAAGUACCGCUACAUCGGCUAGGGACUGACGUCGGAAGCACUCCAAGUUGGUCAUUGUUCGUCAAGGAGGUCGAAGCCCAAAAUCGCUUAAUACAAGUAAUACACAAUCAGAUCGGAUUGAGAAUCUUCCUAAAGUCGGCUCCUCAGCCGCUAGAAAUACCUCUUUCUAGGCUUAAGUUGGUGUGAAAAGAGUAACUAUACCGGCCCCGAGGAGGAUCCUUGAGUGUCACGUCGGGAAGGUAAAACCGUUCUUCUUCCUAGUUCUUGUUCAUCUCCUCAGAUAACGACACUGUCGCAAUUUAACAAAGCAGCGUGCUUGUUCGCAGUUGGAUGCAGAAAUAUUUGUGCCAUAGACCAAAGUGUGGUAUGCAGCCAACAGAGUCCCUGCAAAGCAUAAUGUAACACGCUGUGUGGAGGAUGUAAUUCGGCGAUAGGUAAUGUAAUUGGAGGCAAUAAAAAUGGAGACCCCUUAGGAAGGGGUGAACUGGAAAGCCUAGACCACGAAUAAGAAAAGGAACAAAGCAUGCCUGCUCGUUCUCUUAAGGGUUGGGGCUGGAUUCCUGAGAAGUCAUAUGACCAAUGGCGAUGAACCCCAAACGAGCAUAUGCGACCUCUAGUCGCGGCAAGUAACCCACGUCGUAGAGCCAGUCCAGCUGGCCCUGCUAUGUUGCGCAUGAUUUUCACUCCCCCUUGGUUGCAGCCGAUGCUUGGGAGGACGAGGCGGCAGCACUACCCACGAUGAUAGAUUGUCUUUGCUCCCAACCGCCGGCCUUGUGGUGCGGCGAAAGCUAAAACUAGGGAAAAGCGAGGGAUGCAAGACAGAGGGCUUAGGGCACUAGAGCUCUAGGAGGAAGACGAAGGCAAGAGGCGGGACAGAGAUGUAAUAAUCUCCACAUUGCCUUGCCCCUUUUAUAGAGGGGAGUAGUAGCAUGCGAAGCGGUGACAGUAUAUCUGCCCCGCAUGGCAAUAAACCUCCCCGCUUCCCUUACUUUGGGUGUUAAUCACGCAUGGGAAUCAAGGAAUAGCUGUUAAUUACCACAUGUAUCGAUGCACAUGAUCCCUUUUUUUGAUGGACGUGACAACAAUGGGCCAUCGACCCACAUUCUCAUGUCAUGUUGACCAUCAAGUCAAGAGCGCCACAUGGCUAGGUUGGCCCAUCGAUAAGAUUGAUCUGUGUUGAUAAAGCCACACUAGAUCAUCGGUAGGUCCCAAGCACAGGAGUACUUCACAGCUAAGGAGUGAUUGGGCGGGAAUAUUUCCGACGUGUGGUUCAGUACAGAUACGCUCGUACGCUUGUCAAAGGUCGAGGUGGUCCUAAAACAAUAAAGGCAAGCAGGACGUGGGUCUUUUCUUUUUAGAGGGUCUGGACCUGGGUAAAACCUUCUGUUCUUGUUACCAUCACCUCUAGACACUUAGUACGGUUCCCCCUACCAAAGAUCUGCUGGAUUUAGCUCCGUCGGUAAGGACAUGAACAAGACAAUUGAGAGAUCUAAGAAAGGACAAGGUGGAACAAUCAGAAGACGUAUGAAUCCAGAAACCACGGUUAUGUACCUGACUGUGUAGGUGGUGGUCGCUCAAUGCUAGAAGCAUCAGCCAAAGAACCUAUAGUACCCGUCAAAGAACUUGAAGUCUCAUACUAUCCUAUCAAGACAAUGGUUGAGGGUGUCAAAGUAGAAGCACAUGUCCUAGAAGAUGUGCGCGCCUUUUUGCACUUGUGCUACUUCUUCAAGAAGCAAUCAGACUCGGAGUGACCAUCCUUGCUGCAGUAGCCACAACGAGUACAAGAGUGACCCUCUUCACCCCCACGAGAGAGCAAGAGUGGCGGAAAACUGGAGUGGGAAAGAGCUGGUGCAGCUCAAGCAACAACCACGGAGGGAACAUUAAGUAAACCAGCACCACGUAGGUGAGUCUCCUUCACACAAAUCUCACAAAGCGCCUCCAUAAGUGAAAUAUGGCCAUGAGAAAACAGUUAAGCGUGUCAUGGCUCAAACUCCUUACAGAGCCGAGACAAGAACUUGUAGAUGUGAUGAAACUCCAAAUAUGCCACACAACCGGACAACACUGGCAAGAACUACAACUAGCAGUGCGAAGAGAGUCAAACUAGUGCCAGAUAGCGGAACUAUGUGCGUAGAGAUCAUCAACAUUGCAGUCAUCUUGCUAAACAACAUGCCCUUAGCAGACCACGGACAAGUAUAAUGCAUCACCAAAGGGUUGAUAGCGCUGGCGAAGUCGGGUCCACAUCUCAAAGACGACAGUGAGGCCCAUAAACUCAUAGGCAAACUAAGGAAAAACACCGGAGUGAGAACAGUUGCAAAAUUAGCAUCAUUAUCAAACCACUGAGUGUAAGCAGGCAAAGUAUCAUAAUAAGUGUGAAGAGCCUCAUUGGCCAAGACCUGUUGGUCAUAAGCACGAACAACUGCAUCACCGACAACCUUAGCUGCACCCUUCUUAGCCUGAGAAGAAAACCCGUGGCAAGAGCUGGUGGCAUCUGCGGGGUAGGAGCCACACAAGGAACCGGGCCACGGUGGAAAGGGGGCCUUGCCAGAAAGAACGCUCUAGAGACGAAUGUCACACAUAUGAAUGCACAUGAAGGCAAUGAACUCGAUGUACUUAGUACCAUACAAAAUCACCGGGCAGCAAGGGAUAGCAACAUAGCCUGACGAAGAAAUUGUACCUAUUUUACCUAAACCUAAUCAGCUAAUCUACUAAAUCAACCAAGACGUCCAAACAGGCGCGACGGCGGCGGCUUGGGUCAACGCCCGAUCCCAAUCGAAUCAGGAGCACAAUCCGAUCCCGAUCGAAUCAAGAGCAGAAGAGGCUGCCUUGUGCGACACAUACCACAAGAGAAAAGCGGUCGACGGAGGCACAAUGAAUGGGUCGGCGUAGCCAGUGGUCAGAUGGAGCCGGCGGUCGGUCGGAAGGGGGCCGUCGGAUUAUCGGGAAGUGAGGUCGGCCAUCGACGGAUCGUGCAAGCAAGCGGACAUUGCAAGACUUAGCGGCGCGAACAAAUCGGCAGGUGGUGAGGUCAGCGACCGACGCGAUGUGCAGGUUGCAAAAGAGUUGGCGGACGAUGGACUAGUCGGCAAUGUGGGGGUAGUCAACGACAUGGUAGCAUUGACAGAAGAUGCACACGAAGGAGACAUGAUGGCCACAUAUUAAAAAAAUAUGGCGGCGCGAGAUUGGAUCAAAGCAGCACGAGUUGCGCAUGCUAAUUUUUUUUACCUAGGGCUCUAAUACCAUGUUAAGACUUGUAUUUCCAUGUGGCCUUCCGCCACACUUUUGGACCGAGGUUGUUUUCACUUCCACCUAUCUCAUCAAUAUUCAACUAUCUGCUGCUCUGCAUGGUAGCAUUCCUUUUGAGUGUCUAUUUGAUCGCUCUCCUGAUUAUUCGGUGCUUCGUUUGUUUGGAUGUGUUCCAAGCAGAAGACUGGAGAGACGCGGCUAAUUGGUCAUAGUGACAGUGACCUCGUUGGUGAUAAUGACACCAGGAAGAGCAAGAGUGGCAUGAUGUUCUUCCUUGGUGGUAGUUUGGUGAGCACAGUGAGUGGUGGCGCAGUCCUCUUGUGAGGCAGAGUAUAUGGCUACCACACCUGUCGCAACACAAGGACUUGGCUGGCUCGGCUGCUUGGUGAACUCGAUAUGAGAGAAGUUGAGGCAGUCGAGCUAUUGGUGGAUAGAAAGUCCACCUUGGCACUAGCAAAGAACCCGGUCUUCCACGAACGCAUCAAACACGUACCAUUUCAUCAGGUACUUCUUAGAGGAUGGGAGUGUCAACGCCAACUACAUCAACACCACAAACCAACUCGCUGACACUCUAACAAAAGCAUAGGGCGGGUGAAAUUCCAUGAGCCGCGUGCUAGAAUUAGGAUGGUCCAAAUCAAUUCAAGUCUGGUUUGCAAGGAUUAAGGGGAGAAUUAUUAGAGUAAUCCUUGCAGCAAUCAGUGAAUGAGUCAACUGUUCUCCUUAGGUAGUAAGCUAGUGAGUCAAGUAUGUGUCUUAGGCUAUUAGUUAUUCGGAUCAAGUCAAGAUGUCUUAGGCUGUAAGAAAGCCACUGAGGUGGUUCUGUAGUUGCUUUCAGCUAUAAAUAAGGGGUGAAACCUAGCCAGUAGCAUCUAUCGCAGCCCAGAAUAAAGAGUGCCAAAUUAGAGUUACCUAUGCUCUUGCUAGUUGCUAUAAACAGCAAUGUCAUCACCAAACCCCUGACAGUGUUGCUCCGCAAGAAGGGAUUUCUAUGGACCAAUGCAGCGACGUCGGCAUUCGAGAACAGAAGUAGGUGAUGACAACCAUCCUGGUGCUCACACUUCCCGACUUCACCCAAUCGUUUAGUGUUGAGACCAACACUUGUGACAUAGGUACCGGCGCGGUGCUCAUGCAACAUGAUCACCCAACCACCUUGCUCGGUCAUGCUCUGGGCGUCAACAACCGUCGACUUAGGUUAUACGAGAAGGAAGUCUUGGCCAUGAUGAUAGUCGUGGAUUGCUCGUGACCUUCCCUGCAACGGGGCAAAUUCACUAUCCUCACGGACCACAUGAGCCUUCAUACUCUAGGAGAACAACACCUCUGGUCCGACUUGUAGCGCAAGGCCGUGGCCAAGCUUGGUGGCCUCCAAUUCUGUUUGAGGUGCCAAUGGGGCAAACAAUACGGCGGUGAAUUCUCUGUCACACAUGGGUCAUCCGCUCACGAUGACCGUUGUGUCCAGUUGUCAGCACGCAUGGAUUCAAGAGGUACGCAAUUCCUACACCAUGGACGCAAAUGCCACUACUCUACUCCAGGCACUUGUCGUGAGUAGACUUGAAGAGGAAGGGUACAAACUCGACAUCGGCAGGAUCAAGUUCCACGGCGGACUAUGGAUUGGCGAUAAUGUCAUGUUGAAAACUAUGCGCAUCAGUGAGCUACACGCUUCGACCAUGGGCAUCCAUGCCACUUACAUCACCCUUAAGAAGAUGUUCUUGUCGAGCAAGGAAGUACAUGUCAAGAAAUUUGUCAAGCAGUGCACGGUGUGUCAAUGGGCCAAGCACGAACAUGCACACCCAGCGAUACUCUGCAUCCGCUGCCAAAGCCAACAUGCAUCUGGGGCAAGGUCACCAUGGACUUCAUCAAGGGGAUCUCACACUCAAAUGGUGCCGAUCGUCAUCUUCAUGGUCAUUGGCCGUCUGUCAAAGUACACGUACUUCAUUCCCCUGCAUCACCCUUUUACUGCUCCAUAGGUAGCGCACAUUCCUCGACACAGCGAUCAUGACAAAAUCUUCAUAUGCUCAUUCUGGCGCGAGUUGUUCGUGCUCAUGGGCACCAAACUUCUAUACACCAUGGCCAACAUAAUGCAAUCGGACAAUCGUUGUUCAAGGUGCGCUAUGAAGUCAAAUCAAAUUGUGGCAUGCAGAUUAAUCUCUUCAAUGCCAAGACAUCGAAGUUCCUCCAAGAGCACGCCUCGGAGCACCAACAGUUCACAUACAUGCUCAAAUCCCAUCAUCUAUGCGCCCAACAACACAUGAAGCAUAUCGACGACCAAGUUAUCCUGAAGUUGUGGCCGUAUGUGCAAUCCUCGGUCGUCAGCCGGGCAUCCUGAAGCUUGCAUACAAAUUCUUCGGCCCGUACAAGAUCCUUACUCGUGUUGAUUCCCUCGCUUACAAGCUCGACCUACCACCAGACAACAAGAUCCAUCUCGCAUUUCAUGUCUCGCGGGUCAAGCCCUUCACGACGGAUCAUGCUCUGGUAUUGACACAAUUGCCUACUCCAUAUCUCACGGUCGAUGAUUUGCAACCUCAGCAAUCCUCGAGCAUUGCCAUGUCAACAAAGAGAAUUAUUGUCAUUCCACGGGCGCUAAUGCACUGGGCUAGUUUGCCGCCAACCAGUGCCACCUAGGAAGACUACCACGUGCUCCGACAUCAUUUCCCCUAUGUGGACAUUGAUGGUGAGGCACCAUCUCAAUGAGGGGUGAAUGUCACGCACUCCCCAUCUGCAAUCUAGGAAAUGCCAGAAGUGGAGGCGAACAACAGAGAUAGAUGGCAGGAAGGAAUGCAUGGGGAAGAAGAGCGAGAUCCACAGCUAGCAGAGGAGACUUAGUCUUGGUUAGUUGUGUGUGUGAUAGUAGGGCCCAUGACCAACUAGGUGAUUGUCAAAUGUAGUGUGAAGCGUUGUGUAUUGUUCACGUGAUAUGAGAAUUCUAAUUUGCUCACCUCUCUUCUAUGUGUCCACCUACCUCUCAUUUCUCGCCUCUGAUCCCUCUCUCACCUGCUUUUUCCCCUCCUAUGCGAUCCUAGGCCGCAAUCGUUAUAUUUGGUGACAGACUUUCUGAACUCGUCGCUAAGAAUGACGAAUACAAAAAUGAGAAAAAGUAGGAAAUUCAUAACGAAAGAACAAUGUAUAAUGUUGGAGUUGUAUAUAUUUAGUCAUGUACCCCAUUGUAUUUUUCGCGUUCUAUAAGAGGUUUUCUGCAUAUUUACCACACCUCUACGUUUAUAUAUACUGGCCAACUGGAAAUAUAAGUUGCAUUUUUCCUAACAUGGCAUUACAGCCCUUGAUUAUUUUUUUUGCACGAGCCACCCGUGCUCUUUGGAUCAAAUCCCAUCUCACACCGUCGUUGCAAUUUUCCCCCACUCGCCUGCUUUUUGGCCGAUGCUCCUCCUCCCACCUCGUUGAUGGUCAUCUCGCGCCUAUGGUCAUCUCGCGCCUAUAGGUCGACGCCCCUACAUACCCCAAGCAGGUGGUCCGCAACAUGCCUGUUGUCGACCACGUGCCGCUUCUUCCAUCCUGCUAUCGCCCUGCUGCCGCGCCUGUAGGUCAACGCCCCUGAAUAUCCAAGUUGGUGGCCCACGACAUGCCUGAUGCCGACCACGUGUUGCUUCUUCCAUCCUGUUGUAGCCUCUGACUUGGUGAUAAAAGGAGGAAAAACAGGUACAAUGUUUUCGUCGGGUACACAUCUCCUUCGAUGCCUGCUGCCUUUUGAUGGUGUUCCCUAUAUUGAUCCUGUCUCGCACAUGCGCCGUCUUUCGGUGCUUGAUGCUCGUCCGUUUGUGACGUCGUCCUCUUCGGCGGCCUCCACACAUGGUGAUCGUCGCUCUACAUCGACUCCUAUCGCGACUUUCACCGGUGUAGUCGCUCUACAUCGACUACUCUUGUGACUUUCAUCCAGUGUUGGUGCAUCUGGCUACAUCAACUACGCCUCACACACACGCUUUCCCAUGGCACUUGGUGCUCGUCUGCAUGCGACCUCGUCUCAACCGAUCUCUGCACACAAUACUGGUCAUGGUACACUGCCUCCUCUCGCAGCUUCCACAGGUAGUGGUGGCCGCUCCCCUUUCAAUGUUGCUACAUCUACUUCUGAUGUGACCUUCACUGAGCAGGAGAUUGUGCGGCUUUGGUUCUUCCUUGUAGAGUGCAUCUACAUCGACCUCUUCAGUUGAGCCGCCCAUGACUUGGCAGGAGAUUACGCGACUUUGAUGCCUGCUAGCUACGUCCUCUGGUUCUCCACCGAUAGGUUCUGCUGGUUAUGUUAUGGACUAUUCUAGCAUUGUGAGACCACCUUCUAAUAGGCAGGUGCAUCUCCAUGGAUUCUUAGAUACUGGAGCAUCUUUUCAUAUGACUCAUGAUUCAUCCACUUUGCCUUCUAUUAGACCCCUCGAUUCACCUGUUCAUGUUCUUACUACUGAUGGAACCUCCCUCCAAGUUAAUGGCCGAGGCAUUCUUAGCACUUCGUCAUUUCAUGUUCCUGAUGUUGCUCAUAUUCCUCAACUUACCAUGUAGCUCAUUUUUGGUGGUCAGAUUGUUGACUCUGACUCUUGUUCUAUUCUGGUCUGUCACACUGAUCCUCUCCUUAGUGCUGGCCCCCAGCGCCGUGAGUCCCAAGGUCUCUGGGAGCUUGAAUAGCUUCACCUUUCCUCCAUUGCCACCACCACUAGCCUCUCGGCCUCUGUUCCCCUGUCUACCAGCUCUUUUCAGAAGUGGCAUCAUUGGCUUUGUCACUUAUGUGGCUCUCAUCUCCCAUCCUUAGUUUGACAUGUUCUUGGAUCCCUCUCCAACGAUGACUUUAGACUGUCAGGGUUGUCGGCUUGGUAAACUAGUCCAGUUACAUUAUCCUCAUAGGGAUACUAUGUUUCAACGUCCUUUUGACCUUGUUAACUCUGAUGACUAGGGUCCAGCUCCCUUUGACUUGAAAGGAGGUCAUCACUACUAUAUUACCUUUACAGAUGAUUUCUCUCAACACACCUGGAUAUAUUACAUGUCUUCUUUGUUUUCUGCAUAUUGUACCGCACCUCUACAUGUAUAUAUAUUGGCCUAUGGCCACCUAAAAAUAUAAGUUGCAUAUUUCCUAACAUAUACGAGAAAAAUGAAAGGACAAUGUGUUCUUCAAGAAAACUAGGAGGUUCUCAAGAUGACACGUACUCUAUGUAAAGAACCACGUAAUGAUUAACAUAGCAUGGUACAAAGUAGCACAUGUCCUACAAACCUCGCAAAAUCCAAUUACAGAGCAAACAGCCUAGCAGAGACAAGCGAACCACAUACAUGAUUCUAAAAAGUGAAGUACAGAUCUAUUCAUGAACACAAACAAAAUCACACUAUAAAGGAAUUGUAUACUCAAUAAACUAUAACUCCCUGACAACAGUCAUAAGUCUAAUAGGACAAAUGUACAUACAUGUUGUUUGCAUUUUGGGUAAUUUAAGUGCAGCGACAUAUUAGAAAACAUGAAAGCAUGUUCAAAGUCAAACUGGCUAAAUACUUACCUUCCAUCUGGUAUGGCUGAAACCCACUGAAUCAGCAUUAAGAAGAUCGUCAAGUUCAUCAAGCUCUUGCUUUACUUGCAGAACCAACUUACAGAUGGUUGCAUCAUUAGUGGCACUGAAAACACAUUUACAUCUCUCUGCAGCAACAAGGUCUGUCCAUUAAGCCCCACUUGUAUACACUGUAUGAGCAUUCCCAACAAUCCAAAGACAUUACGUGCAUGAAAAAGCAUCCACCUGAUAAUUUGAAGAAUCGGUCUGACAUACUUUGAGCAGCAAUAAAACAAGGGGUCCCGAAUAAAUUGAUGCACACCUUGCUCUAGUAAGAGCAACAUUUGCUCUUUGGUUAUCAGCAAGAAAUCCUACAACUCCUCUCUUAACAGUUGAUAGUAUUGAUGUAUCAUCUUCUCUUUGGAAAUCAUCAAUGGACUUCACCCGCACAUGAAAGCCAUCAUAUGUGUCAUAUUUUUUUGGCAGGUCGACUUUUAAUUGCAUCAACUUGAGCAAUAUAUGGAGAGACCGCGGACUAUGCUGAGCCCUUGGUCUGUCCUUAUCCAACCUGCAGAAAUAGCUUAUGUGGUAUGCUUAGUGAUCUUUAGGGAUCAAAGUUUGGACAAAGGCUACUGAAAGCAUUUUCUUCAGCAAAUUUAAGUCGAUUCUAUAUCACCAAAUCAUUGACAUAUCAUUGCUUUUUCACUAUAAAGUCCGGAAAUAAUAGAAGUUACUAAAGUGGGUUCAUAAAGUGGCCAACAACUGUAAUAGGGCAUAAUGUUUCACCUUUCAUGUCAUCUACCUAAUGUUCUCUUUUUUCUAACUACAAAUGUAACAUUUGUCUACGAAAGAGGGCAGUAGAAUUGAAAUUUCAUAAAGCUGGAUUGAUGCAAUACCAUAUCAUGAGAUACAAAUAGAAAUCUGGACUCUCAACGUACAGUAUUGUAGUGAACACAUUUCUACCAAUGAAGAUUAUGAAGUAUGCAGUACAAGAACAGCAGACCACAUAAACUUCUAAAGAUCCAAUGUUAUAUUAGCAAGGUAGCUUCAUAAAAGAAAAAAUAGAAAGGAUAUUAAGGUUAAAGGAAGGAUAGAGUUCAGCUUAAACAUACAUUUAAAGAUGGAAUGGAUUAGUUGCAAACAACAGCAACUUUAACCAUGUUUCUACGACUGCUUCAUGUGCCCUCUUUGUCUUGUUGCUUCUCUUCCAUCAGUGACAUUUAGAAACAUGUAGCUGACAAAAGGGAGGCAUGUGUAAUCCUUAUCACAACUAGGAGACAUGACAAUGGAACCAUCUAAAAUCUUCCUCUCAUAGCACUUGGAAAUAAGCUGACAGAAGGAUUCAUGUGAUACUGUAUAUUCAACAAAUGUUUAUCAAAUUUGAGCAUAACCAAUCUCUCAAAUAAACUUGUCACGAAUCCAGCUUCUUUGCAUACCUAGAGAUGAACUAUGAAAUGUAAGGAUUAAGAUCAUCAAAAACAGAUCAAUAACAAUCAAACAUAAAAAAAGAUAUGGCUGUUACAUUUUUUUCAAAAGUUUAUCUUGUUGAUAAAUGCACCAAUGACUAAGAAAUGAAAUCAAACAGUAUAAAGAGGGUGAGGCAAAACCAUCAUUUGCUUUUAACCAUUGCACUAAGCCGACAGUCUUCUCCUNNNNNNNNNNNNNNNNNNNNNNNNNNNNNNNNNNNNNNNNNNNNNNNNNNNNNNNNNNNNNNNNNNNNNNNNNNNNNNNNNNNNNNNNNNNNNNNNNNNNNNNNNNNNNNNNNNNNNNNNNNNNNNNNNNNNNNNNNNNNNNNNNNNNNNNNNNNNNNNNNNNNNNNNNNNNNNNNNNNNNNNNNNNNNNNNNNNNNNNNNNNNNNNNNNNNNNNNNNNNNNNNNNNNNNNNNNNNNNNNNNNNNNNNNNNNNNNNNNNNNNNNNNNNNNNNNNNNNNNNNNNNNNNNNNNNNNNNNNNNNNNNNNNNNNNNNNNNNNNNNNNNNNNNNNNNNNNNNNNNNNNNNNNNNNNNNNNNNNNNNNNNNNNNNNNNNNNNNNNNNNNNNNNNNNNNNNNNNNNNNNNNNNNNNNNNNNNNNNGGUAGAACAGAAAAGAACUGUUGAAUUACGUAUGCUCUGGACCCAGUUUCUGUUUACUCCAAUGGGUAAUUAAGCGAGUGUAGCAGAUCUUUAAGCAAUUUAAGGCAUGUAGACCUUGCUCCAUCCAGUUCCUACAAUAGUGUACAUUCAGCCUACAACACCGUCGACUGAAAACAAGUGCAAACUCCAACAACAGCAACAUUUCUGGGAGCACAAGUAAGAGUUCAGCUUAUUCGGAAAAAAAAUCUGCAUUUCAAACAUGCCAAAACCAACAGUAAAGUGCCAUCUUGGUUUUUCCAGUACCUGGUGGACCCAUAUACACUUCACACGCCCACAUCUUACAGCUGAGAUGACAGAUUCAAUAGCAUCCUCGCCCAAUAAUUUCUGGACGUCUCUGCGAAAGAAGCCAAACAGACUCCAUCCUGUUUAACACAGAUACCACAAACAUCCUCACCCUGCAACAGAGCCAACAAAGAGGAGCUCAAAAGGUCAGGUCACAUACUAAUUUAUAAUGGUAAUGAAAAUAGCAAGUAAAACUAAAACACGAAUAUUCAUGUCAUAUUACCAGAUUUGUGGGGGCUAAGAGGGACUUGAUUAGUGUGAAAUUGUCAUUCAUGUGUGUUUUGCAGGUAAGUGCUUUCCAUAUCCGUACGUUUAUUGUGAUAUUAUUGAGAAAUAUUGCAUGUUCGAGUUUGUUUAAGUCUUCGUCCAGACCAAUAUUCUUUGCAACUUUGACUCUGAAGCCGUUCUGGUAUUCACCAACCAUAGAAACCUCAGUGACUAUUGCCAAACAAUAAUAUGUCACACCAUGGCAGUUUAAGUCCUCUGCAGCUUCAGGUUUUAUGCUAGACAAAACAAAUAUGUCAUCAUUCCUCGCAGAAUAAGCCCAGUAGAAAAACAUCAUCAUUGCCCCAAAAAUCCACAUCCAUAAAGUAUGAUCCCGAUUUUCCUGUUACCUCCAUGGAAAGUAUUUUCAACAAGGGUGCUUCACUGAUGAGUUCAAGGCAUGAGCAAGGGUGCUUCACUGAUGAGUUCAAGGCAUGACCAUAGAUCUGACCAUGUCUUCAAUCAGAGGCACACGGUACAAAUACCUCAUAGAUGUUCCACUGUUAUUUUCAACAUUAUUUUCAGUUGAAUAUGCGACUCUUGACCUGUACAAACUCCAUCCUCACUGAGCUUUGAGUUGUUACCAGUGCUAGGCAUCUCAACAUCAUUAACAAGAACCUCAGUUGAUGGCAGUGACAAAACAAUCACUUGGAAUUCUUCAGGAAUGUCAACAGCAACCCACGUCUCUUGGUCAAGAACUGCCAUAGUUUUUGUCAUCGUCAAAGGAAUAUUAAAUGUUAGAGCACAAAAACUGUAUAAAUCGGGAUUCAGCUACAAAAUAAGAUUGAUAUCAAUCUAAAAUCAAUAUCAGAAUUCGAUUUAACAAAACCUAACAUAAAACUUUUUGAAGAUAAUUCAAGUAAUUAUGACGAUCCGAGAUUUCCUAACCCUUUAUAUCCUUAAUUCCACUAUCAUUUCAUCCUCAAGUUCUUUGAUUGAUGGUGGAUAGCACUACUGUCUGGGUAAUAUUGCUUGCAAAACAGAAGAAAGUAACUGCAUUGUAAUGAAGUUGGUGUACAUCCAUAAGGCUAUAUAAUUGAGGGAGAAGCCUGAGGGCUUUAUACUCCAGAAAUAGCAUCAUUACUCAUUCAUGUUUCUGGCAAAAUGAUGCUGCACUUAUUCUAUAAGCUGCUGCUUGUAAUAACAAAAUUUAAAACAAGCUUCUAACUUUGUUCCAUGAUCCGAUUGUAAGACUGUAGAUUAAGCUUUCAUAAACUUCAAUAAAACAAUAUAUAACCACCUGAACACUAUGCUGAUAGUCCACGAAUGUUGUAACCUAACCUGCCUCCAAUCUAUGAGGACAAGAGGUUAAGAUAAUAUCAUAACUUGCUUUUAUGAAACUAAUGUGUGUCUGUGCAUAUUAUUUAAACAGAAAAUUAAUAACCUUUUCUGUACCAGCUAUAGAUUCUUCUUUUAUACUACUUCCGUUCCUAAAUAUAAGGCGUUUUGACAGAUUAAAUGGAACCAGCGGGACAUCUUAUAUUUAGAAUCAGAGGGUGUAUUAUGGAUGAUCAGGAACUCCAGAAUCCUCUACUUGGGAUGUAGAGCAGCACGAACACCUAUCAGCUUAGCACAUCGUCCAUGUGCAGCAUCACACGCAGCAAAAACUGCUUCUGUGCUUUCUCUCAACAUAUCAGCUCUGCGGAAAAUGCAGAUGUUCAAGCAAAUCUGUUUUGGAUCAUUACACAUAAUUAACACAUGCAAAUAAUGAAAUACUGGAUUUGCUAGAACUGACCACAGCAUCACCAUGACGAAUCAACUUGGUUUUAUGGAAGAAAAAACAUGUUAGAACUUAAUGUACCGAGCAUUUUUUUUAUUAAAUUUGUACUGGACAUAUCAGUUGCUUUUCCUUGAAACAAUGGAAGCUUAGUAGUACUGCAUGUAACAGUAUUGGAGACCCGUGAAGUAACACCGUUGUCAUUCCCUUGGGAAAAGUCAACUGAUCCACCAUGUUGUAUGACAGGAUUUGUGUUAUCAGAACUCAUGUUCCCAUCAAGGUUUCUCAUGAUCCACUGAACUAUUUUUUUUAACUUCAGCUGCUUGCAGCAGAUGUACCUGAAUUUACAGGAAAGGAGAUGUACAUUAAGAUUAAAUUUGGUAGAAUUUUAUUGUCCAAAGGAAAACAAAAUAAUUGUCAUAUUGAGAAACCAAUUUACCAGAACUAUCCUAAAAAUAGCCGAUAACAGUUGAACAAACCCUUCAGAUGAUAGACUACGCAGCUUAUUUGGUAAAGAAUGCCCUCCAGCUGCACGAUUACAGUUCAAAACAAAUAGGAACUUAGUGUAGAAAGUAGCAAACUAUGAAGACAUUAAGAAAAAAAAGCGUAAGACCAUCAGAAUUGGCAGCUCUGUCCCCAGUUACUGAAUCAGAAUCUAGUCAUGUAACAGUGGAUUUGGUUGAAGCUUCUCUGUAAUCGUGAGGCUUCAUAACAUAAGACCAUUAUUACAUGCUACUCGUCAAAAUUUUCUGGAAAUUAAGACUGGAAGCAUCUACAUAACAGUGGAUUUGGUUGAAGCUUUCAUAACAGUAAUAAGGGUAUCAUGGUAUAUUCUUAGCACCACAGGAACUUUGUCCUACAAUAUAUAAAUAUGAACAGUAUCAUUCUGUAUCCCCGUAGAUUAAUAACUCAAUGAAUACCAAAUGUCCAGAAAUAAAUAAACAUGAUGCUUCAACCACUUAACUGUUUAAGCUCACAGGUAAUUGACCUUUUAAAAUAUACUGAACUUGAUUUUUGUAUGCAUGAAAUUUUAGAGGGUAUGUUAUUUAUAAGUGCUCUGUUUGUGAGGUAGUCUCUUAUAAGUUAAGACCCCAUAAGCCCAGCUUAUAUGAGUGACAAACUUCUUGAAUAAUCACAAAUAUUAUUGUGCUAAUUGUAUGGCUAAAUAGCUCAUACAAAUGUGAAUUAAGUGCUUCUCUAGAACUUAAAUCUAUAUGUCAUGUUACACUGAAGUCCCCAUUGCUAGCUCUAUAACAUUCAAUGUAAUGGAAACCCAGCCGCAGGACACCCUAUUUUCUGCAUACCCACUCUCCAUUUGAAUCUCCAAAUCAACUUAAUGGAAAUAUCUAACAGAGCUAACCGUUCUCAGCAGGCAAAUAGUGAGGGGGAGAAGACAGAGGAUGAAGCUUUCCCCCUCAUCUAUGUUUACCUGCAUUGAGAUAAUGAACACCAAUUAACAGAAGAAAAGGAGCUGAUAAUAUUUUACUAUAACCACGACAGUGUAGCUUAAAACAAAGCCAUAAUCUAAACAAAAGUAGCAAGAUGAAACACAUCAGACCAUUGUUAACAACAAAUUAGAAUUUCACCUUUUGGCAAAUUGGAGAAGAUCAAAAACUGAUUGGAAAUGACCAUAAUAGUCAUGGUAUAUAUGAUAAGUGGUGUAGUAACAAAGUUUACGAUCAAAAUCUGGUAAUUAUUUCAGAAUCACAUUUUUGUGACAUAAGAAUCCUAUGUUGACACUGGACAUACAUCAAACACAAAAUUCCGGUAACUUAUAGUUUACUCGUCAAGAAACUACGUUGCCUGGGUACAUUAUAUGGAUGUGACGAUACCACAAUACAUAAAAUUCCAAAAACAAUGAUACAAUGACAGAAAUAAUAUUGUAAUGUGAUGAAGCUACAAAGAAAUCAAAAUAGCAUGGCCCAUUCCUUCUUGGCAUUGAAUUAAUUUACGAAACCAAUGGGUGCAGGUACUACUAACUAAUCACUCCCUACCAGUUCUUAGCCUUUAGAUUUCUCAAUCUCACUUCAUUCCUCAUGUUCAAUCAAUUUUGGUUAACUACUGUUUUUCUUUAAGUUAGCAUGAAAAGUACAAAAAAAAACUUGGCGCGAAUGCAUUUUGUUACAACCAGGUAAAGAUAGGACAAUUGCAAGACAGUAAACUGCAAAAUUGGAAGUGCACGUAUCUCAUGUUCCGUCCCAUUGAGGGGAGUGUAAGUCCUUUUCACAGUUUAUGGAACCAUUGCAUCUACAGCUUUUCCAUCAGGAACAACAACCCGCACAAACUCUGCUGAAAGAAUGCUACAAAUAUGAAUAAUAAGUUAAACAAUGGGCCAAAAAAGGCUGCAAAUAGCGAACAAACAUAAAGAAAAGAAAAUUACACGAUUCUAAGGUUGGUAGCUUCAUGUAAUGACAUUAUUGACCUUCAUUUUCUGGAUGACGACAACAUACAUUUAACAGAAAUAAAUAUACAAGCUAAAUUGUAUGGGUAUAGCCGUAUAGGUGGAUCUAGAGUACAUUUUCAGCAAAGUCUCGUAACUGGACGUACUGAAUUAGGCCAAAAGUCAUUAAUAUCCUUCAAACAACUUACUUUACACUGGUUAAAGCAUAUUUGACAUUGGAGUAUCAUUGGAACAGAAUCGUUCCAUUUGACAAUGGCUUGCACAAUAAUUAAGGAGCAACAAACGUAUUUUCACAUCAAAGAACUGAUUGGAAUCCAUAUGCAUGCAUAUAUUGAAAAAGCAACAAAGUGCUUUGGCUCAAUGUAGUAAACAUGUGAAAAAGAAAAACAAUGACCCGAGCCUAUCCAACUGCCGAGCAUAUGGAUGAUUACCAAGGCAGUAUUAGGCACAAAGGAGAUCGCGGUCAAAUGACUUGAAGUUGCAGGGAAUAGUCCCAACCUAAACACAGAAUAGUUCAUUAAUGAAAUAUGAUUAUAGCUAGCAAAAGAUUCUCCAACAGAUUCUUGAGGACACAAAUGGCAUGUAAUUAAUGCUAUCAGAAAAGCUAUCUGGUCAAUUUCGUCUACUGCAAGGACAAGCUAGGAUCGAUACAGAGCUUAAGCUGCUCUCAUGCCACAAGGAGGUUUAGCAUACUCAAGCAUAAACAUGAUUUUUCACAGCAAAACAAUUUACAAUUUCUGCCACCAAAUUGUGGAACAUCGCGACAUGUAUCUUUCUCACGAGGAUACAUGACUUACACACCUAUCAUCUCCCAACAGCCGUUUAAAACUAGCACCACAUGUUAUCAUAAUUUUCUGGAAACAAUUCACAAAUGGUGACAUCACUUUCAACAGCAAUGGGCACCUCCAUCAGUAACAUAAGAAUCAUGUGUAACAUUCUCUAAAAGAAAAAAAGAAAAGGCGUGCAUAAAAUCUAGUUGGCCCGAAUCAGCCACAUAUGGCACCUACAGCAACAUGUAAUUUCCUGAAAUACAAUGUGUCACCGAGCGUGCAACUAUUAUGUUGUUAUCAGACAGUCCAGAAAUGGCAUUCACAUGCCAAUUGCACAUCCAUGACACGUGGACAGAUGGACCCUCUAAACCCUAGCACAAGGACCACACACAGACGGAGCAACAUCAUUUGGAGCAUCCAACUGACCCAACUUCGAUUGCACAUAAAAGGCAGCGAACAACAGCACGCUAUAUGCAAUUAAUCAAAAAAAAUCACCAGAUAUAAGCGCAACCAGAAGCCUAUCACGCAUAUGCAUGUAUAAGCUUUGCCGGUCCAGGGUCCAUUCAUGAACACAUACUCGAAAAAAAAGGCUCGAGAGUGCAAAAAAGACUUGAAGUUGCACGGAAGUCUCAACCUUAACACAAAAGGGGGCAUAAAUGAAAUAUGGUUAUAUAUAGCAAAAGAUUCUCCAACAAUUUCUUGGGCACACAGAUGGCAUGUAAUUAGUGCUAACAAACUAGCUAUCUGGUCAAUUUCAUCUACUGCAAGAACAAGCAAGGUUCAAUACGGGGCUUAAAUAACCACAGGCAUAAAAAAAUUAUAGUUUCUCCCACCAGACUGUACAGCGUCAUGAAAUGUCUCUCUCAUUAGGAUACAUAUAUGACUUACACACCUAUCAUCUCCCAAUAACCAUUUAAAACUUACACCAUGUAUUAUCUAAAAAAAUAGAAUGGGACGGACUAGAUGAUGCUACAGCCAACUAAAACACUUCACAACUAUUGGUACAUCAUGAGCAUAGCAAAUUAAUUUGUCAUCCUUUUCAACAGCAAUGUGCACCUCCAUCAGUAACAUAAAAAAUUAUACUACAUAACAUCUAGUUAGUCCUAAUCAUCCCAUAUUGCACCAACAGCAACAUGUAAUUUCCUGAAAUACCAACAGAAAAACCCUCUAAACCCUAGCGCACGGAUCACACAAAGACAGAGUACCAUCAUUUGGAGCAUCCAACUGACCCAACUUAGAUUGCACCUAAAAGGCAGCAGACAACAGCACACUAAAUGUGAUUAAUAAAAAAAUCACCAGAUUUAAGCACGACCAGAAACCUAGCGCACAUAUUUGCACAUAUUCGUAAGCACAGAUUCGCGAAUAAAAUGGCUCAAGCUUGGAAAAAAAGAUUUGAAGUUGCAGAGAAUAGUCUCAAUCUGAACGCAGACGAGGUCAUAAAUGAAAUAUGAUUAAGAUUCACCAAGAGUUCCUUAAGCACAUAAUGGCAUGUAAUUAAUGCUAAGAGAAGAGCUAUCUGGUCAAUUUCGAACAAGCAAGGAUCAAUACAGGGCUUAAGCUGCUCAUAUCACAAGGAGGUCACCAUACUUAACCAUAGACAUAAUUUGUCAUAGCAAAACAAUUUACAAUUUCUCUGCCACCAAAUUGUACAACAUCGCGACAUAAUCUGCCGCGCCCGCACAAAUCAUCAUCCGGAGCAGAGGGAGGGAGGGAUGGAUGGCGCACGUACGUACCUUGCCCCUGUAGGAGUCGUCGUCGGCGACCUCCUGGACCGACCAGGAGAGCACCGCGGCCUUCAAAUCCAUCUCUCCAUGUCGGCCCCGCGCGGCCCGGCCGCCGCGCUCGCCUCGCGCCCUAGCCGCCCACGCGCGAGCGCCCGAGCAAGCAGGCCGUGCGGCCGGGGUCACCGCGCUCCCUAGCCGCCCACACGCGGGCACCCGAGGAAGCAGGCCGGGGCGGCCGCGCUCCCUCGCUCACGCGCGGGCACCCGAGGAAGCAGGCCGGAGCAGGCGGCGAGAGGGAGGACGGGGGUUGGUUCGUGGCCUUGGCGGUGUGGAGGAAAGGAGGAGGCGGCGGUGGUGGACUGGUAGCGUUGCGCUGCGUGGAGAAAAGCAGAGCAAUCAAUGGCCCUGUUUGGAUCCUAGAGUUAGUGUUAAGUUUGAGUUGUUUUGGGCUCAAAUAGCUCAAAAGGAUUCAAACAGAUGGGGUUAGUUUCAGCUAGUUGCCUCCAUGGAAGGGGAGGGGAGCGGGGAACAGCAGUACUACUAGUCCGCAAAAAUCUUUUGCUUGUGGCCUUGUGGGAGAGGGUGGUGCGUUGGGAUUCGGGACCUUUUUGGUUCACGGGGCAGGUGAGGGAGGGAGCGCCGCGGUGAAUGAAUGAGUGGACUUCACUUGUGCUGCGCAGCAGCGCCGGUUGCUACAGUGAAAUUGGUGAACGUGCUUUCUCUCUCGGUCUCGAUUGGUCGUGGACGGUCGCUGUUUUCUGUCGCCACAACGACCCGGUAACGGCGCAAGGGCCAGGGGUUGACGGCACGUUGCGUGGAGGAGCGCCACGGGAUCUUCUUCUUUUUUUUUUGAUAGUACGCAAAUUCAGUGGCGGAGCCAGGAAAUUAAGAUUAGGGGGGCCAAAUGACUCAAUUUUUUUAUUACAGGGGUCAAUCUACACUGAUGCAUGUAUUUUCUCUUAAUUUUUGCACUGUUCAUCUUCAAACUACUAGCAAAGCAGGGAUGUCAGGGGGGCCAGGGCCCCUGCUGGUCCCCCCUGUCUCCGCCACUGCGCAAAUUGCGCCACGGGAUCUUCAACCACGAUGGCAUUGGCAGGGACGUUUUCUCCUCCGUACAAAUUCCGCCUUUCCGGUGUAUGUGUAGACAAAUGUUCAACCAGGUCAUUCCGAAUCCGCUCAUGAAUGGCUCGAUGUCGAACUUGUUGAUGCAUUUUUUGAAACAAAUAAUGCAUUUGAAUAAAAUUCUCAAACGUCACCGGAUUCUGCCUUGGAAGUUUGAAAGGAUCACCCAUGCGCUCAAAUUCAAACUCCAUCACUCUCAUCAAACACAAUCAUGUUGUACAUGACCACACAAGUUGUCAACACUUCUCACAACGUCUUUGUAUCCCAUAUGUUUACAGUUUUUCGAACAAUUGCAAAAUGGGCUUGGAGCACACCAAAUGCCCUAUCCACAUCGUUUCUAAUUUUAUUUUUUAUUUUUUUGUCUUAGAGCAAAGUAAGCUAUUUUCUCAACCCUUGGUCAGAGAUGAUCUUGGCGAAGAUCGCUCACGAAGAAUAAAUACCAUCACAAAAAAAUGGCCCGCACACAACCUUGCAAACAAUGGAAACCGUUGCGGCACGUUGAUGUCAUUGUGAGAACCGGGCAUCCCAAAGAUAGAGUGUAAAAUACAGAGGUCUUGAGAUGCAAUUGUUUCAAGAAUGACGGCAGGCUUUUUGCAAUGACGUUGACAUUGCCCAUGUGGGCAAUUCUUCCAUCGUUAGUGCAUGCAAUCCAGGGAUUCGAGCAUACCUGGUCACCCCUCUUGCCUUCGACAGUGUCACUACUCGUGCGGUGUCUUCGGCAGUUGGUUCUCUCAAGUACUUCGGACCAAACACAUUGACCACCGCAGUAGAAAAAUUGACCAUGGCUUUGACAUGUGUGCUUUCGGACAUGCAGAUGUCUUCUUGAGGUAAAAUGCGGCACAAAGUCAAUCAUUCGGGUAUAAAUUGAGGAUUUUCUCCAAAUUGGGUAAAUAUAUGUCAAAAGGGUAAAUCAUGGGGGAAUUGAAUUUCCUCUCUUUUUUAGGAACGGAAAGGGAAGCACUUGAACAGGCUGAAAGGGUUUCCCUUGCUUACUCAGUGCUCACUGUCAUGCCCACUUGCCACUUGGCAAUCCUUGCCCCUCCCAAGUGGCUCUUGCACAAGAUUAACCAGGUCAUCCAUGGUUUGGUAUGGCAGAAAUAUAAUGACCAGGAGCAGUUGUCGGGCGGUCACUCGUUGUUUAACUGGAAGACGAUGUGUCGGCCUAAGCACUUGGGUGGCCUCGGUAUUGGUGACAUCGAUAAGUUUGGGUGCGCUCUGCAGUAACGCCGGCCCUCGCUUCAAUGGACUGGGUCCAAAAAGGCCUUGGGUGGGAUCCCAACUGCUAUGUGACCAGGCUGACAUGGCCCGUCCCUUGGUCUCCACCAUCAUUACCAUCAGGAAUGGCCAUAAGCCUCUCUUCUAACAUGACAAUUGGAGCGACAAGGGGCCCCUCAAGCUGCUAGCGCCUUAUCUCUUCAAGACCGCCCCACGCAAGCAUAGAACGGUGCACCAUGAGCCGAGCAGGGAAAACCGGAGAUCCAAUCCGUCUCGUAGCAGGGAGAAUUUGUGUCCCUAUGGGAGUUGGAUCAGUCUAAUCCAACUAUCACGGACCAAGAAUACUCCAUCACAUGAACAUUACCGCCAAUGGGGAAUACUCUUUGUCCUUAGCCUACGCGCCCGAGUUCAACGUCUCGCAUCCUAGGUUUAAGGACUCAAAUAUCUGGACUGCCCAUGCUCCUCAUGACCCCAGAUGCCUAAAUGCAAGUUCUUCGGGUGGCUUGUGCCCCAAGGCAGAAUUCUCACGGUCAAUCUGCUUGUUGUGCGAGGUUGGCCUCAUGACCCCAGAUGCCAUCUUUGUCUCCAGGCGCCUGAAAACCGCUACCCACCUUUGUAAGGAUUGCCCUUUCUUUUGUCGCCGUCUGGAACCAUGUGAUCUCCUGGACGAACGAGAACUUGUCGGUUUCCAAUUUUCUGCCCGACCGGGUAGUGUCUCAAAUUGGUGGGGCGAGAUGAUUGAUGAGAAGUCUAAGGAGGUCCGCACGAGGCGCAUCAGUUGACUCGCAUGCACACUAUGAAACAUUUGGAAGGAGAGCAACAUGCAUUUUUUUUCAUCCGCCCGUUUGACUCGUUACGAGGUGGCAAUGUUAGCUUUCAAGGACAUCAAGCAACGUGAGAUGGCUUUUCGCUCCGGUUGUGCCCACCGUGGGGGAUCGGCUGAUUUGGUCGCAUUGUUUUUAGGCUUUCGGGGUUUCUACCUUUUUUCUUCAAUAUGAAAAAAUAGGCAGUGCUCCUGCCGGGUCCUCAAAACAAAAAAGUAUGUUUUGAAGAUGGAAGCAAAUACUACUACGUUUCCUUGAUUUUCUAGGGAAAAAACACCACGACACGGAUGCUCAUCAAACUGUCAUCAACAUUUCUAGUAUUUGAUCUUUUUUUUCUUUGAGGGGGCGUUUCUAGUAGUAUUUCAUCUUGGAUGGUGGUGUUUAAUGCAAAUGCAGCCGUGAGAGAAUGAAAAAAGGGGCGCUCGCUUUGAAGCGGCAAGUGGAGGGACGUAGAGCGGGAACCCAAACGCGGGCUUUGAAUCUGUUGUGUCCCCGCUUGCUGUACGUCCAACAUACAGCGCCGCGCGGUGCUGCACCUCCUCGGCAGUUCGCCUCGGUGGUAGCACGGGUUGCACCUGGCUGCGACCUCCUCGACUCGAUCGUGUCCGCGGCUGCACGCCGUGGAACGCACAUGGAUGGAUGGAUGCCCCUCGGGUUGCCCCGUGCAACGCAGCCGUCUGCCACAGGCGCAGUUUCACUUGAUAGCUUGCGUGGAUGUGUACUCCAAAUCACACGCAUUGAAGAUGAGACAGCUUUGGUCUUCGUUUUCUAGAUGCAGGGGGGCAUGGAGGCCGUGUUUGUUGCUUUGGUCUUGGUUAGCGUCGCUUGUUUCACUAGCGUACCGUAGAUAGAUCUGGUGUUGUUUUGCUCGGUGGAAGUAGAGGCCAUCGAUUCAAGUCUCCCCGUCUCAAAUCCGAGUGCAUGCGCCUGCGUCCGUGUUUGGAUCUAGCUUUGGAGUGCAUCAUCGGGCCGAUCUAGCUUUCGGUUUGCCUUCCUGCGUGCAUGUGUGUGGUGUGCGUGUGUGUGUGCCAUUCGGUGUGCGUGUUCAUUGAUGGGGCGAAUUUGAAGUGUAUCGCACAUCUGGCAGAGUGUUUUUGUUUCCUGAUAAAGUCGUUCUGUUUACGGUUUAUUACGAUGAUGAUUGGCCACGCAGUGAACGUAUCUACCAGAUUUGUUUUAAUUGAGGUGAAGCGCUAGUUCAAUUACUUUUUUCACCCUGCCUAACGGAGAAAGAAUCUUUCUGUUUCUGGUGGCAGCGAGAGAGUGGGGCCUAGCUCGCCUCGUCCCACGCUUCUUCUAACAUGAAAUGGAUCUAGUUUACAUGGUUGGUUUCUUGCUGUCAACACAGGACACCUUUUUUUAGAGAAAAGGCCAAAGCCCGACUUUAUAAAUAAAGCCACAUGGCAGCGUCACGAAUAUCCAAGGUUCACACAGUCUCAGAAACACAAAGAGAAGUUAAAUAGGCCCAAAUUCCUAACGAAACAGGCAGCUGCCAAACACGGCACGCAGGCCGGGGAGAGAAGGAGACCUAAUCCCGCAAACUACAGCACCAGGCUUAGACGCCAUGAUUCGUCCCGGAGAUCUGAGAGGCUGAAGCCCGAAUUUUGGCGAUGAGCAGGUCCAGGGCGUCCCGAUCUGGCUCCUUAGUCAAUAAUCUCCACUGCUGCAAGAAUAUACAUGAUUUGAAAAGAACGUCAGCAGGCUUAGAUGGGAAGGUAAGUUCAAUAGUAAAUUUGUUUCUAAUGGUCCAAAGAGCCCAACAUAAGGCUCCCAAGCCAACCCAGAAUACCCUCUUGGUGACCCCUACCAGAAAUUUGGCUAGGGUUCUAGUGUCUGCGAAAGAGGAGGGAUCCCAGGAGACCCGAAGCCAUGAUCUUACGCAAGACCAAACUAAUUUGGCAAGAACGCAGUUGAAAAAGAUGUGAUUAGAGUUUUCCAAAGCCCCACACAAGUUACAGAAUUCCGAGCCCGACCCAUUGCGUUUUUUGAUCUGAUCAGCAGAAGGAAGGCGACCUCGGAAGGCUUGCCAGAGGAAAAUCUUAAUCUUAGGAGGGACCUUAGAUUUCCAAAUACAAGAGAAGCGAGCCGAAGUAGUACCACCAAUGAGUCUAGAAUACAACGAUUUGACCGAGAAUAGCCCAGAGGCCGUAAGUGGCCAAACCACAGAGUCAGCCUCCUCACAGAGCACAGGGAAGAGGGCAGAAAGACUUUGCCAUUCUUCCAACUCUUCAGGAGACAGGGCCCGACGAAAAGCCAAGUCCCAAUUAUUAGCAGCCACCUCCGCGAUGGAGAUUUGCGGAUUGGGGCAAUAAGAGAACAGAACCGGAAAGCUAACAGCCAGGGGAGCAUCCCCGGACCACCAAUCUAACCAAAAACGAACAGCAGACCCAUUACCCACACAAAACUUAACGUGCUCCAAAAAAAUCGGCCGAACUUUAACAAGGGCUUUCCAAAACCGCGAACCACGCCGCGCAGAGGCAAACAUAGGGUUGGAGUUAGGAAAAUAUUUAGCCUUAAGAAUCGAAAACCACAGCACAUCGGCCCCAACCGUCAUAAUUUUCCACCACCACUUAAUGAGGAGACAAAUAUUCAUCACCCGAGUAUUAAUAAUGCCUAACCCCCCAAGGUUUUUAGGCUUGCACAUAAGCUGCCACUUAACCAACCUAUACUUUCUUUUGUUAUCUGCAGAAUUCCAAUAAAAGCCACCCCUAUGUUUGUCGAAGCCAGCAUGCACACCAUCCGUGAGACGGUAAAAGCCCAUAAGGAACAACGGGAGAGAGGAUAAGCAAGAAUUGAUUAGAGCCACUUUGCCAGCAUUGGUAUUAUACCUACCCCUCCAAGGAAGCACCCUAUUCCCCACUUUAGCAACCACCGGAGCGAAGUCUUUCGCGUGAAGCAGACCAGGAGAGAUAGGAAGCAACACAGGACACCUGACCGGCGGCGAGUCAUGGACGGCUUUACCUUGUUGACAGGGCUCUGAUACGUCACGGCUCUCGUGGCUCCGGCGCUCAACCUGUAAGCAUGCUGUGUACCGCCUAUGGCAUUCGAGCAUCACACGCGCCGGGACGGUGCUGGAUUCAUAUUUUUUGCUUGCUUGCUGUGACGAUGUGGUUGACUGUUAUGGCUGCAUGUACUACGGACAUGCAGGCCGGUGACGAUCCGAUCAUGGAAGACCGGGAUACUGGGGCAAGGCGGGCGUGGCGGGCGUCCCCUGGAUUCCAUCGUCGCCGCGCUCCUCGGCAACGCCGUCUGGUUCGCCUACGGGUGGAUCACGGGCAGCCACGAGCCGAUGUGGAUCAACGCCUGGGGCUGCCUCUGUCAGGUCAUCUACCUCGGCACCUUCUUUGCGUUGUCCAGUGCGAAUGAGCGACGCGGUGCUCUCAAGCGCCUGGCCAUUGCCGCACUCUACCUGGCGCUCACCGUGCGCGUCGGCCUCAAGCGCUUCGAGGAUGCCGCGGAUGAGCAGCACCGGCAGGAGCUGCACAAGUUACUUUGCACCUGUGCUAGCUUGGUGGCCGGGUUGAUGCCGUCCUAUGUCGCCCAUUUCAUGGUUUGUGCUCUUGUCCCAUGCAUGCAUCCCCUGAAUGAUUCUCAACUUAUGUUGCCAUGCCAUGUCCCCUCACCUUCUCUCUGACGUAUGUUGUUUGUACCAAUGACUGCUUGUAGACCGAAACCAAGACUGUGGACAUGCUCCCGGUCUGGCCAAUCUCUGCUUUUGGAGCCAUGAACGGCGUGAUGUGGGCGAUAAGAGCAAUCCUUAUGUGGAACAUAUACCUGGCGGUAUGACUAAACAAUUCUCUCGCCUGCUUCCGGAUGCAUGCAUUAGUACCUAUUCGUUCAUUCAGUGACUCAUUGGUGCAUUUUCGUGCUCGAUCCAAUUUACUAGAUCAUGAACGUGGUUGCUGCUCUUUCCUCGUCCAUGCUGGUUGCACUUGUGGCCAAGUGGCACAAGCCCGAGCCAGUUUCGGGGCACACCAGCGAUGAGAGAAGAACCCCACUCCUGAGUGCCGGUAACACGCCCAGCUCCAGCACCGGCAACACCAGAGUCUCCUCAGGUGACACGGGCAAUGGGAGCAACGACAAGUCCCACAAGAAGAAGAUCGAGCCAUCAGCGCACAAAGGCAAGGAGCCGGUGAUCCACGGGAGCCACCGCCUGGACCUGGAGGCUGGUGGCAGCGGCACGAGCCAGGCGACAGACGGUGCGCUGAACAACACCUCUCCCGCGCCAGCAGCGGCCACAGUGCCUUCUCCAUCGGAGGAGGACUGAGGCCGAGGACGACAUCACCGGCAUCAGCGCAUGGAGUGGCUGGACGAGGGCCGCGCUUUCAACUUGUUGCUGUAAUGCUACAAAAUCGCCAAGUUAGCUGCUGUAAUGCUACAUGCUCUUGCAUUCUGUCCUAAAUCGCCAACUGGACUGCUGUAAUACUGCUCGAAUGAUUGCACAAGCUUGAUUCUGCACUAAUACCUAUAUUUGCAUUUCUAGAGUUUCACCAUGGCCAACAAAAUUGGUUAAUCAUUUUGGGAUAAAUAAGUACGUAGUAUACUACAACUCUCACAUGGCUAAACAAUACAAUUCCUUGGAAUUUUUUUCUUCAAAAAUGGAGGAUAACCCUGACCUCUGCAUCUAUUGAUACACACAACCAUAUAUUAAUAAUUAUUCAUAAUUGUCUCACACGAAGCCAAGCAUUGAUGAUGAACAAAUUGAUUUACAAAUAAAUAAAUAACCUUAGACAUCCAUUGGAUAUGCUUCAUAGAGGUAUCUCUGCACUCCUACCACGUACGUAUCACCAUGGACCAUAACCCAUCGAACGAGCGGCAUGUACACCACACAGCAAAAAGUAUGCUACUCCUAGAUAAAGGCAUCAAGAAGGGAUCUCUGCAUGUAGGGCGUUGUUGAUGGGUCCAUCCAAAGGUUGAAUCUAAGGCCAACUCCAGCGCACGACCCCAUCCCUAUCGGGUGUGUCCGUUUGAGGUAAAACUGACAUACCAGACGGCCCAGCGCGCGGGCGCAAACGGACUUUUGUCCGUUUUAUGUCCGCUUUCGACCCAUCCCCGGCCCAAGUUUGGGCCGCUUUUGGGAUGAAACGGACAGCGCGCGGAUGGGCGGGCUGUGUGCGCGUGUCCUUCCUGGCCUGCCCGUCGGUGCCACAGGGACCCCUUUUUUCUAUCCGCUCCUCCCCUCCAGCCGCACCCCUCCACUCUUCUCCAUUCUUGCCCCUCGUCGUCGCUGCCAUUGCAGCUGUGCAACUCGGACGCGCGCUCGCCCAACCCCCUCCCCCUCGACGCCCCCGAGCUACCCACGGCCACCUGAUUUGCGUACCCUGCGACCGGAUUUGGAGCGGAUCCGGUCGGGCUCAAGCUCCUCGGCUGUGGGAGGCCGCGUUGCGCCAUGGACUGGUCGGGCACCGGACCGGAAGGCCGCGGCAAGGCCGCAUGCAGGUACUGACUCCUACUCUAGCCGCUCGGCUACACCGUCGAGGGUCCGCCGGUAGAUACAUGAAUGGCGGUCGGCCGGGCUUGGUGCUGGCCCAAAAGCUCGUCGGUGCACCGUUGCCACUCAUCAAGUGCGACGACUGCCCAAAGACGGUUUUGCGCCGCCUAUCUACAACGCCGGAACAUCCCGGAUGGGUGUUCAUCAAGUGCUCAACCGAUGGGGUAUGUGUUCAUGAAGCUUCCGUAGUGCUCUCGGAUUUGACUAGUUAUGCUAACUUAUAUUCUCAUUGUGUAGAAUGGAUGCAAGUUUUGGUAUUGGGAAGAAGAGUACAUCGAUAUAUUGAUAGAGCGCAAUUUAGUAGAUGUUCGUGCACUUCUAGCUAGUAUAGAGGCUAGAGAUGAGACUAGUGCACUUGUUGCUAGAAUAGAGACUAGACAUGAGAUUAGAUGCGAGGAAGCAACAUCUACUUCUUUACACUCGGAGAAGAAAGAAGCACGCAAGAUCGAGCCUCUGUAGAUCAACAAUGAAUGCAUCAAAAAGGCACUAAUCCAACUUACAGGAGCAGUUAUGAAAGUUGGAUAUCUUCUAAAAUGUAUUCUUGUGGUUCUUGUUUUCUAUGGUCUUGCUUUUCUAGUCAAAAUUUGGUGAUGUAAAAUCAAUGAUGAAAAAAAAUAUGUGCUUGCAAAGAAAAAAGUACGCGGACGGGAUGCUUCCGCGCGUUGGGCGCAUGAUCACCGCAUCCGAUAAAUGGCCCGGACACAAUCCAUUGUCCUACCCAAACAGACAGAAUCCGGACAAAACGGACGUCCAUUUGGGGUCGUGCGUUGGAGUUGCAUCUGAAGGAAAUAUGCCCUAGAGGCAAUAAUAAAGUUAUUAUUUAUUUCCUCAUAUCAUGAUAAAUGUUUAUUAUUCAUGCUAGAAUUGUAUUAACCGGAAACAUAAUACAUGUGUGAAUACAUAGACCAACAUAACGUCACUAGUAUGCCUCUACUUGACUAGCUCAUUAAUCAAAGAUGGUUAUGUUUCCUAACCGUAGACAUGUGUUGUCAUUUGAUUAAUGGGAUCACAUCCUUAGGAGAAUGAUGUGAUUGACAUGACCCAUUUCGUUAGCCUAGCACUUGAUCGUUUAGUAUAUUGCUAUUGCUUUCUUCAUGACUUAUACAUGUUCCUGUAACUAUGAGAUUAUGCAACUCCCGUUUACCGGAGGAACACUUUGGGUGCUACCAAACGUCACAACGUAACUGGGUGAUUAUAAAGGAGUACUAUAGGUGUCUCCGAAGGUACAUGUUGGGUUGGCGUAUUUCGAGAUUAGGUUUUGUCACUCCGAUUGUCGGAGAGGUAUCUCUGGGCCCUCUCGGUAAUGCACAUCACUAUAAGCCUUGCAAGCAAUGUAGCUAAUGAGUUAGUUACGGAUUGAUGCAUCACGUAACGAGUAAAGAGACUUGCCAGUAACGAGAUUGAACUAGGUAUUGAAUACCGACGAUCGAAUCUCGGGCAAGUAACAUACCGAUGACAAAGGGAACAACGUAUGUUGUUAUGCGGUUUGACCGAUAAAGAUCUUCGUAGAAUAUGUAGGAGCCAAUAUGAGCAUCCAGGUUCCGCUAUUGGUUAUUGACCUAGAAUAGUUCUAGGUCAUGUCUACAUAGUUCUCGAACCCGUAGGGUCCGCACGCUUAACGUUACGAUGACAGUUUUAUUAUGAGUUUAUAAGUUUUGAUGUACCGAAGUUUGUUCGGAGUCCCGAAUGUGAUCACGGACAUGACGAGGAGUAUCGAAAUGGUCGAGACAUAAAGAUUGAUAUAUUGGACGACUAUAUUCGGACACCGGAAGUGUUCCGGGUGUUUUCGGAGAAAACUGGAGUGCCGGAGGGUUACCGGACCCCCCCGGGAGAAGUAAUGGGCCUUAUGGGCCUUAGUGAAGAGAGAGAGGGGCAGCCAGCAUGGGCCGCGUGCCCCCUCCCCCUCUGGUCCGAAUUGGACUAGGAGAGGGGGGGCGGCGCCCCCCUCUUUCCACUAGUGCAGAACCGGGCAAUAGCACCGGUUCGUAAGGCCCUUUAGUGCCGGUUCCAUAACCGGCACUAAAGUGUGGGCACUAAAGGCCCCCCCCCCUUUAGUAGCGGUUCAUCACGAACCGGUGCUAAAGGGAAACCACGUGGCACGAGCCAGCUCCAGGGGCCUGGAGCCCUUUAGUACCGGUUGGUAAGACCAACCGGUACUAUAAGGUUUGGUUUUUUUUAGUUUUAUGAUUUCUUUUUCAUUUAAUUUUGUGUUUCCAUUUUAAUUCUUUUUCGUUUGCUGGUAUUUUACGAUACUACACAUUGUACACGUUAUGCAUAUAUAUAUCAUCAAUGUCUCACAAACCAUCAUAUUAAUUAAUUCACACAUACACACAUGUAUAUCUAUAUACAAUUUCUCCUACAUAUGCAUGCUGCCUUCGGAGCCAGUGGCAUUAGCCUAAUUGGUGCCUUCGGAGCACGAUGACAAUUGGAAGUGGUUUUCAUGGGGGCGGUAGCGGGUAAUAGUAUUCUCCCUUCGGAUUUAUGACCUGGUCGAGCAAAAAUCCCGCUAUUUCCUCUUGAAGUGCUUCUACGCGCUCCAUUUCUAGGAGCUUCGCCUGCACCUCUCUGAACUAUUAAGAAGCAGAUCGAUAUGCAUGUGUAUUAGUUGUGUGACUAGAUAUCGAUAAUGGUGUAAAAAUUGUGAAUAGUGUUUUGACAAGCGUACCCAUUCCUGUCUUUGAGAUCUGCUCCUUUCGGACGCCAUCAUGCGAAUGUUCUCACAAACGCAGGAUGCACACAGAUCAGUCCCCUGUGCCUGCUUCAGGGCCUUUACGAGAAUGGAAUUUGAUCAGAUAAUAAUUAAUCAAGCAUGAUAAUUAAAGAGAUGGCAGCUAGCUAGCUAGCUAGUACUACUUAAUUACUUACCUUGGGUCUUCCCCAUUUAAGCUUUUCUUUCCAUUCGCCUUCCGUGACGCUGAUGAACCUUGCCCAAGCCCUGCCCGCCGACAAAGAAAAUGAAUAAAGGGGUUAUUAAAUAGUUCAUAUCAUGAAAUGACGAACUAAAUAGGCCGAGAUAUAUAGUUAAUAAUGAUUGA